UCCAAAUUAAUCUCAUAAUCUUCUGGAAACAGCGAACACAACAAGAAGCAUAACUUGGAAUUGUCAUCAUUCAAAUUGUCGUAACUAAAUUUGAGACAACCGUAAACGUCUAGGUUCUCCUCAUCAAUACCUUCUAUUGCAUAGAGUUUUGCAGCCUUUAGGUUAUGUAGAGCCAGGUUCCAUUCAUUAAAUCCUUUUCCUCUUAGUGCACUUCCAACAGCUUCAAUAGCUAAAGGCAGCCCGUUACAUUCUCCAGCAACUUCUUUGGAAACAUCAUUCAAGGUGGAGUCAUUUACAUCAAUGCCGGCAUUUUUUCGCAGUAAAGCCAAUCCUUCUUCUGGCGUUAGUGUACUAAGUGGAAUCUGUGUGUCACAACCCAAAGAAUCACAAACUGACUUUUUGCGAGUGGUUAGAAGGAUUUUGCAACAAUUAUCUCUACCACCGACGGGAAUACCUAAUUUUUUCUCCGAGUCGAGUUGUUUCCAAAUAUCAUCAAGGAUUACGAGGAUUUUGCUGCUUUUACUCUCAGAAAACAUCAAGCGCAAUCGGUCUGCUCUCUCUUUUUCAUCUUUCUCAUUUAGUGCCCAGCCUAACGACUUUGCCAGCUCACCUUGAACCUUUAUUAUAUCUGGAUCCUGAGACACAGUGGCUAUCCCCACCUUAUCGAAAAUCUUUUGUUGCCGAAGUUGAUUGCCCACAGAUUUUGCCAAGGUCGUCUUUCCUACACCGCCGAGACCAUGCAAUCCCACCAUCUUUGUGCUGUCUUUUUUCAGUGCUUCAGUGAUCUGAUUACAAGCCGAUUCUGUAGUCUCGAAAGAAGAAAAAAAUCUUGGAAUAGGCAUUUCUGUGUCUGAUGGUAGAGGUUUAGGAAGGGCAACUGUGCUGAAUUUGCCGCGGUCUUGUAGAUCGAACAACUUGAGAGUCUCCUUUGAUGCUUUUCUACCCAUCCAAUAUCGGAAACCCCAAUUAGGACACCAUCCAUUAAAACAACUCUUCUUUUCAUCUAUCUUUGCUUUCAAAUUUCGGACAUCGGCCAUUUCUUCGACUACAUCCGCCAGCCACUUCUCUACAUCUUUCUCAACUACUACAGCGCAGUGUUUUUGUCGUUCUUCUUCUACUUUUUUGUUGAUGCCAUCUUGUGCCUCCUUCAAAUUAGUUUCUUUAUCCUCAAGUUCUUUAACAAUGCUGUUGAAACAGAACAGAUAGCGAGCUUGUUUUACGGUAGCAUCCACCAAUAAUUCUCCAAGCUUUGAUGCAAUACCUGCUAAAAUUUCCAUGCUAUUUAUCUGCAAUUAACAAAGUUGAUCUCAGUACACUAUAAGCAAAACAACAAGGCUUGAUCACAAGAUCGAACGAUAAUGUUUAAUUACUUUUUUAUUGAAUGUUUAAUUGCUUUCUUUUAUUCUAUGAAUGCACGUUUAUUAACGCCAGCUUUGAUCAAUAAGAGCAAAAUGCAAACGCCAGGCUUUAAGUAGCCUUUAGCUGCAAACAAAAGAGAAGAAAUAAGGCAAACGUGAUAGAUGGUGGAUUAUAUUGAAAUUAGAUUACUUUAGAAAUUUUUAAAUAAAAAUAUCAAACAACAAAUUUAAUAGAAUCUAGAUAAAUCGAAGAGUUUGUUGUGCAUUGCGAGUGAAGACAGGCAGUUACAUGGGGGAAUCUGGUAAGAGUGAUGAAAAUUAAAAAGCCAUCCAUAAUUAAAGUUAAAAAGAGUAUUAGAGAUUAGAGGGGUUCAACAUCUUAUGCAAGCCCACUCAUGAUAAAAUUUGAAGAUAAUUAUCCCAUUUUUACUUCAAUCAAUAUUCUAAUACAAUAAUUCCAUAAAUCUCAAAUAAUAUCUUAAGAUUUUUUUUUCCCCAAACACUCAUCUAUUUGAUGAUUAAUUUAAUUAUUUAUUACUCUAUUUUACUACAUAAUUGAUACAAAUGACACUUUGUUUGGGAUGGUAAAGAUUGGGGUAAAUUUCCUUUUAGUCUCUAAAAUUUGGACCUAUUAUAGCUAUUGAACAUACUUUUCAAACGUAAAAUAGUAUUUUCUGUCUAAUAUAAAUUAAAAAUCAAACAAAUUUAUCAUGCAACAAAUGAAAAGUAAAGAAUAUUAAUUAAGUUUUAAUGGAAACAAAUAUAAAAUAUAGAGGUUUUGAUUAAUUUUUGUGAUUUUUUUAAUGUUUGAGUUAGAAUUGAAUAAUUUGCAUAAUGAAAAUUUGAGGUUGUAUAAUUUAUAUGAAGAUAAACUGCAAAAUAAGUUUACAUGCAGAAUUUAAGAUAGUUAUAUAUUAGUAAUCAUGCAAUUAUCAAAUUUUUUAAUAAAAUUUAUUUAAAAAUUGGCCAAUUGUGUUUCAUGAAGUAAACAGAGAGCAUAAUGGACUUAUGUGGGUACUUGGGAUUGAAAGACUAAGGGUCCGUUUGAGAUUUUUUUAGAAGGUUUAAAAGUGAUUUUGAAAAUUUAAAAGCUAAUUUUAGUGUUUGGUACAAAAAAAAUCAAAAUUACUUUUGUCAAAAUCAGCCCCUCCUAUAGCUGAUUUUGAAAAGUAGGGAAUAAGUAACUUUUAGAUUCUGAUUUCGAGAAUCUAUUUUAUCUUUUAAUACAAUUUCAUAAAUAUCGUUAAAAUUAUUAGAUAAACCCAAAAUUAUCCUUAUUCAAAUUGGAAACAAAAUAAAUAUUUUAAUAAAUUAUUAUUAUUAGUCAUUUAUUUUCUCUCAGCAGUUUAACAGUAAAAUUUACCAAAUGUCUAUAACUGCUUUCAAAACUCACAGUACUUCUCAAAACAAAAUUUACCAAAUACUUAACUUAUUUUCUUUACAGCUGAUUAUUUCUACGGCACAACUAACAACAAUUAUUUUAAAAGUUACAACAUUCCCAAACUGACCCUAAGAGGCCCGAAGAUAGGACGGUAUGAAAGUUAUGAAAGUUAAUUUUACUUGUAAGGUAUGUUCAACAGAAGUGACUUGGAGGUGAUUGCCGUUAAUCAAAUAAAUGAAUGAAAAUUAAUGUAAUAAAAAAAUCGCACUAAAAACUUGGAACUUAAAUUCUCAAUCAUCUUUUCCGUACGUUUUAAUCCAACGGUCAGAAUUGGCAUAAAACAAGCUAGUAUAGCCAUUGGAAUUAAGUAAAACAAACAUCAAACUAAGAGGCAAGAGCCUAUGAAGCAAUAAUAUCUCAUACCUUCUUCCGUUUAUAUCUUCAAUUACUGCUGAAAGCUCUAGCUAGAGAGUCGCACAAGCUCGGAGAAAAUUAAAAGCUGCAUCUAGCAAUAUAAAUAAACAUGAGAUCAAAACAACAUAGGAUAUAUCUAGCUAAUUAACAUCAUAUAUAACUCUUUGUUCUCAGUCAAAUCUUUCAUUCUUAGGAGGAUAAAAUAAAAAAAUUUAAAUUUAAAUAUUUUAUUAAUUUUUAUAAAAUAUUUAAAAAAUAUUUUAUAAAAUCAAUUAAUUCAUGGUAUUAUUAAUUUUCAUGAUUAUUUUUAAUAUUAUAUUUGUGAUUAUCAAAUCUAAUACAAUCAAAUAAUGCAAUAAAUUAUUAAAUGGUUAAUUUUAUUGAUAAAUUAUUAAAUUACAAGUAUUGAAAAUUUAAUCUCAAGAGUUAGUAGAAGUAAAAGUACAAAUUUAAUUAGAUCAUAGAUAAUACAUAAAAAAUAAAUUUUAAGUAAAUCAUAAUAAAAAAAUAAUUAUUCAAUCCAUUAAUAUUAGGUGUAAAUAAAAAAAAUGACAUAAACAAAAGUGUCAUAAAUCGACAACUUUUUUCUUUAAUCUUAUCCCAACUAAACCCAUGUGUAAAUUAGGAUUAUUGAUCUCAUGAUUUUAAGAUUAAACUCAAAUUUAGUCCCCCUUAAUCCAAUUAAACUAAACUUGCCAAACAUGGGAUAAAUAUUUAAUUCCAAAAUUAGUCCAAUCCCAUGCUUAGGGCCAGUCUAGGAAUGUUGUACUUUUUAAAAUAAUUGUUAUUAGUUGUGUUGUAGAAAUAAUCAACUGUGAAGAGAAUCAGAUAAGUGUUUGGUAAAUUUUAGUUUUAGAAGUACGAUGAGUUUUGAAAUCAGUUAUGAGCAUUUGGUAAAUUUUAUUUUUAAACUACUGAGAGAAAUCAAAUGACUAAAAUGUACAUUAUAUAGGAUAAAAUUUACUUAUACAUAUAAAACUAUGUAUAUAUAAUAUUUUUAAUUGUGUACUUUAAUAAUUUUUACUAAAAAUAAAAUUUAUAAUAUAUUUAUUUUAUUUCUUUAUUUCUUUAUCUUAAAACAAUUGAUAAUUAAAUUUAUAAUAUGGUGAAACAAAUUUAAUAAUAAUUCGACCAACAAAUUGAUAUUAAUAAAUUUAUAUUGAUAAAUUAUAAUAAAAUAUUAUUAAAAUAUUGAUUUUGUUUACAAUUUGAAUAAGGAUAAUUUUGGGUUUAGAUAAUAAUUUUAAGGAUAUUUAUAGAAUUGUAUUAAAGGAUAAAAUUGAUUUUCAAAAUCAAAAUUUAAAAAUUACUCGUUUUCUAUUUUUCAAAAUCAGUUGUGUGAUGAAUUAAUUUUGACAAAAGUAAUUUCAAUUUUUUCCACCAAACAAUAAAAUUAACUUUUAAAUUUUCAAAACCACUUUUAAACCUCUCAAAAAGCAAUUCCAAAUGGGCGCUUAAUCCAAUCAUCCAAAAUCGGGCUAAAAAGUUGCACUAAAAACAAGCUCGUAUAGCCAUUGGGAGUAAAACAAACAUCAAAUUAAGAGCCUAUGAAACAAUAAUAUCUCAUACCUUCUUUCUCAUAGAUCCUCAAUUACCCCUGAAAGCUCCGGUUAGAGAGUCGCACAAGCUCGGAGAAAAUUAAAAGCUGCAUCCAGCAAUAUAAAUAAACAUCAGAUCAAAACAACAAAGCAUAUAUCUAGCUAACUAAACAUCAUCUAUAACUCCUCGUUCUCAGUCAAAUCUUUCAUUCUUAGGAGAUAAAAAAAAGAUUGAAAUAAUAACUGUAACUGAUAUAGGAAGCAAAAGUAACAUACCAAAACGAGAGCGGCUAGCUCACAGAUCUGGUGACUUCCAAGAGCAUGAAAAAUGAUUGAGGUUUAAUAGCAAGUUCACAGAUGACAGAUGUGGUGACUUCAAGAGCAUGAAAAAUGAUAAAACUUUGGUAGAAAGGUCAGAGCCGCGUUUCACAAGUUGCUAUUGACUUCGUGGCUUCGCUUUUAUUUAUUAUUAUUAUUUUUUUAAAUUCUAUAUCAGUGAGAAUUGAAAUGUGGAAAGUGUAAUGAUACACAUGCCUUAUCAUCUAUCGUGAGGGGUGAUUUGGUAAAACCGAUUUAAAAUAAAAAAGUUUUAAAAAAUUUAAAAAGAUGCUUUGUGUCUGACUGCUUGUAUUUGGGGUAUUUUUCGGGUUGUUGAGAGUGAGUUUAAUUAAAUAUAAGAUUUUCAUUUUUCUUAUUCUAUUUUUCUCUUUAGAAUGAAUUUAAAUCUCAUUCUUAUUAAAUUCAUUUUUUUAAAUGAAAGUAGAUUUCUCUCCACACAUUUGAGAUAUAUUUUAAAAUUAAUGUUCAGUAUAUCUCUAAAUUAUAUUAUAAAUAUUUUUAUUUAAAAUCUCAACAAAUUUCAUAACACACAAAGAGAAAUACAUAUAUAUGUUGUAAUGUUUUAAUGAUGGAUCUCCAAAGUUAUCAAGUUAAAAAAUAAAUUAAAAAAAUAAAAAAUACACACUUCAACUUAUUAUAUGAUAAAAUAUAAUAAAUUAAAGUGAGUAUUAUAUUUAUUUUUUAUUUUAUCUCUUAACUUAAUAACCUAAAAUAUAUUUAUUUAAUAAUGAUUAUAUAUAUAUAUAUAUAUAUAAUUUUUUAAAAAAUAAACAAUUUAAGUGAAGCAAAGGACAUUUUAGAGGCAUUGCGAGACUACCAAUUUACCAUUUUGGGUUGCAAUAAAGUGAAAACUGUAGACUACCAAUCAACCAUUUUAUUGAAUCGGGUCCCGCUGACUUACAGCUUAUGUAAAGUUACAUUCAUAACAAAUUGAUACUUGUCUUUAUUAUAAAUUAUUCUUUUAUUCAAAUAUACGUUCAUUUCUUCAAUCAAGUCCUCAUAUUCGUUCAAUUUAUGAUAAGAUCCUUGUAUGGGAGCAUAUCUGCAUAUGUAAUAAUUAUUCUUCUAUUUCAGAUAGUUUUUGUGAAAAAAUACUUUUAUCAAUUAUUUAUGUUUACUAAUUCUUAUGUCUUUUUUUUAUUACUUUUCAUAGCUCUAUAUAAAUGUUUGCUAUAGAAUUUGUGUUAUUUCGCUAUAAUAUAAUUUAUAUUGUAAACCUCUGUUCAUCUGUAAAUAAAAUGACAAUUUUUUUGUUUACUCCUAAAAAAUAUGAAAAUAUUAAUUUACUCUCAUAUUUAUUUAGAAGACAAUGGCAAAUAAGGUCGCAUUGAUAAUUUUUUUUAUUUACUUAUUAAUUAAUUAGAGUAAAUUAAUAUUUUCAUAAUGAGAGAUACAUUGAAGAUUGUCAUUCUUAGUAGAGGGUAAAUUAAAGUUUAUCUAAUUAAUUUAAAAUAUCAUUAAAAUUUAACAUUCUAAUCUGGAUUAAAUUUCUGGGGGGGGGGGGGGGAGAACGUCCUUAUUCGGAUUAGACUCAGCUGGAAGAGGCACAUCCUUAGCUGGAUCAAUUUGUUCAAGAUUGGAUGCAUCCAUCGGUUUCAAAUUUGUCUCUUGUAAGUAUCAUCGGAUUUCUUUACUAAAAUUUAGAUUAUCAAUCACAUCUAAAACUUAUUGAAUGAUACAUUUCAUUUCUAUAAAAUUGAGUUACUAUUACCACCUCACAUCUUAUAAAUUCUAGAAAAUAAUCAAGGCUUGACAUACUUUUAUUUAUGCAAAAGCAUAAGAAAAUAAUUCAAAGUACUAAUUAGUGCACUAUUACUCAAAAUUCUAGAAUAGAUUUGCUAGUUCUCUUUAGCCAUAGAUUGGUCCAUGAUUGGCACCGCAAUAGCUCAGAAUCACCUCAACGAUUGUUCCACACAGCCCAACAUGACACACUGUAAACUAGUCUAACAUGAACUUUCUGAGUGGCUUUCUAACAAUAGUCUUAGAGAAAGUGUUUAGUAGUAUGAAGUCUUCUUUUUUUAACAUAAAUGUUGGCAUGAUAUUCUUAAUAUAUUUCUAAAAUCAAAAUAAGAUGCAUAGAGGACUAUGAUAAUUUUAUUUCAUAAUUGAAUUUUUUGCAAAGAAAGUUUGAACAUGAGAGUGAUGAGAGAUGAUAAUAUUGAUGAUGGUGUGUACUUUAGAUGGAAAAAUAGAUUGGAAAUAUAUAUAGACAUAUUAAAAGAAAAAAAAUUGGUCUAUUUCAUAAGAGAAACAAAAAAUUAUAAACGCGGGUGUUAAAAUAUAUUCAGAAUUUAUAAAUUUUUAUAAAUAUGAUAAUCAUUAGACCCUUAUAAAAGUAUAGCAAAAAGUUUAAUUUUUUUUAAUAAAUGUCGAAGAGAUGGACGAAGAAACCAUCCACCAGUUCAGAAUUAAUAAUCAAAGAUAUGAGGGCUUGAUUGAAGAAAUGGUGAAAAAUAAAAGGACAGUAGGACACUGGGUUGGUUAGCGGGACCCUAAUAUUAAUGGUUAAAAAUAAAAGAACACUGGGUUGGUUAGCGGGACCCUAAUAUUAAUGGUUAAAAAUAAAAGGACACUAGGUUGCUAUCAAUUUCUACCGUGUAGGUUCAUAGCCGGGGAAGUAAUUGGGCACAAAUAUCUCGGAUGAGAAAUAACCAUUUUAUCCCGCAACCAUAUGUUUAUGGCCUCUAAAAAUUUUCACCUCUUUCACUUCUGGAACCCGUGCUUUCUGGCACAUGCACAAUACUUGGUUGCUACUUAUAGAGCGUUUUUAGAAUUGCAACGACAUGGUGCUCUUUGAUAAUUAAAAAAUCCAAUAUAAUUUAUAGAGAAUUACAGAAUUGUUUGGUACGUGAUAAUUUGCUGAUGCAAUGAGGCGCCGAAAUUCUUAUACAUGUGAUUUAAGUUAUAUAUGUAUAGUUAAGUACUUAGCAAGCACUAGUUGGGGGUAUUUGUGUCCAUGGAAAUCUACAGCUGGUUGUUGACAUUACACUGCGGGUGUGUAAUUAUUACAUAUGCAGAUAUUCUCCCAUGCGAGGAUCUUAUCAUAAAUUUAAAGGAUACGAGGACUUGAUUGAAGAAAUGAACGAAUAUUUGAAUAUAAAAAAAAGGGUAAUUUUUAAAAACCUCUCCUGAGGUUUGGGCUUGUUGCAAGUAGAUGGCGAGAAUUUACUUAUUUGUAAAAAAUUCCCUACCAUCAGUUAACUUUAAUAUUGACCGUUAGUUGACUGUACAAAGACAAUAUUACCCUUAACAACAGUUUGUAGAUUGAAAUAACAAAAAAAAAAAUUAAAAUUGUUGGCUAUUUUACCCUCUUUAAAUUAUUGAUAUUUUCUUAAAGUUCCUACAAGAAAGAUAAAAUUAAAAAAUUAAAAAAUCUUCUUUAAAUUAUUGAUAUUUUCUUAAAGUUCCUGCAAAAAAGAUAAAAUUAAAAAUUUGAAAAUGAAAUAGUUAUAAUAUUUACCUAUGAUAUUGUAAAUCUUUGGAAUUGACAAGGAUAAAAUUGUCAAAAAAUAGGGUUUGUGCUUUUCGCGCCAACAAUUUUAAUUUUUUUUUUAGUUAUUUCCGUGUAUAAACUGUUGUUAAGGGUAAUAUUGUCUUUGCACAGUCAACUAACGGUCAAUGUUAAAGUUAACUGACGGUAGGGGGUUUUUUACAAAUAAAUAAAUUCUCGCCAUCUACUUGUAACAAGCCCAAAUCUCAGGGAGGUUUUUAAAAAUUACCCAAAAAAAAAUUUAGAAUAAAGACAAGUAUUAAUAUACUAUGAAUGCAACUUACAUAAGCUGUAAGUUAGCGGGACACUAUUGAAUCACAAGCAAAAAGCAAUCUGACUUCUUCUUGAUUCCGUAAUUUGGCUGUCAAAAUGUAAUCUAUAAAAAUUACGAUACCUCGAUUCAAAAAAAUGUUGUUUCUGAUGAAAUAAAUGAAAAUUGAACGUACAAUCUGCCACGAACACUGUUUAAUUAACCGUUUAUUUCCCCUUAAAUUUUUAAUCUCAAUGAAACAUAGAUCUAAUGGGAACUACAUAUAUAUAAAAAUACUAUAGAUUGAAGAAGUUGAAUUUUUCUUGUGUGUUAAGUAUUUUUAGUUAAUACGAAAGGAUUCUAGCAAGUUAAUACAAAAGUAUCAUAAAUUCAUAGUAGUAAAAGAGAUUUUUUUUUUCUUUUGAUAUUAAGAGUUUUCGAGAUAAAAAAAAAAAAAAUAGGUGAAAGAAGAAGAUGAGAGAAGAAAAAAUAUUAAGAAUAGUUUUGACAUUUUGAUGCGUUUUAUAGAAUAAAAUCUAUAUUUUAUAGUAUAAAAUGGUACACCCAAAAUUUAAUGAUAAAAUUUUAGGAAAAAAUUGCACUCGUCAAAAAAAAAAAAAGCUCAGCUUAGCCCAAAAUUUUUUUAUUAAUCUUCUAGUCGCUAAUGUAAUCUCUUUUUUAUGAGAUUCUUUGGCGUUUUAAUUUAGUCCAUUGUUAGCAAUCCUAAUAGCUUUUAUGUGCAUCUAUUUUUAUUUGAAAUAUGUUUCAAGCUUUAUAUAAAAAAAAAUAUAUAUAUGUUUCAAGCUUGAAUAAAAUCUGCGAGACAACUGGUAAGUAAUAAAGCUCAUCAUUUUUUAUUUUGAAAAUAAAGGGAAUCACUUACACUUAGCAUGAUAUUAUUUUUGAUAAGUCAUUUUUUUGGUAGAUUAUUUUUUCUGACACGCUCUUAGAUUUAGUGAAAAUAAAUUGUAUACUUUUAAUGAAGAAAAGUAAAGAUCAACAAAAUAUUUUGUUGUUUUCGACAAUUUUUGCGUUGUCAAGUGUGCCUAGUACCCUUUUUUUUUUGAACUUUUGAGUUGUUGUUUAAUUUGUAUUAUAAUUAAUUAUCAUGGACCCACGCGCCAUUGUUUCCAUUUCAAGUUUCAUAAUUUAACCGUAGAAAUGGGUUCCACAGAUAAUUUAUUUUAUAAUUUUUUUAAAAAUUACUAAAAUAUAAUAAAUAAGGUAAUAAUAAUUAAUAAAAAAGUAGAUUUUAAGAUGGAAAAAUCUUUUCGUGUACUUAAUAAAAAGAUGAUAAGAAUGGGAUGCUUUUGGUUUACAUUCUCAUAGCUAUUUAUACUGAAAAAUUACAUCAAAAUUUAAUUAAUAAAUCAGUGAACUGCAGACUUAUUAAAUUUAAGCUAUUUUAAUAAGUCAUAAAUAUACUAAGUUAAAAUAGUAGUAAACCCAUUGUUACAGAAUACUCUCCAUUGAGUGUUCACCAUUUUAAGAUAAUCAUAAAAUGACACCGGAAGUGCUAUUAUAGCUGUCUCAUGGAAAGCCUUCACCAAUAAAAAGGAGGAUAGAGCACAUACAUCCAGUUUUUAUACCCUUUGAUGCUCAGUCGACACGUGCCAAUGCUAUAGACUAGCUGAUAAUCUACUAAGGUGACGCAUGCCAAUGCUAUAGACUAGCUUUUCAAAGGUUGAAGUGGGUGUACAUUUAGUAAAAAGACCUGCACAAUUAUAGUGUACCUAUUUGACAUCAACUUUUUUUAUCUGCUGGAGCUUAUGAUUAUAGAAGAUCUUCGGUAAGAUGUGUUUGAUUUUAUCUUCUUUUAUAUAUCCUCCUCUAACUUGUGUAACAGUAGUAAACCCCUGCCCGUUUUUAUUUCGUUUAGUAUUUUCCAAAUGGCCGAAGGAAAAUUGGUAAAAACUCAUUUAAAAAUUAAAAAAAAAAUCAAAGAAAUUCAAGAAGAAGCUUUUGUAUCUGCCAUUUGUAUUUGGGGUAUUUUUUUGGUUGUUAAGUGAAUGAGCUUAAAUCUAAAACAUUUAUUUAUAUAUUUCUUGUUGGAAAGAAUUAUAAAUCUUAUUCUUAUUAGACUUAUUCUCUUUAAAUAAAGGUAGAUUUUUCUCUAUGUGUUUAACGUGUAUUUUAAAAUUAAUGUUCAACAUAUCUUUAGAUUCUAUUAUAAAUAUUCAUAUCUAAAAUCUCAACAUAUUUCAUAAUAUAUAAAUAUAUAUAAAGAGAGAAUAACGUUUCUAAUAAGAAAUUUAUUAAGUAAAAGAAUAAUUCAAAAGAUAAAAUAACACACUCUAAUAUAUUAUAUAAUAAAAUAUAUUGUAUUAAAAUACAUAUUUUGUUUACUUUUUUUAAUAUAUCUCUUAAUAACUUAAGAAAUCCUUUAUUUAACUAUAUAUAUAUAUAGAGAGAGAGAGAGAGAAAUGUUUGCGGGAAAUAGUUUUAAAGGUUUAAACUGUAAGCUUUGAAAGCUGUGAAGUUUUAAAAAUUUUUCGAAUUUUCCCGCACUUUAAAAUUACUGACCGGAAAACUAUUAUAUAUAUAUAUAGUUUUUUUAAAAAUAGACAAUUUAUGAGUUAAACAACGGACAUUUUUGUCGGCCAAUACAUCAACUUUUUAGCUGGAUUAUUACCACCAUCAAAACUAAAUUAUUGCAAGCACUAGCAAAAAGCAAUCAAUGAUUUCGCAAUUUGGCUGUCAAAAAGCAAACUAGAUCACGAUUCCUCAACUAAAAAUGGUGCUUUUUUUUAUUAAAUAAGUGAAAAUUAAACCAACAAUUCAAAAUAUAGGAUUGUAGAUGCGUAUAAACUGAAGAAUAAACUGAAGAAGGUAAAAUUUUUCGCGUGUGUAAAUAUUUUAGUUAACAUGAAAGAAUUCUAACAAAGUUAAUAUAAGAGUAUCAUAGCAGUACAAGAGUAAAUAUAUAUAUGUGUGUGUGAGUGAAGGAAGAAAAAAAAAUUAAGAAUAAUUUUGGCAUUUUGAUGGGUUUUAUAGAGUAAAAUCUAUAUGUUCAAAUAUGAUAAUUCUUUAAUUUAAUUUGGUGUUAUGAAAUAAAGGGCAUUUUAAAUAUGUUUUAAGUUAUAAAUAACUCCAUCCAAAAUUUAAAAAUGAAAUCUUAGGGGGUAAACAAUUUCACCCGAACUAACAAAAGCCCUAGCCCGGAGGCCCAGAGUAGCCGCGGCUUUUUUCACCAAUCUAAUUAUUUACGAGGAAUAUGAGACUGAGAUUCUCUACCACUCCAAUUUAUCGCAUUGUUAGCAAUCCUAAUAGCUGUUAUAUAUCCUAUUUUUAUUAAAAAAUGUGGAUCCGGAUAUAGAAAUUUGGGAUCCGCACAAAUCUAGAUGCAAGUGCAUUCGGAAAACCAGAUAUCGAGAUCCGGAUAAAUUUUAUUUUAAAUUAAAAAUUAAAUGAAAAAUUAAGAAAGUAAAUUUUAUUUAUGGAUUAAUGAUGUCGUUGUAUAUUAUUCAUGUUGAAUUAUCAAUUGUUGGAUUAUGAUUGAAUUUUAUUUGAUAUUAUUGGGCAAAUUAUUGAAUUUUAUUUUAAAUUAAAUAAAAAUAAAAAAUUAAAUUUUAUUUGUAGAUUUAUGAGAUUAUUGUAUGUUAUUCAUUUUGGAUUGUUAAUUGUUGAAUUAUGAUUAAAUUUUAUUUGAUAUUAUUAGGUAAAUUAUUAAACUUUUAAAUUAUAUAUUAAAUUAUUUAAUUUUAAUUUUUGCGGAUCUGAAUAUUCAGAAUAUCCGCCUGCAUCGGUUACGGAUAAUACCCGCUUCUGGAUCCACAUCUUUUUCUACGAAUCCAAAUAUAGAAAUAUGAAUGCGGAUCUAAAUUCGGAUUUUGCUGACCCUAAACUUAAGAAUGAAUGUGCCUAAAGUUUUUACAACGAACAUGGAUCAUUCAAUGACAUGACAUGUUUUGCAGCUUUCAUUAGUAUAAUUGAAUAAUUAAUUCAUCUCUAUAUUCAGCUUACACCGUCUCAAAUUACAUGCAAAUACGAAAGUACACUUCUGAAUCGUUCACUUGAGGAAAAUUAAUUUUAACUCAAUAAGUCGUAAUUCUCCACGUAGAAUUUUAAUUCAAACCAUAGCAAAUUAGACAUAAUUCUAAUUUAUAUGGGAAAUAUAAUUAGCGAAGACACUCUUUAUAUAAACAUUAUUGUCAUAGGAUGCCAAACCUAAUAAGAUUCAAGGUCUUAACAUACUUCAUAUGAAAUUUGAUCUUGGCGCGUACCGACACGCAUAACAUCAAGACUCUACUUCAUAUAUUAUAAUGUAACUUCAUGGAUUUUUCGCUCUCUUGUGAAAUUGACAAUUAUAGGCGCUGUGUGGCAGUGGUACAUAAUAAAAUAAACGUUUAUUUUUAGAAUAUUAUUAUUUAUCUCAAUUUUUUAUUUAAUAGUUAAUUUUAAUCAAUUCUUAAACUGUCAUAAUCAAUUAAUUUUUUACAUUAUGGCAUCUUAAAUAAAUUUUGGAUCUGUAAUAAAUAAAAACUGGUAACGUUUGUUCUUUUAAAGCAUAAAACAACCGUAACAUUGGUUUUUACAUUUUGAAUUUUUCUUGCAUCACUAUUUAGAAAAAUGAUGUUAAAUCAACUCACAAAAUAUAUCAAGCCAUCUAAAAUCCAAAUAUUAUUACAUUUGUAUUUGCAUUGUUAAAUUGUUGGAACGACGGCAAAGCAAUUGAAAAGAUAUUAACAAAAAAUAAAGAUUGGCCAAGGAUUAUUUAUGUUUAGGAAAUGCCUUAACUUUUGAUAUAAUCAUUGUGAUAAUUAUAUUGUAGAAAUAAUCAAUUACCUAAUGUUUGUGGUGGUAAAAAUUAUUAACUUGUUUUAGUAUACCCGUGUUUAUGGUGGUCUCCUUUUUGUCCAAUUCUGUACAACAAAAUAUUUGCAUGUUUUGAUAGAAAUUGGUUUAAAUGACAUUUGAAAUAGUAUAUCCCCAAACAAUUAACGAAAUAUUUGGAUGGUAGGAUGAAGUAAUAUAGUUUUACAAAUUACCAUAUUAGAGGUUAAAAAAAAUCAAGAGGUUACUAACUACAAAUUUUAACACAAAAAGUUUAAUUAACUUUUCUUUUUGAGAUAACAAAAUCUCUGGUGUUGAAAACAAUGAGGUUUGAGGUUCAAGCUUGAAUAUCAAGUUACAAUUAGUAGAUGGUCUUAGGACAAAUCAAAGAUUUCUUUAAAGACAAAAUAAUAAUUACAAGCAAUAGGAAUUUAUGGUAUUCAGAACAUGUAACCUUCGCACAUGAAGCUUGAAUCCAGAACAAGAUGCAGCUAGCCAAUCCUUCCAACUUCCAAAACCCCACAAAAUCUCUGUCAACAUGUCUGCUCUACUUCAAUAUUAAGCACAUUCAUAGCGGUAUCAACAGCUUACAGCUCCAAAAUAUUUUCCCCAAAAAGAGUGAGAGAUUUCACUGAAGCUAAGUUGUGACUUGUGACUUGUGAGGCCAUCUUUUUUUAUAGUAAGCGUACGCCUCUAAUGCUUUGCCAAGUGUCCAUUGAUAAUAUCACAAGGGCAAUUAAAUUGGUGUAUGUGUAUUACACCUCCUAAAGUCAUGUUAAGAUAGUUAGUGAGCCGAUAAAGUUUGUUGCACGUGUGAGUUGGUUAAGUCUGCUAGAAUUGCAAACAUGUAAAGCUGAGUCAGCAAGUUAGUUAAGGUUAUUAUGAAUGCUUAGAUUCAGCAAGUUAGUUAAGGUUAUUAUGAAUGCUUAGAUUCAGCAAGUUAGUUAAGGUUAUUAUGAAUGCUUAGAUUCAGCAAGUUAUGGUGUUGAAAAUGCUGUUGGUGAAAGCUCAGCUGAUAGAUCUCAGGAGAAUCCAGCCUUUGUUGCUUGGAAAAGGUAGGAUCAAUUGUUAUUAAGUUGGCUCAUGUCCUCCAUCAGUGUUGAGAUACUUAGUCUUGUGGUAAAUUCUGAUUCUUCUCAUAAACUUUGGACUAAUCUUGAAGAAAAUUUUUGGAUUAGAAACUAUGGCUAAGAAAGCACACGUAAAAAUGAUGUUAAGCAAUCUCAGAAAGGGAUCAAUGACAAUAACUGAGUAUUUUGCCAAACUUAGAGCUGUAACUAAUAAACUUGCUCUAACUGGUAGCCCUGUUUCUACUCUAGACUUUAUUACUCAUCUAAUCUCUAGAUUAGGCCAGCCAUACUACCCUGUUGUUUUGUAUAUUGAAGCUAAUAUGAUGAAAAUAUUUGUCAAUGAAGCCUACUCUAUGCUUUUAACUCAUGAAGCAAGAAUUAAAUUUAAUCAUCCGAGUGCAAAUAAAGAAGCAAAGUUGAAUUAUGCUGCUAACAUAGCUUAGGCUGGACCUAGUAAUAACAAUAAGAAGUCUAGUAAUCAAGCUAAUUACUAUCAGGGCAACCAAGGUAACGGGAAUAGAAAUGCUCAUUGGUGUGGUAACAAUGGAGGAAGAGGUGGCUUUGGCAGAGGUUUUUCAGGGCAAGGAAGGAGUAAUUAGAAUAAUGGUGGUCAUUGGAACAAUGGACCUUGGAGUAGUAGUCGAGCAUGUUAUAAUUGUUCUGAUAUAAACAUUAUGACAUGGUUGCUGGUGAACCUGUAAACAUAACCACAAAAGUAAGAAGGCAUAAUCUUUUUAUAAGAAACUCAAAAAUGUAUUAAUGAUGAAAAUUUUAAAACAGAUAAUGGACCAGCUGUUCAUUAAGAAAACAAAAAACUGAAUAUUUGUGCUAUAAAAAGGCACACCUAAUCUCACCCCUAUAAAAGGCUAGAAUCAGCUACAAAUCCCUAUCUCAAAACCCCAUCCUAGUUUAGAUGAAUGAAGAAAAAAGAUGAAUCUUGAAACUCCUUAGAAACUGAAGCCCAAAGUGAAGCAAGAAGAUGAACUCUAUCCCAAGCAAGCAAUAUGGCAUAUUUCUCCAUUAAUGGUUCAAAUAAAGUGAAUGGCUUUCUCUGAUGAAUGGGAAAUUGUCAAGAUCAAUAGUCAAACUCACGCAAAGUAAACGGACUUAAUUCUCAGUGGCUACUCAUUCUAAGUCUUAAAGAAAAAUUUUCUAAUUUCUAAAGAUUAUAUGGGGAAAAAUCAUUAUUUUCUAACAUGUAAAAUUUGAUACGGUGUUUAAUGUCUUAUCACAAUCAUAAUAUGAGUACUAACAAAAACAUCUUUAAUCGGCAUGGUGCGAGUAAAACACCAUCACUUCAUCUUUGAUGGAAAGAUGAUAAUAUAAGGAAAUGGUGAAAUGGUUUUGGUCCCUGGCAGCUUGUAAUCAAAAGAAAACAAAAAACUACACUAUUAUUAAUGAUUACCGAAGCUACAGAAGUAUCAAAAUCGGAAAGCAAACAAUUGCAAAACACAUCAAUGACUGAAGGUUAGGUUCUAAAACUUCCGUAUUUAAUUUUCAGAGCAUGUUAUGUAUUAUUCAGAAAUAUGCUUUCACUUCAGGCACUUGACCAACACGCAUUAAACAUAAAACGCGGCGUUUUCAUGGACUAGUACAUUCCAUGCUUCGAAAGUUUAUAUUUUAGACUAAUUGGUUUGAUACAUUAUUUGUUUAUUGCGUUUUUCUUGCUUUAAAUAUUAUGUUGGAUUGAUAAGUUUUGUACACAUUUAUAUUGCUCGCAGUAAAUAAUUUAUGACAUUUAAAAAACUAUCAACCGUCUAUCAAAAGAUUUCUACUAUAAAUAUAUAUACACAAAAAACUUUUAAUUUGGUCAAUUUUUUCUCUUAUUUAUUUUUGUUCUAUUUCUCUUUUCCUUCCCUUUCAUUUUAUUGUUUUAUGGUACAAAAUAAAAAAAAUAACCUUAAAAUUUAAGGGUAAACUACUCAUUUUACUAAAAUUCCGUUUAAUAUUAUAAAACUGUCAAAUGUCAAUGGCAUAGUACACGAGUGAUACAAAUUAAAAACAAUAAAUUGAAAGUUUUUAUGCAUUUUCGUUUUAUUUUUUUUAUAGCCGAUACAAAUUAAAAACAAUAGGUUUAGACCGUUUAACAAAUCUUAAAUUAAAAAAACCCGUGGUGUAAUAACAAACUCACAUCAAACCCUGUCCACCGUCAUCCCUAAUUAUAUUUACCACUUCAUACUCACAGUGAUAAUUAUAUUACCGUUAAGAAUGAAGCAGAAGAGUUUCCCCAAACAAGCUAAAACACCGCACUUCAAUUUAAAGAAUUUUUAUAUCACAGUACCGGGACAAAAAGUUUAAUGCAACAACAUACAUUAAGUUAAUUCCAUAAUCUAUCCCCAAAGAAAGACAAACACAAGCUUAUAAGAUUAAAACUUUGGAAAACAUUAAAGAGUCAGACAAAAUUGUGUAAUCUUCAGAGUUUGGAGCCUAGUUCAUCCAGGAAAGCAAAAGAAAUAAUAAUAAUAAUAAUAAUAGUGGUGGUUUGAUCUCAAAAGGUGGCAUCAAAGCAAUAACGUCUUCAACUUCCAUUCAACCCAUCAUCCACAAAAUCACCAACCCGUUUCACCUUCAUCUCCUUGGGCUUAACAGGGUACUUUCCAGAGAAGCAAGCAAAACAAAAAUUCUGAGAAUCAUUGCCUAACAACUUGUUCAAGCUGUCAAUCGGCAGAAAAGCAAGCGAAUCACACCCAAUAAACUCCCUGAUUUCCUCAACGCUCAUCCUGUUGGAAAUCAACUCCUCAGUACUUGGAGUGUCUACUCCGUAGUAACAAGAAGCUAUGAUUGGUGGGCUUGCAAUUCUCAUGUGAACCUCUUUAACUCCAGCCUCCUUAAGCAACCUAACAAUUUUUGAUGAAGUUGUUUCUCACACUAUCGAAUCAUCCACAACCACAACUCUCUUUCCCACCAACCACAACCUUACAGGAGAGAGCUUAAGCUUGACACCAAAGUCCCUAAUUUUCUGGGAAGGCUCAAUGAAAGUUCUCCCAACAUAAUGUGGCCUUAUCAACCCUUGUUGAAAUGGCACCCCGGCUUUUGCAGCGUACUCAAGUGCAGCCACCACUCCAGAAUCUGGUACUGCAAUCACGACAUCACACUCAACAGGAGCCUCGGUAGCAAGUACUUCCCCAAAAUGAUACCUCGACUCAUAAACAGACCUUCCAAAAACAACAGAAUUAGGCAAAGCAAAAUAAAUAUGCUCAAAGAUGCACUGCUUAGGUUCAGGGUGAGGCAUCAAACAAGGUGAUUGAACCCCAUCUUUAUCCACCAUCAAAACUUCACCGGGAUAUACCUCUCUCUCUCUCUCUCUCUCUCGCGUAUGUGGCCUCAAUCAAAUAGUGCAGUGCACAAGUCUCUGACGCAAAAACCAGAGCACCAUUACUCCUCCUACCCAUCACCAACGGCAUAAACCCAUACGGGCCACGAACCGCAACAAGCUUAUCCUCAGUAACAAACACCAUUGAAUAAGCACCCUCAAGCUUCUCACAAACAUCCACAAUCCUCAAAAAGAACGGCCUAGCUUUCGAUAUCGGAAUCAAAUGGAGAACAACCACAGUAUCAGAACUAGUAUUACAAAAUGGAUCCAUUAUCUUCAAGCUUAGCCCUCAAAGUAUUAUAAUUAACUAAUGUGCAACACCAACAGAACCAAACCUGUACCCAGCAACAAAAGGCUGCACAUUCUUAAGCAUAGAACUACCCGCAGUCGAAUAUCUAACAUGACCAAUGGCCAUAUCACCCGGCAAUUGAUCAAGUUUAGACUGAUUAAACACAUCAGAGACUAAACCAACACCAGUAAUAGACUGAAGAACUUUGUUAUUCACAGCAACUAUACCUACAUCUUCUUGGCCGCGAUGCUGCAUCGCGUGUAGCGCCAAAUAGCACAAACGCGAGGCCUCUGGGUCACCAUAGAUGCCCACAACACCACACUCCUCACGGGCUUAUCGUCGUCAUCAUCAUCAAAACUGCCAAAACCGUCAUCUGGGUAUUCUUUAUUUGUGGUGAAAAACUCAGAGAUGGGGUUUUUUGAUAGAACAGUGAAGUUUUUUUUGUGGGUUAAAGAUUGUUGUUUCCGAGGAAAAAAAGGGUUUUUUUGCAGGGUUUUGGAGAAAAGAAAAAGAUGGGUUUUUUUGCGACGGCUUAGGGUUAGCAGAGGGAGAUGGGUUUGAGAGAGGGCAGAUAUUGGCGGUGCCUGUUGUGGUGGCUGCCAUUAAUGGCUGAAUUUAUUUUGUUUUAUUUUAUUUUUUUGGGUUGACUUGCUCAAAGAAAAAAGAGAGGAGGUGUGGAGGGAGACGGUGGCGAAGGGUACUUUAAGUAGAGGGUUACUUGUUCUAGGUUUUUUUCUGGAAUUGUGAGGGAAUCUGAUCCUGUGUUUGUGCAUAUGAUUCAAUUACUUAUAGGUUUAUUGUUGUGUCACCACAAAUUCUAAUUGGGAAGCUUCAGCUGUCAAAUUUUUUCCAAGGGUUUAUUAGGUAGAACUUUCAUGUCGUCGAAUUUAUUUAGAGAUUCUAAAAGUAGUUUCCAAAUAAAGAGAUGGACCAAAAUCAACAAUGUGAAACAGAUACUUUAGAAAUUUUUUCCUAUUCCGAAAGCAAUAGGAAUGUUCCAAUGCAUUGCUCCUACCAGAUUUGGAAUUAAACUUAGUUUGUGUUUUCCUAUUCCGAAAGCAAAACUUAUACUUACUGUAUAAGUGAUAUUCUAAUAAGUAGAAAUUAAGAACCAUAACAAAUUUGAUGAUUCUAAUUUGCUAGAAAUAUUGUAAUCCAAAACUAAGAAAGUUAAAACCAAUUAUUAGAAGAAAAAAGCAAGACGGAAGCUCCCAGAAUAUUGUUAUGUGUUGUGUGUUUUCAGUGUGUAUUUCUCAAUCAAUAAUGAAAAGUAAGUACACAUGUUACAAAAAUUUAAUAAAAAAGAUUGGAGGUGACAAAACCUUCAAUCUUCUAAUUAACUUUCUCUGCAUUGGAAUUUCCUUAGUUUGGUAGAGAUUGCUUAAUUGGUGUAUCUAUUAUAAACACCGUAAGUCAAAGUUAAUGUUUUAAUUGUUAAGAAAAGUUAGAAGAAGAAAUUUUUGCAUAAGAGAAUUGGGUUUAAAUUGAGAAUUCUUUAGGAGGAAAUGAGUCUAAAUUCUAACACUAUAAUUUAGCACUAUUUAUAUAUAUAUAUAUAUAUAUCAUUAAUUGGGUGAAAAAUUAGGGUACGCCUAUGUUGUAACAGUUGCAAAGUACCACUAAUUUUUAUCUUUUGUGAUGUCAAAUUUCAUUUAAUCUCUUAUUUUUUUUUUAUAAUUUAUUUAUAACGUUAUGUGUUUUGGCAGGUGAAUUUUUAAAAUAUAAUUUUAUUUUAUUUAAUAUAAUUUAUUUUUUUUCUUUAUAAUUUAUUUAUAAGUUUAUGUGGUUUGGCUGACGAUCUAUUAAAAUGUAAUUUUAUUUCAUUUAAUAUCAUUUAACUUCUAAAAGAACAAAUAUAACAAUAAGCCUUUAACUAGAUAAUAUUAACUAAUAUUUUUAAUAAAAUAAAAUAUUAAAAAUAUAUUCUUUUAAAUAAAAUAAAUAAUAUUAAAAAAUAUUUAUUUUUUAGGACUCACAAUUGCUUAUUCUAUUUUAUUUAAUAUUAUUUAAUUUUGAAAAAUAAAUAUAAUAAUCUAUGAGUAAAUAAUAUUAAAUAAAAUCAAAUAAAAAUUAUUAAAAAUAAUAUUAAUUUUUUUUAGACUCAUUAUUGAUUAUUUCAUUUUAUUUAACAUUACUUACUUUCAUGAAGGAAUAAAUAUAACAAUAAGCCUAUGACUAUAUAAUGUAAAAUAAAAUAAAUAAAUAAUAUUAAAAAUAUUUAUAUUUAAUAAAAUAAAUAAUAUUAAAAAUUUAUCUUUUUGAAUAAAAUAAAUAAUAUUAAUUACAAAUUAUAUUUUUUUAAGACUCACAACUGAUUAUUUAUUUUAUUUAAUAUUAUUUAGUUUUUUUAAAAGAAUAAAUAUAAUAAUAACUCUAUAACUAAAUAACAUUAAAUAAAACAAAAAUAAAUACUAUACAUAAUAUUAAAUAAAAUAAAAUAAAUUAAUAUUAAAAAUUAUAUUUAUUUUUUAAUGCUUACUACUGAUUAUUUUACUUUAUUUAAAAAAAUUUAAUUUUUUGAAAGAUUAAAUACAACAAUAAACUUGUAACUAAAUAAUAUUAAAUAAAUGAGAUUAAUAAUAUUAAAUAAUAUUUUUAAUAAAUAAAUGAUAUUAAAAAUUAAUUUUUUAAAUAAAAUAUAUAAUAUUAAAAUAAAAUUUAUUUUUUAAGACUCACUACUAAUUAAACAACAUAAAAUUUUAAACAAUUUGGACUUAUGUGAUAAAAGUUUUAAUUCUUUAGCUCUUUUGCGUUUUUGAUAAAUAGCAGGGAGCAUAAUGUUAAUAUUCAAAUAAACAAAUCUCUACCCUUCAAUCUAUCUUUUCAUUAAAUCCAAUGAUGAAGAAUUGAAACCAUAAAAAAUAAAAUUAGGUGGUACCUUGCAACUGUUGCAAGGUAGUUAAGUCCAAAAAAUUACAUUUGAUGUGAUUUUGAUCGUUUAUUUUUAUAUGAUGGUAAUUUCUUGUUCAGAGUGAAACUAGGGGUGGGUACGGUUCGGUUCGGAUCGAAAUUAAGAAGAAUCGACUUAAAUCGGUUAUUUUAUAAAAAGAACCGAAUAAGAACUGAAUUCAAUAAGAACUGAUUUAACAAGAUUCGUUUGAGUUCGGUUCGGUUUGGUUUGGUUUUUUUCGGUUCUGGGCCUAUUGACCCUAUUUUGAAUUUCUAAAUUUUUAGCUCAUUGGGCCUCAUGAAUGUCAUAAUUUUUUUCAACAAUUAAUUCAUCCUAAUUUCAUUACAAAUAUUAACAAUAAAUACAAAGUAUUCAAAACACAUUUGAUCACUAAUAUCUUACUAACUACUAAUAAGGUACUCACUACUCACAAAAUAUGAAAUAUUAAGAUUUCAAAAUACAUAACCAAACUCUAAUACUCCAUCUACAUAAACAUAAUGUUGUAAAGACAAAUAAAAAUAACAACAGUGAUUCGGUUCUUCGGUUCGGUUUUUUCGGUUCAGUUGAGUGAACCGAAUAUCGAACCGGUAUUUCGGUUUUUUUAUAAAUAAUAUAUUUAAGUUUUUUUUAACAAUUAAAACCAAACCAAAUUAGAACCAAACUGUCGGUUUGGUUCUUUUUUUAAGAAUACAGUUUUUUUGUCCAGUCCUAAGUGAAGCUAUUGGCACCCUUUCGCUAUAUUUAUAAAAUCCUACUUCAAAUAAAAAUUACACUUAAAGACAAUAGAAUUAAACAAACAUGUUUUUUUUUUCCCAAACAAAUUACUUACAUUCAUAAUUAUUUUUCUUCUAAUUUUCUACAUGUUGCUUCAUAUCUAAGUAAAAUAAAUUGUAUAAAUUUAGAAUAAUCUAUUAUUCUUUUUAAAUUUCAUAUUGAUUAAAUACUUUUGUGCUUAAGAUUGCUUUAAAAUUAUAAGAUAAAAUAUGUGUAAUUUAAGCCAAUGAUUAACAUUCAAAAUUUUAUCUCUCAGAAACAUUUUUAAUUUGUGUGCAGGGUAAUAAUAAAAUCGUAAAAGAAAUAAAAAAUAGCAUAACACUACUUUGAGUUUAGAAAAUAAAAAAAUUAAACAGAAAAUUAGAAGUGUAAUCUAAAAAAAGGAUAUUUUGUAAAAUAAAAUAAAUAUAAUUAAAACAAGGUUUCAUGAGGGGUGCAAUAGUUCAACUCUUUUGUGUAAAGUUUUAAGAUGUUAGUAUCCGUAGCUUAGUUUUUCCCUAAUUAUUAUAUGAAAAUGUAAUAACAAUGCUGAUCACCCCAAUCUCAUGGAGGUCAAAGAUUUUGGUCAUACCGCAUGAAUUAGUGCUUUUGGUUGGCAAAUACUUGUAUAAAUUUAUUAACAUUAAAUAAUUUGACCAAGACUACGUAAUGCGCCGCCUGAAGACUGGAGUCAUCGUAUUUUAUACGUCAAAAGCGCGUUUCAGUUCAAUAAGCCAUACAUGUCGUUUAAUAUGACCAUUUUGUACUUUUUUUAUAAAAAAAAAAUUAUUUAUUUUAUUAAAAUAUUGUUUAUUUAUUUAUUUUUUUUAAAGGUAAAGAGGUGUGUAAAAUCUAAAUUCAAUUUUUAUCCCUUAUGUCCUGGCCCUAAGAUUUGAACUCAGGUGAACAGCCAAAUGUAUAAUAACAUGUAUUUCGAAUUUCAUUUUAAAUGAUAUGCAAUUCGUUAAGUGAUUGUUAAUUUUUUAUAAGAUACGAGUGAAAGAAUUAUAUUAUCUCACUAAUUAAUUGAUGAGUGUCAUAUCAUUAUGAUUCCAAAUAAUUUCAAGCCAUGUCAUUAUUAGGAUAAAAAUAAAGUAAAAUGGUUAAAACUAUUUUUAUGUAAUUUAUAAAAAUUAAUGAAGCAACUACAUAAUUUUUUAAACGAAAAACAAUUGAAAUGUGUGAGGAAAAAGAAGAAAAAAAUUAGGCAUUUAAAUAUCUUCUUAAAAAAUAAGAUUGAGUAAAAUCAUUUUAACAGAAUGCCUUCCAAAUACAAUUCCACAUUUUUUUUUAUUGCAGUGGGAUAUUCCAAAAUUGGCACAACUCAUUAAGAAUUCGGCAACUCAAACUUUAUUUAUCUCUCUACGCAUUUGACAAAUUAAAAAGAAAAAAAAAAUUCAUAUAUCUUCUGUUCAAAAGAGACCUUGGUAAAUAUUGUAAAACAAAUUACCAAUUUUUUUAAUUUAUGCCAUUAUAUCGUCGCUAUUUUCUCGCCCACUUUCUUAAAAUAGAAUCAAUAUUUAUUGAUGGGUUGGGUUCCAGAGUAAGCACCAAUUCAGCAAAAUGGUUUUAUAGCAGAAAAAGCACUUGUAAGACAUUCAGAACACAUUUUUCAAUUUUGUCUUUUGAAAAUGAGUCUUGAGUUUCCACAAGCCAAGUAGAAUGGCUAAAAAAUGUAUGGUAUCAAAGAAAGAGAAACACACACACACACAUAGAUUAGUGGGGAGAUAUAUGAGUGUGUAAUUUGUAUAUAUAUCCCUAUUAAUUGUUGAUAGUCCAAUGGGUAUAUGCAAAAUGAAAAAAAUUGGCUGUCCUUUAAGACAAAAUUGACUGUCACAUGAAAAUGUUAGCACACUUGCCACGCAACAAAAAUAAAGAUUCCAAGAACAACUUUAUGGUCCCCUUUCUGUCCAAACAUAUGCGAUAGAAAUUAGUGUAAACGACACUUGAAAUAUAUAUGUAGAUCCUCACACAAUUGAUUAAAUAUUUAUAGUAGGGUGGAGUGAUAAAUAGUUUCACAAAAUUAUUGGAAUUAACUGCUUAAUACAUGAGAUCUAUCUCAUUAAGUAUAAAAGAUUGAGUGCUGCUUCAAAAGCAUGACGUUGCUGGCAACAAAUUUAACACAAAAGUUUAAUUAAUUAAAAUCUCGUAUUAAGAACAAAAGGUUUGAGGUUCGAACAUUCUCAUUCAAGAAAAUCAAGUCAAAAUAUUACAUCUUCCAGCACAUAUCAAAGAUUUUUUCAAUUUCCAAAACCCAACAAAAUCUUUGUCAAAAUAUAUGAUCUAGUCCCAUAUUAAGCACAUUCAUAGCUGUAUCAACAGGUUCAAAAUAUUUUCCCCAAAAAGAGAUAGAGAUUCCAUUGAAGUUGAGUUGUGACUGUCCCAACGUUUUGUAAUUAUAUGGUUCAGGAUACCAAUAUGCCGGAGCUGCAAAGGUUGACUUCUACUAUCCUAUCAAUGUCUAUACUUUCUAUUGAAUUUCCUUGUUUUUUUUUUAAUUUGCGAGAUUUAUUUUUUGGAAAUCUUUGACACAUUUUAUGUAAGAUACCAUAAAGCCAAAUACAACCUUUUUUUAUUCUCAGCAGCAACUUUUUUUUUUCCAUUUAAAAAAAAGGAAGCCAUAUAAAUAAUGCUUAAAACAUUAUUUGCAACAAGGAACAAUUAUUUCAUGCUUUCAUGUAUUAGAAACUUUCCAAAAACGCUAGCAAGAAAAUGAAAUGGAACUUUACCUAGUCACAGAAUAUGUACUGUUGUUAGCACAAUUGUUAUGAAGUGGCUUCUGCAUCAGAAGAUUCCAGCUCCCACCAAGCAUUGUUAUCUCUCUUCUGAAUACAAUCUACAUCGUUGGGCAUGAGUUAUAUCAUUAAUGUCUGGAUCCUCACUUACAUCAUCCCAAUCAAGUGCAAAACAUCCUAGUCCUUCCAUCACAACUGAUACGACUUCCUUCCUAAUUACUUUCCCAUUAAUAAAUCGCUCCAAGAAAAAAAAGCAUUAGCAAUUCUCUUCAACGCCCCAUCACUCAUAUCCCCACAACAACCGUCUUCAGCCACCUCAACGUUGCCUCUUGAAAGACCUCCACAAAAUCCGAAUCAUCCGACACAACCACCAAACACCCAAACCUUCUUUUGUCCACCAUAGCCACCAUAUAAUUUCUCCCCAAAACAUCGGCAUCUUGUGGCUUAACUAACACCAUCCUGACCCAAAACCGUGCUCUUUUUAACUCAUCUGCAAAACCAUAACCCACUUUUGGAGUCAAAAUUGCGCUUGCAGCCAUUUUAUUUUUUUCCAUCUUUAUUGAAUAGUUGCCGACCAAAAGCACUCUCACCUUCCCUCUAGCUGAUUCUAUUUGAUUGGACCUUUUCUUUUGUUCACCCUCAUGAAUUUGCCUAAAAUGAUUAACAAGUUUGUCAUUAUUAUAAAAUCUCCUUCCAUAAUCACCAAUACAUACGGCUUAGCAGACCUAAUUACACCCUUGAUUUCUAAUUGGUAAACAAUUCUCUUUCUUUCUUUGCUCUCUUACAACUUGAGGCACAUAACCAAACGCGUGGCUAUUUGGAUUUUGUUAUCCAAAUACCAAAAAUUUCUCACAUUGUGUUGGACAGUUUUUGGUUCUAAAGUUGAUGACUGGUUUUGCGAAUCAGGCUUCAAAUGAGAACUUCUAAACAAUAAGACAAAUGGGUUUUUAGUUUAUAAUCUUGUAAACUUUGUUCUAUUGUAUAAGUUAUGAAAUCGCUGAAACAUCACUACAGCUACAGGUCUUUAUGUGUCAAUGAAUUGCAGAAGCUAAUGAUCUACUUGUAGUAGACUUCUAUUGCCCCUGCCGUUCUAGGAAGACAAACAAGUUCAGGAACUACUUCUGGACCAAACUCAUAAUAUUGCCACUGCUUUGUGCCAAAAUCUCAGAGGAAAAGAAGAUUGAAGUUCCUAAAUAAGGCACAUCAUGAUUUGAUAGAAGUACCACUAUAAGGAAAAAUUGAUUUCAGGAAAGCACUAAAUUAUGACAUAAUCUCCCCCUAAUGGUCUAAAGUAGUCAAGAAAUGAUAUUAACCAAGUAAAAACACAUAAACUAGUUGAGAUACAAAGUUAUCAUAAAAGUCAAUUUUGACCACAAAUCCAUUAAAAUUAAAAGUCAUCAGAAACUUAGAGAACAUUAUAAUUUAGGACUCAGCUAAGUUGCAGAUUCUGUAACUAACAGCUGAGUCCACAUUGGUCUUGCAUCAGCUGAGUUUAGGUUGCUUUUCCUCUCUCCUGCAACGCGUACGUGGAAGCGCCCCAUUUGCUGUGUUAUAGAACGAGUCGGUACCGUAACAAGCUCCUAUAAUUUAAGUUUGAUUACUGUAGACAAUAGUCUGCCUCUGCUCAAAAGCUAUGCUGCAAGAUAUAACAUCUUUGCAAUGUUAUACUUUCUAAAAGUAAUAAGAAAUGAAACCAAGGGGUAAAAUCGAACACCAAAAGAAAUUUAGUCGGCCAACCACAUUAUGUUCCCACACAGUCCACUAAUUAAGUUAAUAAUUAAAGGGAAUCAAAAUCUAAGAAAUCUCAUCUUCAAGCAUAAUACAAACACACCGGGAUUGAAAAUCACAAAAUCAUAAAAAGAAGCUGACUUGAAAAGCUCAAAUAUACGUUCAUCAGCCUCUCAACUUAUAUCUAAGAACAAAUGCCUGCAGCCUGUGAAGACAUAGAUAAUUGAAGCUGAGGAGGCAUAUUUAAACAGAUGAUUAAACUCAUGCGAUUAAAAUUAUAAUUCAAUAAUCGAGCACAUAAAAUAACAAGCAACUAGUUGUAUAUAUACCAAGCAACUUUAUGAAGUUAAAUAUACCAACGCCAAUACUCUUAUUUUUAUCCAAAUAUAGAAGACCAAUGCAUCAAACAAGGAAAAUGAAAUAUUGUUAAUAACUCAAAAACCACUAGUGUCAAGAACUAAAACUAAUAAGUAAAACCCAUUAAUCAGACACAACCACAUCAAAAUCUCUAAAAAUUGAGGUCUAAACAUUGAAAACAAUUAGACAUAUAUAACAGUCAAUCGAAACAAAGCCUCAAAAUAAUAAUGAACUACAAUAAGACAGAAACUAAAUUGUAAACAAGCGCAUACUCAGUAACAGUAAUCAAGUAACAAGUCAAAACCAGAAUCAAACGUAGAAUUUUGAAAUCCAUACGAACUCUAACGUAUUAGAAUGAAAGAAUAAAGGACGAUCGAUAAACUAGAAUCAAACAAAACAUGCCCAGUUAAAAAACGAAGGUAAAUAAAUAAAAAUGAUAUAAAAUUGCGAAAAAAAUUAAUGAAAUGACGAGAAAAUCAUAGGAAUCCUAUGAAGAGGAAGGUAAACAAAACCUUCGAGAGCUGAGAAGAUGCCUUUUUUGUUCACUUUUGUGCCUAUACAUACAUUUUUUUUUUUUUGUAAUUUUGAAGAAAGUAUUGGUUAAAUAUUGUCAGAACGAAAUAUUAAUAAUAGAUCCUGGCAAUUUCAACAAGGACAAUCUUCGAUUCAAAUGUACCCCUAUGAUAAAGAAAAAGCCAGCUUGGCUAAAUUUUGAGCACCACAUUACAAAAUCUAGGUGCAUGUUUAACUAUGCAUAAAAUGAAACCUCUAUUAAUUGUAAGUCCCUUGACCUCUGGAACCAGCCAACCAGUAUCUUUCCUGUUAGAACAAACUUCCAUCGAUCAGACUAAUAAUAUUUACUGAAUCAUGUUCUACAGUUAAUGGAGUUGGACCCAAGGCAAUUGUUAGAAGUCCGCCUAGACAUAGAGUGCGCUUAGAAGUGGGAUGCUUAGAAAUGGGCCGCCAACACAACCAGCCAACCGUAGUGUGCUUAGCAAAUCACUGAAACCCGGCCAAGAUCUAGAACUAUCUACAAAUUGUAAAUAAGCUAAAAGUUUCUAAGUUUCUCUACAUAGGUCCCUAGGAUAUUUAUGGAAGUUGCUAGGAAGUUUUCCUCCCCUAGAACUCUAAUACCUAUACCCCUCUCAUUUGCCACCAACCACACAGACAAACACUCCAGCACACACACAAGCUCUCUAGCUUUUGUAAAAAACUCUCUUGUAUAUUCUCUCUUUGUGAGUAAUAAAAUCAUAUUCAGCCAUAUUGCUACACUUCUCUCUAGCAUUUUCUACAAGUGUUCUUGCUUCGCUAGUUUGAGGAGUGUUCUAGGCUUGCUUAACAACUUGUUCGCUAUAACGACAUCUUGGUCACAAAACAUGGACAUGCAAGAAAAAAAAAUUGAUACGUUCUAAAAAUAAUACGCGUUCUUCUACAGUGAACCAAAAAAUUUAGGAUAAUGGUAGCAAGUGAAAGAAUUGUGAUUUCACGUGCAUUUUGUUGACAUGAACGUAAAGGACUUUUUUUUAUAGUUUAUAUUGUUUAAUAUAACAUUUGAAUUGCAAAAUAGGGGUACAAAAUAGAUACACGAAGUGAUAAAACUAAGCUGAUUAUAAUAAAUAUUGAAUUAUAAGAUUUAGGUUUAAUCAUAAAGACAUAAGUGGCGCACAAAGUCACGAAUUGAUAUCAUCCACGAUGCAAGUUCAAACAACUGCAUAAUAAGUUGCCCCAAGCUAAACUAUUAAUCUAGUAACUAUUCCAGUCGAUGUGGGAUAAUUUUCCUAUCACCAUCUAUCACGUGCAAGCCGAAUUUUUUGCUUGGUCCUUACAUGUGGUAAGGUCAUAUGAAUCCACUUGUGCAUAAAUUUGGCUCCGAUACUAUAUAGAAGCCUAUGACCCAAAAUUAUACUUAAAGGUUAUCUCAAGAUUUGAGGAUUGACUCAAGCUAAUAUUAUUAUUAGUCUGGUAACCUUUUUUUUUGUUGAUAUGUGAUAUUUUACCUAUAACUUUUAUUAAUCUUUAUGCUUAUGUUUUGUCAUUUAUCCCAAAAUAUAACAUUAACAAAGUUCCAAAAUUUCCUUCAAGAGAUAUAUUUGAGACAAGUAAUUUGUGCAAUAACUUUGUAAAUUGAUGAGCAAAUUCAGUGGUGAAAGCUUGCAUAGUAAUAUAAGGGUUGAGGUUAUCUUUUAACUAAUAAAAGUUAAAUAUGAAAUUUGCAUCUUCUUUUUGUUGUUUUUUAUUAACCGGAUGUAAUUUUUGUUUGAUAAUUUUCUAAUUAUUUUGAGGAAAAUAUGUUGCAGGAGCAUGUUGUGAUGCAUAAGUGUUCAGAACCGAAUAAAAGGAAAGAGUAGUCCAUCCAAAGUCACCACUUAUUCAAAUAUGUGCAGGCAGAACACGUUAUCGGGGGGUCUCGAUACGAAGACCUUUAAGUACUAAUGACGAGAUAUUGAUUAACUUCUGCAUGGAUGAAAAUUUGAAUAAAGGGUAACGUAUUAGUUAUGUUGUUGAACUAAUACUGGCAUGCAUAUAAAAAGUUAUUUGAUUGUGUUCGAGCUUCGAAUAAACGAAUUUAAUUGUAGGAAAUCAAUAAUUGUGGCUAAAUUGUCUCGAUGAUAGAAUUUGCAUUCCAGGAAAAUAGUUUUUAAGACGAGCUUCAAUUGCAUCACCAGACAUGAUAUUAUGUCUCUAUCUCCUAAAAGUACAAUCAAUGUGAAGGUACAACCACCUUCUGUCAAGUGUUGUACUUGUAUGAAUAGUAUAUAUUUAUAAUGAUUGCUCUUAGAAUUUACUUUGUUUUAAAGUUUUUGUUAAUUUUUUAUAUGUUGAAUGAAGUCGAUACCUCUUACAUGAAAGUGUUAAUAUUUGCACUUUUCAGAUUGUUUCUGCUGUCUCGGAAUUGUUAUUUACGAAAGCGAUUGAAACGUUGGAAACAGUCAUUUUAGCCUUUUUCUGCCAGCGUAUUCUGCUGUAAGGCGUUUCUGUUAUAUUAUAAUCUUGGAAUUUUAUCCCCUAAGGGACAACUUAACAUAUAAUUUCGUGUGUUCACUGAGUGUGGUGCAUCUGUUUACAUAUGCAUGUCAGUUGAGAAAUUGUGCUUGCAAUUACAUUUACAAGUUUAAACGAAAUUUGGUUUUCAAGUUUGGCAACCCACUAUUUCCAUUGCCUAGAAUUUUUUGUUGGGCUGUGAUAGCGUUGAUGUCCUAGAAAUUGUACAGUUGCAGGAUAACAUCGGUGGAGACCCCGCAGACCUCACUUUUGGUAUUAAACAAUUUAUCAAUGGUGAUUUAUACCUGGCGAAUAUUGGUUCGUGUAAGCAGGUAAGCAUUAUUUACUUAAGCAUUUAGUAAACCUCGUUUUUAGUUAAUUUUGAUGUUAUGUGUCAGUUUAUUUCACCCUGAUUUUGCAAUCAUCAAUAUAUUUUUGUCCCUGUGAACCAUGGUUUUACACACUUGUACUUAUUGGUUAUAUUAAUAUACGAAAUGUGGGUGGAGAUAUGGGAUUCAAUGCCCAGUGCAAUGAAGUCACAAAUGUUUGUUGUUGAAUGCAAACGAGCAGUGAGUUAACAAUCUAGAUGCCAAUGGAUGUGUACUUUCUCCAAAAAAUAAAUAAAUAAAUAAAUGAACCACUGUUGUUGUAAAUAAUCCUCCUCUGUUUUAAAAGGAAAUGUCAUGUGUUUCUAGGAUUAUAAACUGCAAUCUACCUAUUGACUGGUGUUCCUACAACUAAGAUUCAUUGAGAUGGCGUUGCAGUAUUGUGGCUCAAAUUGUUUAUUGGGAAGGUUAAACAUGAGUGAGUUCGUAAUCCAACUUUGUACCAGAAAGGACAGUAUACAUAACGAAUUAGAUUGUGCAAUAUAUGUUAUGUUGAUGAUAGAGAGGUAUAAAAUCUAGUCGUGCUUUCUGUGGAAGAGGUGCGUCAAUGUUUUAAACUAUUCAAUGCUAUAACCCAGGCCGUUCAUAAUAUUUAUAUAUUGGAGCAAUUUUUACCGCCUCCUAAUUAUUGUGUUUGUGCAUUUCAUUCAGAUAAAGUUUGAUUCAGGUAGUGAGAGGGCACGCAUUGUGAUAGAUCUCAUGAGAUACCAGUUUCAACUAUUUAAAGGACAAGGUUCGUUUUAAGGCUGAAAAGCAUCGAUGACAUCUUGACCAUGAAGCCCAUUCAAUUUAUGAAGCAAUUGAAAAAAAGCGCUUACUACAGCUUCGGACUGCGAGCCAAAUGGGCCAUGGUCGCCGCCAUUAAGCCGGAUUUGCUUUUACGUUCAAUUGUAUAAGUUAACAUCCAUGCUUUGAAGAAAGAAAAAAAAGUUAGGUUUGACAAUUGUAGUUCUUCAUUUGAAAAGCACAAUCAACCACUCAUAAUCGUGACUGCUAAACAACUCAUGUUUUGUUGCUGGCAUAGAACAAUCAAGUUUCCAUUGUGGAUGCCGCAGUGUCUCACUACUGAAUUUUAUCAUUUAUGAGUUUACAUUGUCGUCAAUUUUUAAUAUGUCUGUCAGCAGCUGUACCUGGAGUAUUAUAUCAGCGAAUGGUGUUAGCUGAAACAACGUCUCCUCUGAACUCUGCAUAUUUUAUGAUACUGAUACUUUGGCCUGGACAAGUUACUAAAAUUUUCAAUUGCCAUGGCCCUGACCCAAAGCUUUUUGUAUUAAUUGAACUCAAGGAUGGAUUGAAGUUACACAAGUUUUGCUUAUUUAUGCUUGGCAUAAGUAUAAACAAUGUUUAUCAACUGCCAUAUUAGUUAACCCCUAACAUAAUCAUGCAACCUCGUCCAAUUUUUUACUUGUCAGUACCUCUUAAAUAUUCUGUUAAUAACAAAAUAAAUGGAUACAGUGGUUGAGAACAUGUUUCCAUUACGUCCCUAACCUCUAGAUAUUUUUGGAGUAGUGCCAAUGUUAUUUUACAGAUUCCAAAUAUGGGUGUAGUUAGUUGGUGUAGAUGAUGAGGUUGCAAUGCAGUUCGAUAGACUUGCAAAGGCACUUGUGUUUAGACUGGCUGAAAAUUCACUUGUUGUACUAGCUGAAAAUUCAUGGAACCAUGACUCUGAUGUUCCCCUUAAUGGCCCACCAUUUUCUCUUAUUUGCCUCUGUAAAGGUUGCCUCCCUGGUUCAUUGAUCUGAGACAUUACCUCCAACUUUAAAGUCAAUUGGUGAAUAUCUAUAAUAGCCACAUUGUAUGCGGCCAAAACUUGAUCCAGCAAAUCUAAGUAAACUUCAGCAUGCUGCAUAUAUUUGGCCAAUACGAGCCUGCUCUGUCAUGUAAUGUGAUUUAUUAGAACUUAUAUCCAACGAAGUGUGAGCUUUUAUCUUUGCGCCUUUACUCCAUCGAGACAGAAUUAUCGAACUUGGAAUUUCUGUCAUAUUCUGAGCCUUCAACAAAAUAAAUGAAUGCGAGCAUGGAAUUCCAAUUGUCUCUAACAACUUGCAGCUGCACGAUAAGGUUUUGGUGGCCUCAUUUAUCACUACUUUCACCUCUUUUCCAACUAAGCCAAACCGCUCAACUCUGUACGUUGUUGAAAUUAUAUCCCGGUCAACAUUUCUGCAGUUAACAACGCUUCCUUGUCGAUUUCUUCUCGUACGAGGUGAAACAUUGCCCUUGUGAACUUUUCAGCUGCUUACUGCUCAUACAUCUUCAAAUGUGUAACCAAUACAGGACGUCCAUCAAAACUAUGAAAGUCAUCAUUCCCCUCUCCUUCCCUUUGCCGAUCCAUUAGUCGGUCCAUCUGUUUAACAAAUUCUGUCAAUCGGAGCCUUCUAUUCACGUAAUGGUUUAGAUACGCAUUCAUUCCUUCCAACCUCUGAGUGCUUCUCAUUCCCCCAAAAAACUUUCCAUGCAAAUAAGUCUCAGCCCACAUAUGUCUAUCCUUAAACAUAUUUACAACCCAUUCAUUUGUGGCAACAUUAUGCUUAUCCACCAUUAAUUUCCAUUUUUGGUCAAAUUCUUCUUUUGUGUAAGCGUUCAUCAUGCAGCAGCAAAAUUCGGUUGUAAAUUCAAGGUUUUUAACAUUUGUUUGAGCAUUUCAGACCAAAUGCCAAUAACACAACCUGUGAAAAGCUUCUGGAAAUGUCUUCCUUAUUGUAUUUCGCAUUACUUUAUCCCCAUCGGUUACAACUGUCCUCGGAUGCUUGUUGUUCAUUGCUAUCAUUAAUAUCUCUAACAACAACCAUGUGUACGUGUGUUCUGUCUCAUCUGAAAAUAGAGCAAACCCGAAUACAAUUAUUCGCCGAUGGUGAUUUAUCCCCAAAAUAACCACGAGAGGCUUACGAUAUGCAUUGGUCUUGUAAGUUGCAUAGAAUGCAAUAACAUCACCAAAUAAUGCAUAAUCUGUGCAUGAUCCGUCGUCACACCAAAACAAGUCCCCAAGUCGAUUGGAACUAGUGAUUGUGAAGUCAUAAAAGAAUGAUGGAUUCGAGCUUUUUCUUCCAUCGAAAUAUAAUAGGCACGUCUCAGCAUCUGAUUCUUUCAACGAUGCAUGCCUCUUCGUAACCAGCCUAUUUUCAACAUCCCUCAUGCUAUACCCAACCUUGUCGUAACCCCUGAUCUGUCAACCAUAAACUCGUGUAUUUGAGAUGGCUUCACUCCCACUUUGUGUAAUGAUAAAACAGCCGACAAGUCGGGACCAGUCACUCCUCUGUGGGACCUAAUGUGGUGCACUAGCUCAGGCGGUGUUAAAUUGUGAUUGUGCACUCUAUGAAAAAAACUACAUGCCCAUCGGCGAGUAUAUUCAUUGUAAAUAAGUCGAAAUUGUGCUCUACAUCCUGUCCUUGUCACAGCUUUGGCCUCUCGCCCUCUGCAUCUAUUUUCCAUGUGCUUUGCAGCCCUGAAUCCCUGUCGGCUGCAAAUCCACAUUCUGCCGAUGAUAUUCCCCUUCACAUUUCUCCGUUUAUUGUGUUUCCGAAUGCCGAAGCCAACUGUCCUUGCAUAUUCUUGGUAGCAUAUGCCAACCUAUUCUUCACUUGUGAAUUCUUUUGCUAACAUUUCCAGAAGCGCAUUCUCUACCUCACUACGAUCAUCGGCACACUGCUGUUAGUGAGUAUCAGUCUCCAAGUGACCACUUCCUCCACGGUUGUCACCUUGGAUGUUCAACUGGUGUUCAGUCACGAUUUCUGCCCCUUCACUAUCUGUCUCCGCUCCAUUGUGAGUCAAUGCAUCUGAGCUUCGUUCAUCGUCAGAAGUUAUAUUAAUCUGGUAGUGGAAAUCAUCUCCGUCAUAUAAUCUUUUGUCUGAAUCAAUCAUUGUGCUCAUAGGUUCACCAUUAGAUAACGUCAAAUUUCAAGUGGUUAAGACUUCUUUUUCCUCUGUUAAUAUUUUUUUUGUUGCAAGUUUUUUCUUUUCCUUUCAGUACCUUUUACGAAACUUCUUUCACUAGCGUAGGCGGCACAAAGAAGCUUCAAGUUGGUGUCUCUUCCCGCGUCCAAGAUUUUUUAAAAGUUUUAUGCUUAUUCACUUAGCGCACACCAGCACUUGAGCCCCGUCCCCCGGCCACCAAGACACUUUAUAGAAUUCCCUAACAAAUUAAUAAACUAUACCAGUUUAUUUAGUUGUUAUGUGGCCUAAUAUGACAUAUGCUUGCAUUACUAAUCCAAGGCGUUGUAUAAAGACUUGCUUGCCACUUAUUAAUUGAUGGCAAUUGAUUUAGUAAUUGUUUACGGAUCUUUAAAGCUUCAUCAAGAUAUUGCACAUUGUCACGGCACCAUGUUCAUUUCCCAUGUUGUAACACCAUCCAUUUUUUGUUUCAUCUACUAGAUUUCCAACUCCUUAUAUUCGCUAUAAAACCACAAGUAUGGACACAUUAUAUUUUUGCGUGAGUUACAAAUAUAUUUUACACUCCGUUACUCUUACAAUUCAAGUUGUCAAUAAGUAAAAUUACAUUUUCGCUAUGUUUGACUAUGCAAAACCCGUUUGAGAUCGGUGUAGCAAAUAUCAAUAUUUGCUCGGAAGUUAGAAAGCAACUACCUUUCUGUUUCAGCUAUUAUCAAUCAUAUUACUCCCUAAAAAAGAUAUGGGUCAUAACAUAUAAUUCUGUUUUACCUUAUUGACGACAUGUAUGCGACCAAACGAUCGGUCACCAAAGUUAUAAUAUACAUUAAUUGAUGGUCUCAAAUCAAAACCAGUAUAGAAUAGAACUAUAAGAUAGUGGUCAAUUACCAUCGCAAGCAAUCGACAUUUCAGAGGGGAACGUAAGUAAAACAAACUUUAUGUGCAAUCAUCUAUGGCAUCUGUGUGUUUGUAAUUCUUAUAUACUAAAUAUUCGUAGUUAAGGAAAUGCAAUGCUUAAAUCACUCGUAACACAAUUAAUUGAACUUAUUCAUAUAAUGCAUGGUUGAGCAUGAUAAACAUAUUCAUUGAUGUUUUUUUCCCAAAUAUGGGCAUCUGUGAUGAAAAUCCUAAUGCUAAAACUGUGAACUGCAAAAGAAUAUCAAUUAACCAUAACAAUUCAAUAGCAAAUGGAAGUUAUAAUCACACCAACAAUCUUCGCUCAAAGCAAAGGCUGACUUCAGCCACAAUUUCCCACUAUUCACCCACCAUCCUUUGUUACACCAAAGCAUAACAUAACACACAGAAACAUACCCUCAUAUAUGGAAGAAAAUUUCACUUACGUUCGAACCUCUUCGUAAUCGUUGCAGUUUCCGUUUGAGGGACCUGACUCUUGUUUUCGAGAUGGAUUCCUUACACCUAACGAUCAUCGUUUCCAACACUUUACUAUGCUCCAACAAGUAUUCCAACAACUAUACUUCCUCUUCAUCUCCUGUUAGCCCCCUAACGUCAAUUCUCUUUACCUGUUUUACCAAACAGUCGGGCACAUUUUCUAUUUGAAGCCAUCCAAAAUCUUCUUCGGUCACUUCAAACCAGCAUUCCUACGAAGGAUAAAAGUAAAAUAUGAUAUCAUAAACCCAUGGCGAAAAUUAAGAAGAAUAGUUGAACGCCAUCAACGAUCACGACACCCUCACCUUGUGUAAGACAAGAGUUUUUUAAGAUCGGUGAACUCCUUAGGAUGAUGGGCAUAAUUCGCCAUCCAAAUAGUCCAACCGUCACUUCAAAACUCUGUCAAAUUAGGCAAGGAGGGCUUGAAACUCUCGUAACACAAAUCCAGGGCUUGUCAACAUAGAAUAGAACUUUUGGUGUUAGAUUUAUUAAUGAACCGUUAUAUAUUACUAGCGUUUAUCAGCAGUGGCCCUUAUUGUGCCAACUAGAAAUUGUUAACUUUUUUCCCACUUGGAUAAUAACAGAUACAAACUGCUUUACCCAGCUACAACGAGCAUAUUAUCCUGUCUUAAUGCUUGGUAUCAGAAAGACAGAGAUUGCGAUAUCAAUCAUAUGGUUAUAUCAAUACACAUCAUAGGUCUUGUAGUGCACUAUAUUGGGCAUACUUACAGACACGAUGCCAGCAGAUACAGUCAGAGACUUAGUUGCAGUCACACCCUCUAGAAGCCAUACCACAUGGUUCGGAUCGCCUUGUGCCCAUUCCCUAUACAAAAUUUCCAAUUUAACUUCGUUCACGGAAUGUACACCGUGCAACUUAAACUCUCCCAACACGUCAGCAGUAAUACGGAGACAUUGCAGAUUUGGCGUUGUAAUGAUCACUGUGUAGUCAAUGUAAGUAAAAACAAAAUCCUCUAGUGCUACAGUAAAGGCAAACUUCUUCAGUGUGGACGAUGAAAUGAUGAAGUUUGGUAUGUCCCCGUCAUGUUUCAAAAUAGCCUUAAUACACAGAUCUUCUAUUUACUAAUUUUAUUUCAACCUUAGCAAACCUAGCCAUUCACCUCUUCCCAACCAAGGCAUUUCGAACACCCCAUCUUCGAAAUCCACUACAAAAUCGCAUUCACAGACGUGAAGCCUACAUAUGCAUACCAAACGAAUCUAAGAUUUUAUUUAAAUCAACAUGCAUGCAAUAAUAUCUCGAUAAUCUUCCAGUGCCUGCAAAAAUGCCAGAUUUAUAAUACCAACAAGGCCAACUUCAAUAAUCUAGACAUCAAUAGAAUAUAAUAGCAGAAAUCGACAGUAAUAUUUUUCUUAAAUGCGUCACGGCAAAAUCAAAAUCACGAGCACCAAAAUACACAAAUUCAUUUACAAUUCAAGAAAGAAUCUUUACCCUUCCUUACCUAAUGAAAUUUCGGAUAAUUUCCCUCUCUCGCAAAAGUCAGAUUUGAGAUUCAAAUCUGUAUCACAUCUUAUUCUCGUAUUUAUGUUUCCAUGGACUUCAAGAGCUUCAUUAGACAACCGGUUUAAACGAUUGUUGUUAGUAACUACGUCCGCUCUCCAAAUUUUUAUUUAAACUGUUGGAUUGAACAAACUUAUAUCCAAUGGCUUGACUAAAUAAAGACAAAAAUUAUGGCAUGGUACCACAGUGGCAUCGCAGGCAAGUCCAAAUAACAAAUAUUAAAAUGAUUAUAUUAUUAAACUUUUGGGCUUAAUUGACUAUAUUCAUAUUUGGACGAGAAAGUUAUGCCACGAAUGGAAGAAUUUAAUAUUUUGAGUUGGUACAAAACAAAUGCGCAUAAGUCUCCUAUAUUGGCACGAAUUGUUAGAGAUAUUUUAGCAAUUCCAAUUACAAAUGUUGCUUUUGAAUCAACUUUUAGCAUUAGUGGCUCGAGUACCGUAAUAGGCUUUCAUUUAAGCACAUUGGAGGCUUUAAUGUGUUGUCAAGGUUGGCUGAGAGCUUACAAUGGUAGUAAAAAUUUAUUUUAUAUUGUAAUUAUGUUAUAUAAUUAUUAAUAUUUUCACUUAUAAGUUACAUUACUUAUAAUUUCCUUUUUUAUUGUAGGAUUAUGAAGAUAAUUAUUAUGGUAAUUUUUAUUUUGUAAUGGAUUAAUGUUAAUAUAAGAUAUAUCAUCAAACUUUAUUUUUAUUUAAUUUUUUUAUUUAAUAUGGUUAAAUUAAAAUCGAAAACUAAAAAAUGUAUUAGUUAUUCGGAUAUCGGGGACUCUCGGGGAUCCUCUAUUAUUAUUCAAGGAGGGGAUGGGGAGGGAACGGGGACAUAUGCAGAAUAUCGGGGAUGGGUAUGAGGAGGUCGGUCUCCUCCCCUUCCCUCCCCAUUGCCAUCCCUACUAGAAAUAUUGCAAUCCAAAACUAAGAAAGUUAAAACCAAUUAUUGGAAGGAAAAAGUAAGAUGGAAGCUCCCAGAAUAUUGUUAUGUGUUGUUUGUUUUUUAGUGUGUAUUUCUCAAUCAAUAAUGAAAAAGUAAGUACACAUGUUACAAAAAAUUAAUAAAGAAGAUUGGAGGUGACUAAAUCUUCUAAUUAACUUUCUCUCCUUUGGAAUUCCUUAAUUUGGUAGAGAUCGCUUAAGUGGUGUAUCUAUUAUAAAUACUCCGAUGUGGAAGUUAAUGUUUUUAAUUGUUAAGAAAAGUUAGAAGAAGAAAUUUUUGUACAAAAGAAUCUGGUUUAAAUUUGGAAUUCUUUAGCUGGAAAUGAGUCUAAAUUCUAACGAUACAAUUUAGCACUAAAUAUUAGUUGGGUGAAAAAUUAAUUUCGCUCCUUUGAUGUGAUUUUGGUCGUUUAUUUUCAAAUUAGGGUAAUUUUUUGUUUAGAGUGUAGCUAUUGGCUCCCCGUCAUUAUGCUUAUAUAAUCCUACUUCAAAUAAAAUUACACUUAAGAACAAUAGAAUUAAAUAAAUAUAGUUUUUUUUUCAAAACAAAUUACUUACAUUCGUAAUCAUUUUCUUUUUAAUUUUUUACAUGUUGCUUCAUAUCUAACUAAAAUAAUUGUACAAAUUUAAAAAAAUCUUUAUUCAUUCCAAAUUUCUUAUUGAUUAAAUAUUUUUGUACUUAGGAUUGCUUUAAAAUUAUAAUGUAAAAAAAUUUAAUUUAAUCUAGUGAUUAAAAUUUAUCACCUAAAAACAUUUUUAAUUUAUGUGUAGGAAAAUAAUAAGAUUGCAAAAGACAAGAAAAAUAGUACAACACUACUCUGAGUUUUAAAAAAUAAAAAAAAUCAAAUGAAAAAUUAGAAGUGUAUUAAACAAAAAGAAUAUUUUUAGAAAUAAAAUAAAUGUACUUAAAAAAAAAAAGAGAUUUCAUGAUGAUAUUAGAUGGGUACAAUAGUCAAAUUCUUUUGUUUUAAAGUUUUAAGAUGUUGGUAUUUGUAACUUAGCCUAUCCCUAAUUAUUCUAUUAAAAUGUAUAAACAACGAUGAUCAACCCUAAUUUCAUGGAGGUCAAAGAUUUUGGUCACGCUCGCGUGAAUUACUUGGGACGUACUUUAUGUAAAUUUAUUUACAUUAAAUAAUUGGGCCAACGCUAUAUGAGGCGCCGCCUGGAGGCAUAGAAUUUUAUAUGUCAAAAGUGCGUUUCGCUUCAAUUAAGCCAUGAAUGUCGCUUAGUAUACUCAUUUUGUAUUUAAAAAAGUUUUAUUAAUUUUUUAUUUAUAAAAAUGUGGUUUAUUUAUUUAUUUUUAAAUUUUUUAAAGAUAAAGGGAUGGGUUAAAAUACAAAUUUCAAUUUUUAUCCCUUACAUUCUGUCUCCUAAGAUUUAAACUUAGUUACCAACCAAAUGCGUAAUAAUAGGUAUGUCAAAUUUCAUUUCAAAUGAUAUGUAAUUAAUUAAGUGACUGUUAAUUCUUUACAAGAUCUAAACAAAUUACUUAUAUUAUCUUAUCAACCAAUUGAUAAAAUGUCACGUUAUGAAAGGUCUUUGGAAGAAAAUUCUACUCAGCAAAUAUUGCCUUCAAUGUGUUAUAUGUAUUAUUUACUCCAAACUUACUCGUCAAAACAAUAAAUAAUAUUAUUGCCAAAAUUACUUGUAAUAUCACUUAAAUGCAACAAUAAAUCAUAAAUGAGAUAAAUCACUAAACCCUUCAAUAGAAUAUUUUAAAGCCAAAAAAAGGCAUCGAUUCAUUAUGGUUCAGAUGAUUUCAAGCCAUAUGUCCUUGUUGGGAUAAAAAUAAAGUAAAAUGGUUAAAACUAUUUUUACGUAAUUUAUAAAAAUUAAUGAAGCAAUUAAAAUUUUUUUAACUCGAAAAAAAAUUAAAAUGUGUAUGGAAAAAAGAAAAAAGAAGACACUUAAAUAUCUUUUUAAAGAACAUGAUUAAGUAAAAUCAUUUUAAAGAAUGGUCUUCCAAAUGCAAUUCCACAUUUUUUUAAUUGCAUUGGGAUAUUGCAAAAUUGGCACAACUCAUUAAGAAUUCGCAGUUCAAUUUUUAUUUAUCUCUCUAUGCAUUUGACAAAUUAAAAAAAAAUCCAUAUAUCUUCUAUUCAAAAGAAACCUUGUUAAAUACUGUAAAACACAUUACUAAUUUUUUUUUUCAUUUAUGUCAUUAUAUCGUCACUAUUUUCUCGCCCACUUUCUGAAAAUAGAAUCAAUAUUUGUUGAUGGGUUAGGUUCCAAAGUAAGCACCAAUUCAAGAAAAUGGUUUUAUAGCAGAAAAAGCACUUGUAAGACAUUCAAAGCACUUUUUUCCAUUUUGUCUUUUGAAAAUGAGUCUGGAGUCUCCGCAAGCCAAGAAGAAUGGCUAACAAAUGUAUGGUACCAAAGAAAGAGAAACACACACACACACACAGAUUAUUGUUGAGAUGUAUAUGUGUGUAUAAUAUAUUAAUAUGUAUAUAUAUCCCCAUUAAUUGUUGAUAGUCCAAUGGGUAAAAGGAAAAAAUUGGCCGUCCUUUAAGACAAAAUUCAUUGUCAUAUGAAAAUGUUAACCACAAAACAAAAAUAAAGAUUCCAAGAACAAAUUUGUGGUCCCCUUUUUGUCCAAACUUACAUGAUAGAAAUUAAUGUUUAAAUGACAGUUGAAAAAUGUAGAUCCUCACGCAAUUGAUUAAAUAUUUAUAGUAGGAUGGAGUGAUAAAUAGUUUCUCAAAAUUAUUGGAAUUAACUAUUUAAUACAUGAGAUUUAUCUCAUUAAGGAUAAAAGAUUAAGAUGCUACUUCAAAAGCAUAACGUUGCCAACAAUAAAUUUAACACAAAAGUUUAAUUAACUUUCUUAGUUGAGAUAAUAAAAUUUCGUGUUGAAAAUAAAAGGUUUGAGGUUCGAACCUUGUCAUUCAAGAAAAUCAAGUCAAAAUUAUUACAUCUUCCAGCACAUACCAAAGAUUUUUUUCAAAGGCAGACUGAUAAUUCAGGAUUAAAAAAAAACAAAAGGAAUAUAUGCUAUUCAAGACAGGUAUACCUUGAUUCUCAAAAAAAAAAAAGACAGGUAUACCUUGGACAUGAAGUCUGAGUCCAGAACAAGAAGCACCUAGCUGAUCUUUCAAUUUCCAAAACCGAACGAAAUCUUUGUCAAAAUAUCUGAUCUAGUCUCAUAUUAAGCACAUUCACAGCCGUAUCAACAGGGUCAAAAUAUUUUCCCCAAAAAGAGACACAGAUUCCCCUGAAGUUGAGUUGUGACUGUCCAAACUGCUAUAAUUAUAUGGUUCAGGAUACCAUGCCUGUGAAUCCUUUUUUUUUUUUUCAUGUUUCUAAGUCUAUCAAAUGAAAAUGUAAUUAUAUGGUUCAGGUUACCAGUAUGCCAGAGAUGCAAAGGUUGACUUCCACUAUCCUAUCAGGGCCUAUACUUUCUAUUGAAUUUCCUUUUUUUUUUUUAAAUUGCAAGAUUUAUUUUUGGAAAUCUUUGACAUUGAUUCUCAGUAGCAACUUUUUUUUUCUUUUUUCUUCUUUUAAAAAAAGGAAGCCAUAUAGAUAAUGCUUUAAACAUUAUUUGCAACAAGGAACGAUUAUUUCAUGCUUUCAGGUAUUACAAGCUUUCCAGAAAUGCUAGCAAGAAAAUAUGAAGGAACUUUACCUAGUCACAGAAUAUGUACUGCCUUUAGCACAAUUGUUAUGAAGUGGCUUCUGCAUCAGAAGAUUCUAGCUCCCACCAAGCAUCCUUAUCUUCCUUCUGGAUACAGUCUGCAUCGCUGGGCAUGAAUUAUAUGAUUGAUGUCUGCAUCCUCACUUACAUCAUCCCAAUCAAGCGCUUUUUCUCUACCUCUGAAUUAUAAGCCCACUUCAAUCUCUUCAAAACAUCCUGGUCAUUCCAUCACAGCUGAUACGUCUUCCUUCCUUGCUUCCCCAUUAAUGAAUCCCUCUAAGAAAAAAAAACAUCAGCAAUUCUCUUCAACGUCCCAUCAUUCAUAUACCCUGCAACACCCGUCUUUAGACACCUCAACGUCGCCUCCUGCAAAACCUCCACAAAAUCUGAAUCAUCCGACACAAACACCAAACACCCAAACCUUCUUUUGUCCAUCAUAUCCACCAUAUAAUUCCUCAACAAAACAUCGGCAGCUUGUAGCUUAUCUGACAUUGUCCUGACCCAAAACCACACUCUUUUCAACUUUACUACCAAACUAUAACCCACUUUUGGAGUCAAAGUUGCCUUUGAAGCCAUUUUAUAUGUUUCCAUCCUCAUUGAAUAGUUGCCAACCAAAUGCUCUCUCAUCUUCCCUUUGGCUGAUUCUAUUUGAUUUAACCUCUUCUUUUGUUCACGCUUAUGAAUUUGCUUAAAAUGAUUAACAAGCUUGUCAUUAUUAUAAAGUCUCAAGUCUCCUUCCACAAUCACCAAUACAUAUGGCUCAGCAGGCCUAAUUACACCCUUGAUUUCCAAUUGGUUAAACAAUUCUUUAAUUUUCUUCUCUUUGCUCUCUUGCAACUCGAGGCACAUAACUAAACGCUAGGCUAUUAGCAUGUGCCACCAUGUACUUAACAACCCUAAAUGACGAUAUUGAUUUUUUUCAAUUUAAUGGUCGCUUCACAAUGGGGUAUUAAUUUAGAUUUUGUUAUCCAAAUAUCAAAGAAUUCCUACAUUGUGUUGGACAGUUUCUGGUUCUAAAGUUGAUGACCGGUCUUGCCAAUUAGGCUCCGAAUGAGAACUUCUAAACAAUAAGACAAAUGGGUUCUGGGUUUCUAAUCUUGUAAACUUUGUUCUACUGUAUAACUUAUGAAAUUGCUGAAACAUCACUAUAGCUACAGGCCUUUAUGUGUCAAUGAACUACAGAAGCUAAUGAUCUACCUGUAGUAGACUUCUAUUAUCCCUGCCGUUCCAGGAAGACAAAUAAGUUGAGGAACUACUUCUGGACCAAUAUUGCCACUGCUUUGGGCCAAUCUGAGAGGGAAAGAAGGUUGAAGUUCCUAAAUUAGGUACAUCAUGAUUUGAUAGAAGUACCACUUCGAGGAACAAUUGAUUUCAGGGCAGUGCUAAAAUAUGACAUAAUCUCCCCCCAAAGGCCUAAAGCAACUUCUCUUAGCGUAUCAAGAAAUGACAUCAACCAAGCAAAAAUAUAUAAACCAGUUGAGAUACAAAGUUAUCAUAAAAUUCAAUUUUGAUCACAAAUCCAUUAAAAUUGUUGAGAUACAAAGUAAUAAGAAAUGGAACAAAGGUGUAAAUCGAACACCAAAAGAAAUUUAUUUGGCCAGCCACAUUAUGUUCCCACACAGUCAACUAAUUAAGUUAAUAAUUAAAGGGAAUCAAAAUCUAAGAAAUCCCAUCUUCAAGCAGGAUGAAGACACACUAGGACCGAGAAUCACAAAAUCAUAACAAGCUGACUUGAAAAGCUCAAAGGUACCUUCAUCAGCCCCUUAACUAAUAUCUGAGAACAAAUGCCUGCAGCUUGUGAAGGCAUAGAUCAUUCAAGCAGAUAAAACAACAAGCAACUAGUCGCAUAUGUACUCAGCAACUUUCUAAAGUUAAGGCAUAAAACAACAACAUAGAAUAAAUUAAUUAAAUGUACCAACACUACUACUCUCAUUAUUAUCCAAAUGUAGAAGCCCAAUGCAUCAAACAAGGAAAAUGAGAUACUGUUAAUAACUCAAAAACCAUGAUGGUCAAGAACUAAACAAUAGUAAACUAACAAGUAAAACCCGUAAUCAAACACAACCACAUCAAAAUUUUUGAAAAUUGAGGUCUAAACAUUGAAAACAAUUAGGCAUAUACAAUAGUUAAUCAAAACAAACCCUCAAAACAAUAAUGAACUGUCAUAAGACAGAAACUAAAGUUUAAACUAACGCAUACCCUGUAACAGUGGUCAACUAACAAGUCAAAACCACAAUCAAACAUAGAAUUUUGAAAUCCAUACGAACCCUAACAUAUUACAAUGAAAGGAUAAGGAUAACUACUUGAUAAACUAGACUCCAACAAAAACAUACCUAGUUAAAAAAUGAAGGUAAAUAAAUAAAAAUUGUAUAAAAUUGCGAAAAAAUAGACAAAAUGAUGAGAAAACAGGGAUCUUAUGAAGAGAAAUGUAGACAAAAUCUUCAGGUGUCGAGAAGAUGCCUUUCUUUGUUGACUUUUGUGCCUGUACAUACUUUUUUUUUUUCUUUGAAGAAAAUACUAGUUAUAUAUUAUCAGGACGAAAUAUUACAAGAUGCUAGCAAUUUCAACAGGGACAAUCUUCAAUCCAAAUGUACCCCUAUGAAAAAGAAAAAGCCAACUUGGCUAAUUUGUGAGCCACCACAUCACAAUAUCUAGGUACAUGUUUAACUAUAUAAAUCAGAAGCUCUAUUAAUCAUAAGUCCCUUGACCUCCAAUACUAGCCAACUAAUCUCUUUCCUGCUAGACAAGCUUCCAUCAAUCAGACUAACAAUAUUUACUGAAUCAUAUUCUAAAAUUAAUGGAGUUAGACCCACUUCAAUUGUAAGCUUAAUCUCCUUUAAAAGCGCUUCCGCUUCUGCAAAUUCCACAUCAUUAGAAAAAGACCUUCCAUUGAUUGACGCCACCGUGAAUAUGCACGUAUCAAGGAAUUUUUAAAAGCCCAAUGAUGAUUUUUUAAAAAUAUGUCAUCACAUGUGCAUUCUUUUAAUGUAUUGUUAAGAUUAAUCUUUGCUUAAAAAAUCAUAAAUAAUCAUGAAUUUUUAUUAAUGGUCUUUACCAAAUGCAUGCACAGAAGCAAAUUAUGUUCUCGUUGCAAAGUAGUCAUUUAUUCACCAUAAAUAUUAACGUCACACUUUUAGGAUGCUCAAUAUAUGCAUAAUAUUGGGUAAUUUUUAAAGACCUCCCUGAGGUUUGGGGUAUUGACACUUAAAUAGAAAGUAUGUUUGUAAUUACAUAAACCUCCCUUGCCGUUUCUAUUUCCAUCCAAUGACGGUAAGUAGAUCAAUGAAAUGACCAAAAUAUCCCUAAGGCCAAAAAGAAAUUCUUAUAGCAACUAGUAGGUCACUGUUUGUUAAUUGGAUGAAAUAUGUAUUGCUCGCAGCACACUGAUGAAAUGAUGAAAAUAACUAUGAUAACCAAAUAUUUGACAUUGCAUACUCAUUAACUAAAAAAAAAUAAUAAAAUAUUGCUGAAAAAAUUUAACAAUUUCUAAACUUCAAUUAAGAAAUCAUAUUUGCUUCAAGCAAUUCAAAAAUAAAAAUGCCAUUUUUAUCACACAACCCUCGAUUAGUAAAUUUUUAUAGUCCCAUUGAGAUUAUAAAAUCAACAGAACAUUCCAGAAGAAAAUAUACAUAUUUAUGGUUGAAACUACAAACACAAAAAUAUACCAGGUGAAAAAAAAUUUGAUUUCAAAACCAAUCAAAGAGCUUCUUUGGUCUUAGUAGUGCUCCUAGUUGCACAAUAUUUUGCAGCCAGUUCCUUUGCCUUAAGAAAUUCUUGUCCAUCUAGUUUCAAUCAUUGCCCUUUUCUCUUCUACUUCAUUGUUAAGUAAGAAUGUAAGAUCUAUCUUAUUUUUUCGUUUUUCAAGUAUAAUUCUACCUUCUUCCUCUCUAAUCAUUCCUGUCAAUUAUUGAAUAUGCUGAAGAUGAAUCGAAUUAUUUAUUAAAUAUGUGACAUUAGCAGAGAGCACACUAAAAUGCCAAAACCUAAAGGACUUGUGGUUGUGCGGGAUUUUUUUUCAAAGAAAAUAAGCAACUGAAAUUGAACUUAUAUUAUGGGAAAAACAAGAGAGUUGAAUAUGCAUUAACACAUAAAUAAGUAUUGCAUUUGAGGAUGAUGAAGAGCUUCAUAAUGUUGUUUCUAUGCAAAAUUUAUUUUGAUUAAACAUAUCAUAGCUAAGCCUGUAUUUCAUUUUUAAUCAUUUCAUAACAAGAUGAAAUCCUAAGCAAUUACUUGGAAAGAACAAUAAUCAAUAGUUUUUUAAAUGAGAAAGAAGACUCAAAAUUUAUGAAAUUUAGAGUAAACACGAGCUACAUACAAAAAAAUCACAAUAUGUAGGUAUUCACAACCAGUGAACACUAAUCAAGUUAUAGUUAGAUACACAAGGUGAAACGUUAUAUGAAAAAGUAACAUUUGAAACCCAUUUAAAUUGUAUUUGCGAUUAAACCCAUCUAAAUCUUAAAUUGUAAUCACAAAUAUAAUCCUAAAAAUUAUUUUAAUUUUAAAAAAAUCUCAAUUUUUUUUCAUUUCAAUUUUAUUAUAAAUGGAAUUGAAUUUGCGAUUACAAAGCUAAAACCCAUUUUUGUUUAACAUAAAAAUCACAGAAAACAACUAAUUUCUAAUAUGCAAUGGUUUGUUUGGCUAGUACGAGUCAAAGUUGAAUACAUGUAGUAGCUUUUUCAACAAAUCAAAGACAACAUUAAAUCUAUUUUUAAAACACAGCAUCAAAUCAACCAAACGGCUCUAACUUUAACAUGGAUUGAGUUAUUUGAAAUUUUCACCUACUACGAGGUUUAAUCAUUGUCACGUUCCUCAUCGAUCACAGGCAAUGGUCACUCAAUGGCACCAUUGUUCAUCACUUUAUUGUUCAUCACUCUUCUUCAAAACCGAGGCUUCUUCAGACUUGAGCUUCAUUUGGCGAGGUCAGAGCAUAAAGAGAAGAAUUUAUGUUUGAGAUUGUUAAUUAACGAUCAACCCCCGCUGUUGUCACUUUAUUGUUCAUCACUCUUCUUCAAAACCGACGCUUCUUCAGAUUUGAGCUUCAUUUAUUGAGGUCAGAAGCAUAAAAGAAGAAUUGAUGUUUGAGAUUGUUAAUUAACGGUCAACUCGGUCACUUUAUUGUUCAUCACUCUUCUUCAAAACCGACAUUUCUUCAUAUUUGAGCUUCAUUUGGUGAGGUCAGAAGCAUAAAGAGAAGAAUUUAUGUUUGAGAUUAUUAAUUAACGGUCAACUCGGUCAUGAGGUUGCUUUUGAUUUUUUUAUUUAAAUAACUUUUUUAUGAAAUUACCCUCGUACAUUGACAAGAUACCAAAUGAAAUACAAACGGCAUGGGAGGUCUAUAUAAUUAUGGUCACACUCUAUCUAAGUGUCAAUACGCCAAACCUCAGGGGAGGUCCCUAAAAAUUACCCAUUUAAUAUUACAUCUACACCACUAUCUCUCUUUCCACCAAUACUAUCUUUGUUUCCAAGUUGUUAAUUAUUGCUUUAUUAGGUAUGCCUCUAGUUAAACAUUAUUAAUAUCGAUUUUCAUUUGGUUUUUGAUGAAUUCAACCAUAUAUAAGAGUAAGGUCGUUGUUCAAGUACACAUUCACCAAACUUUUCCCUUGGAAUCAGGGGCGGAGACAACAUAUUAAUUGACUGGGGGCUUACUCAACGGCGAUAAAAAAAAUUUAAAAAGUAAUAAAUAAUAAAUUUAAAAGAUUUUUAUCAUACUUCAAUAUAUGUUUAUAAUUGUCCUUUACGAGUUUUCAUACAUUGAUAAUGUUGUAUUACAACUUCAUUAUCAAUAUUAUUGCGGGCUGUUUAAAAAUUUGAUUAAUAUUAAUAUUUAUGGGCUUGAUUUUAGUUUGCAAAGCCCAUCUCUUUUUAUUUGUUUUAAAAACUUAGAGUGUGAGAAUUUAAGUAUAAUUAAGUAUUAGGGACUUGAAUAUAAAUUAGUGGGGCUUAGGAAAAUUUAAUUAGAAAUUUUUGGCAAAUCAAAUUAGUUAGUAAAAGAUUUUUUUUUUUUUUUCAGUGGGGACUUAAGUCCCCACUGGUCCCAAGCUAGAUCCGCCACUGCUUGGAAUUAAGCCAUAUAAAUAAUGCUUUAAACUUUGUUUGCUACAAGGAUGUUUUGCUCACAUAAUAUGGUCAUGCAAGAAAGAAAUAAUAUUGAUACAUCCUAAAAAUAACACGCAUUCUCCUAUUGUAAACCAAACAAUUUAAGCUAAUGGUGCCAAGUGAAGGAAUUGUAAUUUCAUGUACAUUUUGUUAACACGAAAAUAGAGAACUUUAUUAUAGUUUUAUUGUUUGACACACAUUUGGGUAGCAAAAUAAGGGUACAAAAUAGACACAUGAAGUGACAAACUAAGCUUAUUAUAAUAAAUAUUUAAUGAUAAGGUAUAAAUUUAAUCGCAAAUACAUAAGUAACGCACAAAGUCACUAAUUGAUAUCAUCCACGAUGCAAGUUCAAACAACUGCAUAAUAAGUUGCCUCAUGCUAAAUUAUUAAUUUGGUAAUUAUUCCAGUCGAUAUGGGAUAAUUUUCCUAUCNNNNNUUAAUUAAUUAANNNNNAGAAGCUACGUACGGUAUAGUUAUGGCUAACCGUACACUGUACGUAGCUUGUUAUUGUUCUAAACACAAGACGACUGAAACGAGACACAUCACACGAACGACAGCAAAUAAUUAAGGUAGCCACAGCUAGCUUUCGCUGCUAACGAUGGAUAUAAUUUCUUUCAUUGAUAAGCAACUAGCACUCGAAGUAACAGAAGCACGCAUAACCAGUUCCUUGUCUGUAGCAAGCCCCGUACCUUGCAUCCUCCUGCUGCUUGCAGUGCCUGCUACAUUUCCCCGUGUUGAGACACGGCCCCGACCAUGUCUUGCUACGCCGCUGGCACACUUUUGCUUCCGCCAUUGGCACUUCUGUAACAAGCAUACAAAAUCAUUAACGUGCACUUAGAUAUAUAAGUUAUUAUCAAAGCUCAUGGGUGUCAACAAAUUCAGGUGGUAAAAUGAUCUCUUAGGUUGAAACAAGAAGUCUGAGGUUUAAACUCUGCUUACAUGAAUGGAAGAGUGCUUUAUAUUACAAUAUACCAGUAUACAAACACACACACACACACACUAAAAUCUGAAAUAAAAAAAAAAUUGUUAUGAAAGUUUAAUAUGCAUGCAUAUGAAACAUAUAUAUGAUUUUGCUUCCCCUCUGGCAUUUCUGUAACACAUACACAGCAUAUUUAAUGCACUCAGUUAGCUAAUAUUAGUUAGGCACGUGGGCUUAUGAAUGGUAUUUAGUGUCAGACUCAUGCGCAAGUAUGCCCUCAUCGCUUAAGAGCAGUUAUUCAAGAAAACUUCAACUAUAAACUAACUUUUGAGUAUGAGUUAGGCUCAAGUCUUUUUGAAACUGCACAACUUAAUAUCAUAGGCAAAACUUAAAAUUAAAUUUUGAUUGCUGAAAAACUAUUAAGUACUGGUUAACAUCAAGUCACUCACCGAAGGAAGCAAAGAGUAUGAAGAACGCAAAAAUAAGAGCAAAAGCUGUGGUAAUGCUAGCAACUGACUUAGCCAUUUUUGCACUUGCUUUGGUUUUAAUUUGAUGAAAUUGCUGAAGGCCCCAACCCCUAUUUAUACUUGGAUAUAAGCUGUCUCUUCGUCUCUAGCCAAGAUCCGCGAGAGACAAAGAAACAAUAAAUUAAUUAACCGGGGAAAUUUGAAUUAGACACUAAAAAAUGAAUUCACGCUCGGAUUAUUGACAAAAAAUUUUACAGUUUAUGCAAAUAAUUGUGAAUUAGAAUGACGUCCUGCCAAUUGCUAUAUUAUAUGCACUCUGAAGUAGUCUUAGGUAGUUGAAAUCUUCAAAUUUAAAUAUAAUACGCAAUGCGAACUUCAAUGACCCAUUCUUCCCCAUAACCUUGUCAUUGACAAAGAUUUUACAGUUUAUUCAGAUAAUUGUGAAUUGAAAUAGUGUCCUGCCAAGUGCUCUAUUCAUUAUUUCAUAUGCACUCUGAAGUAGUCUUAGUUAAAUCUUAAAAUUUAAAUAUCAUAUUCAAUGCCCGACUUCAAUGACCCAUUCUUCCCUAUAACCUUGUUAAACCACCCUAUCGGAUUCUGUAUAUUCUAUUUAUUGUGUGGUUAAUUGUUCUUAUCAAUCGGAUCUAUGACAUACAGCGCUUCAUCUACGUAGCAAAAUGAUGGUGCAAGUAUAAUUUUCUAUUGCUAUAACAGAAAAUUAAACGUUUUAUUCAUACUAUUACUUUUAUAAGUUUUAUGUAAACUUUUAAAGACCACAUUGAAAAGAUAAAUUCACUCUUGUUAUCAUUCAAUUUAGCUUAAGGUCAAUUUAUACCAGAAUAUUGAGAAGAUAGAAAGAACUUAAACAUCAUACUAAAUAGAGGAUUUCUUCCAUAUUUUUAAUACUAUAAUGUCGAUGAUACGUACUAUUUUUACAUUCAAUGAUGAAAAUGAUUUUGGCUCAUAUUAGUCUUAAUAAAGAAGAAUUAAUAUUUAGGAUCAUAAAGUGAUCCCUUUUUUAUGAAAUUCUUAUUUAUUUCUGACAAAAAAUCUUAAAGAUAACAAGACAACUGAAGAGAAAAUUCUCCAAACAUACAUAAAAACCAUGACAACAAAAAUGAAAAUGAGCCAAAGCAUUUCUUGAUUACAAAUUCUUGGGACAUAACAGAUUCGAAAAUCUUACUUUGAUACAGGUAAGUGUUAGAGAUUAGAAAUAAUAUGAAACAACUAUGUAUGAGUAUGAUGGAUACCCUAAAUCAGCUAAACAACGCACAACAUAGUCAUCCUAAUCUUAUUAAAGGGAUGUAUCUUCGACAACUUAUUUGAUCUCUUAUGCUGUGGGGCCAAAUUCAUUUAUGUGGGGGAAAUUUGUGAACUAUGACCUUCAAAUUCUUGUACGUGUAAGGUAAGAACUCUCGUCUAAAAGCCUUGUUUUAUUAGGUGAUUAUUGACAUAGACAAAUAACAUAUAGCAAUUGAUUAGUGAUUACGACAAUGUUGAUGCGUAAUCAAAUAGAAUAUUUAUGAUUUUUUUAUGCUCAUCGGAUGUUAAUAAGAUAAGAAUCGCGAUGAAAAGUUCAUCAAUGUAUAUGGUACGCAUGUUGAUAGAGGACAAAAACAUUGUUUGAAAUUAAUAUUUUUUUGGGUUUAAAGGUAUUGGACUUUUCUUCUUUGACUAUGGAUAGUAGUUUUUUUUGGAAUCAAAUACAGUAUGAUUAUUUGAACAUAUUAAAAUACUCAAUAAACAUGUUUACUAAAAUACUCUUAUUAAAGAUUUCUCUCAUUGUUUCUUUUUCAACCCUCCAUCCACUCUUAAUUCUCUCCCAUCUUUUAUCUGCCAGUAUUGUCUUAUCUAGAAUAGAAAUUUAGGCUAUGGACAUCUAGUAAUAAAAAUUUAAAAACUUAAAUAAAAAAUGAAAAAAUGAGUCUAAUGAGCAAUUUUAUGGGUUCAAAUAAUUAAUUCCGCCUACUCAAGUGCCAGUAUUGUCCUAUCUAUAAUAUAAAUUUAGGCUAUGGACAUUCUAGUAAUAAAAAUUUAAAAACUUAAAUAAAAAAUGAGUCUAAUGAGUAAUUUUAUGGGUUCAAAUAAUUAAUUCCUUCUACUCAAGUAUUAUUCUUUUAUUUCUGGAUAAUAGUAACAAAGUACGAUUUCAAAGAUAACAAUUCAGAUGGGUAGGAAAGUCUUCCAAUAAAUAUUAGAUAUUUAAAUUAGUAGUUUGAAGAUAAAAUACUAGUAGGAUCAUGGAGCGGGGACAUGACUGGAUUAGCAACAAUGUUUUUAAAAGGUAGAGAUGUGGGUAAAAAUUAAAAUGCUUUUUUAAUAUUUAACAUCAAUUAAAUAAGACUUCUUAAAAAGUAGUUGGCUAGAUCCUGGAGGUGAUUACCUGCAAAAUUCAUUACAUUGAUGAAGGAGUAUCUAAUUAGCAGAUUUGAUAUUACUCCUAUAGUUAUAGGAUGGAUAAAAGUAUUAAUUGGAAAAAAGUGUUAAUGGAGAAUAAAUGGUGGAUAUCAUUAUGUGGCUCGAACUCAUAUGCAGAUACGCUAUUACUGCACUCGCAUGAAGUGAAAAUAGAUUUGUUGGACAUCCCUUAUUCAUAUUUUUUCUCAUUAGUCAUAAUUGUCCCAUAGACAAUAACAAAUGUAGGAUUUUAAAAUGAAUAAAAAAGGUUCUUUUCAAUAAUCUCAUAUUUACAAAUUUUAUUUUCUUUUAGUGUUUCCAAAAAAGAGAAACAUGUAAAAAAUAUAUAUUAGCUUGUUAUACGAUUCUUUUUGGUCAAGUAGUGACAGUGCUUCAUAUGUGGCUCGAACUCAUACGCAGAUACGCUAUUAUAAAUUGCAAUCCUACCUAUAAUUAGGUUGAAUGACCAAAUGAAGAUACAAUAAUCUUGAACUCACAUAUAAAAUUGUAACAGUAGGAACAAAUAAUGUGAAACAUUAAACCAAACAAUAUUCAGUCAUAGUUCAAGGUAUACAUUUAUAAAAAAAAAAAAAAGCACAAUAAACAUCGAUUAUUUUCAUGAAAAUAGCCACAUAUAACCAACAGUAAGGUUACUUAUUAUUUUAAAUAUUAUUUCGUGAAACAGCUGCAGCUACAUAGCUGACCAACACAACAGUAGCUUGUUAUUUCCAAACACAAGAGGAAUAAACACCCAAAAGCAGCAAAAGGCAUGAAUGCAGCUUCUUCAAGUUGAGUAACUAUAGCUAGCAAUUGAAGAAGCAGAAGCAGGCAAAACCAAGGCCAUCUCUGUGGCAAGCACCGCUACUUGCACCCUCGCGUUCUCGGCACUGUUUAUCACAGUCUUCUGUUACGAAGCACGGGCCAGUCCAAGUCUUACUACGCCGCUCGCAUAGUGCAGCCUCUGCCGGCUUUGCCAUUUCUGUAAUACACAACACUUACACAAAAUGAUUAAUUUCUAGUUAAUUAAAUUUUAUAAUGCAUGCGUGCUUGCAGAAACUUAUCAUCAUGAAGUACACAUCAAUGUCACUCACCGAACGAAGCGAAGAUGAUGAAGAAUGCAAAAAGAAGAGCAAAAGUCAUUGUAAAGCCAGAAACAGAUUUAGCCAUUUUAAUUUUUAUUUGUUGCACUUGCUGAACUGGUUUAUUAUUUCAUGAAAAUGGUAAGUGACCGUAGCCCCAAUUUAUACACUUGCAAUGUAAGCUAUCCCUUCCCUUUUUGAGAAAGUUUCGAUGAAAUUUUUAGACCUUACUAGUUUUUUAAUAUAUCGAUAAAGUGCAAGGUUUAAUUGUUGUUUUGUAACCAUCUCCCACGUUGGGAAUAUGUAAAACAACAAAUAUAUCAGUACCAACAAAGACAGAUAAAUAUUUUCAGCCGAUGUGGCAAACAAGGUUGUGAGGCCAAAAUAAAAUAUUUACAAAGUAAUGAGGUAAAAAUGUAAAAUUUAAAAAUAGUUAAAUUUUAUAAUUUUAUAAUUAUUUUCAAAUCUUUUUCUUUUACGUUGCUUUCUAAAAAAUUUCAAAAAGUAAGCCGGGGUUUACCCUGAUUUUUUUUUUUUUUUUUGGUUUUUUUAACUUUAAAAUUUCAAAGAUAAGUUAGGGUUGCCUUGAAAGCCUUUGCUAUAGGUUGCAUUACUUUUUGAAAAAUUUUCAAAAAGUCAGGGGUCACCUUGCGCAAACGCUCUUCCGCUUCUAUAUUUAUAUUAAUCUCGAACUUACUUCAAUAUAUAUCUAGUUUCCCUAUCAAGUGAUAACAUAACAUCACUGCUACAAUAAUCCUAAACUUUCAUAUUGUUGGGUGUGGGUACAUAGAGAUACAUCAACAAUGGUACAAUGAAACUUCAUCGGGGCCAGACCAAUAACUUAAUUAUAUCUAGGAUGUAAUGGGAGGGGAAAAAAAUUCGAUCCUACACAAAUAAUUUUGGGAAAAGGACACAAGGACCCCCAACGUUUGAGUAAGGGACACAAAACUCCCUAAGGUUUUAAAAAAGAUACGCAGACCCCAAUUAAUUAACGGAAAUCGUUUCGUUAAAUCACUACAAGGUUAAUACCGUAAUUACAAAUUAAAAACAAGUGAAUUGACUAAAACCCACACACACAUCACACGGACAAACAAACCCCACACACACUGAUUCCAGACAAAUCUUUUAACACACACUCACGGUUUGCCUUGCCGAAAGCUGCUGGGGUUGCCGGAAGUUGCUGGAACUGGUCACGCUACUGGAAGCUGCUGGAACUGCUCGUGCGUCGAUCGAGACUGUGUCUGGUUGCCGGAUCUGCUCGCGAUCAACGUUUGGCUGCUGGUUGUGCUGUUGGAACUGCUGGAAUCUCGCGUUUGGCUGUUGGAACUGCUCGUGUUUGGUUGCUGCUCUUGCUUGUGGAAUCUCGCGUUUGGCUGCUGCUUGUGCUCGCGUUUGGUUGCUGAUCCUGCCUGUUGAAUCUCACGUUUGGCUGCUGCUCUUGCUUGUGGAAUCUCGCGUUUGGCUACUGCUUGUGCUCGCUUUUGGUUGCUGCUCUUGCUUGUGGAAUCCAGGGUUCAAUUCUCUUAAGUCCUAUUUUUUCUCUUUAAUUUUCAUUUUUUUUACUAAAUUAACUUCUCUAGCAUGUUUGAUGCAUAUGUGAUGUAUGUGCAAGAAUAUAAAUAAAUGAUUACGAGAAUUUUUUUUUUUUUUUUUUAUGGUUGUUUGAUGAACAGAGUUCUUAAUUUGUCUGAUUUAUUGGAGAUUUCUUGCUAAUUACUUUUGUUAUUUCUUUUCUUUAUCAAUUUUUAGAUGUGCAUGGAAUUUUCUUUAUCAAAUUUAUUUUGUUAUAUCUAACCAGUUGGGCUAGAAUUCUACCUAGGUGAGAUAUUAUGCAUUUUUUUAAUGGUCCUGGAGCAUGUGAAUUUUGUGCUUAAUUUAUUAAUGAAAAGAAUGUAUUGGUUUGCAGAUGGUUGAUCAGCCAUCCCAAAACCUGAAUACUCACUCACUUUAUUCUUUUGAACAAGAAGAUGAUGAAGCAUAUUGGUCAAAUGAUGACAAUGAAGACAUAACACCUGCUGAUGAUGAAAUAGGAUUAAAUUGGGAUGAUGAGGGAGUGGAUGUUGGGCAUAGUGAAGGUUGUGAAGAAGUGGAUUAUAAAGAUAGUGAAGAAGAAGAUAGAAUUCUUUCUAAUUGUGAGUCAGAUGAUAGAGAGCAUGGCCUGCUUUCUGAUUCUGAAGAUGAGCAAUCAUUUCAUUGUUCAAAAUCUAACCCCAAUGAAAUGAUUGAAAUCAGUGUUGGGCAGGAGUUCGACAAUGUCCAACAUUUCAGAAGAGUACUUGAAAACUACGUUAUUAAGAAUGGGUUUGAUCUUAAUAGAAUUAAGAAUGAGAAGAGAAGGUUCAGGGCAAAGUGUUCCAAUGAGGGCUGUCCGUGGUUUAUUUAUGCAGCACUAGUAGAAUCUGGGACAAAAUUCAGAAUUCAGAAGCUGAAUAAUGUACAUGAAUGUAAUGGAGUGUUAGAGAGCAAAGAGGCAUCAUAUAAAUGGAUUGCCUCUCAGUUUGAGGGAACUUUGAAGAACAACCCAAAAAUGCCAGUAAAGGGAAUGAAAGAUGAAUUGGUUUCUAAUUUAGGGAUUAAGGCAAGCAUGAAGAAAAUGUAUAGGGCCAAGAAAAGAGCAAUGGAUAAAUUAAAUGGGAACUAUGCAAAUUCUUAUCAGAGGCUAAGGGAUUAUGCCCAAAUACUCAAACAAAGCAAUCCCAAUACGUUAGUAAAGAUGAAAUUUGUGCCUAGUUUUGAUCAAGAUAGAAGACCAGCUUUGAAGUUUCAGAGAUUUAUGCUUAGCUUUGUUGCUUUGAAGAAUGGAUUCAUUAAUGGAUGUCGAUGGUUUAUUGGAUUGGAUGGUUGUCAUUUAAAGGGGCAUUUCAGAGGUGUACUAUUAUCAGCAGUGGCAUUAGAUGCAAACAAUGGAAUUUUUUCGAUUGCCGUUUGUAUUUGUGAAUCAGAAUGUGCUGAUAGUUGGAAAUGGUUUUUGGCAAUAUUGAGUGAGUGGUUGAACAUAGAGAAUCAAAGUCGAGUAACGUUUAGGACAGAUAGGCAAAAAGGAAUAUUACUAGGUUUGGAAGCAUAUUGGCAUGGUGCAACAGUGAGGCAUUGUGCCAGACAUAUAUUUGCUAACUUAAGAAGUAAUCAUCCUGAUAUCAUCUACAGAAACCUAUUUUGGACAGCAGCAAGAGCCACUAGUGAAAAAGAAUGGGAAGACAACAUGAACAAAAUAAAAACAGCUAAAAAAGACACGCAAGCUGCUUAUGAUUAUUUGAUUAAGAUUGACAAGAAACAGUGGGCUAGACAUGCAUUUCCUGAUGAUGUAAAAGUUGAUCAUGUAACUAACAACUUAAAUGAGUCAUGGAACAGCUGGUUAAAUGAAUACAAAGACAACCCUGUGUUGACACUUAUGGAAUUCAUUCGGAAGAAAGUUAUGAAAAGACUGUAUAAAAGGCAUUCUGAUGCAAGAAAAUGGAUUGGGAAGCUACCUCCAACUGUGAGGAGAAAGUUGAAUGUUUCCAGACAAGAAGGAAGAUAUGUAAGGGUGCUUAUGGCUAGUGAGUAUGAAUUUGAGGUAAUAGAUGAGAAUAAUAAAACAUUUAUAGUUAAUAUGCAGAAUAAAACUUGUGAUUGUGGUGUUUAUCAAAUUUGUGGGAUACCAUGUAAACAUAUCAUCCCAUGUAUUGCUUUAAGACAUGAAGAUGCUGCUGAUUAUGUGGAUAAAAAACUGACAGUGGAAGCAUAUUUGGCCACAUAUGCAAAUAUCAUACAUCCACUUCCAUAUCAAAGUACAUGGGCUGUUGUUGAAGGUCUAAAAGUCUUAUCUCCAUAUGUCAAAACAAGAGUUGGUAGGCCUAAAAUAGUGAGGAAAAGAGAGCCAGGGGAAGAACAAGGGAAAAGAAAGACCAAGCAAAAAUGUAGCUGUUGUGCAAUUUUCGGCCAUAAUAAAAGAUUAUAUAAAAGACCAAUUGAUUCCACUCAACACCCCUCAGGUAAGCCUAAAUUUCUUUUUUUUUUUAUUUUACUUUUUUAUAUAAAAAUAAAAUUUAUAUAUUAAUAUUUAUACAUUUAUCGUGCAGGAACAACCACACAAGAUAUGAGAUGAAGCUCACAAGCUAGUAAUCAGAGUUGUUAUACCAAUUUGUGAACAGAUUAUGUUUUUUUUUCAAAAAAUAUUAUGGUUAUUGUUGUAAUGUUUACCAGUACUAAUUUGAUACAAUAUUAUAAUACAAUUAUUUUUUGUUAUGUUUACUGGAUUGAUGGUUUUAAUGUCUAUUGGAUAUGUUAUUUAGUACAAUUAAGAUUUUGUAAUUAUUGUUGUAAAUAAUUUUUUUUUAUUUUUGAUUAUAUAAGUUUAAAUGAUUGACAUAUGGAGAAUUGUUAUUUUUAUUAUAUUAAUAAUCAAUUUAAUUUAUUUUUAUUCUUGAGCAAUGAAUUAAAUUUAUUUAGUUUGAAGAGAAAAAUUAACAAAAAUUAAAUGGAAAAAUUGGGUAAUGAAGUUAUAUUCGUAAUUAUAUUAAUAAUAUAGGGAUAAAUUGGACAAUGAACAAUUAGUUUUUAAUAUGCUAUAAGGGUAUAAUGGUAAUUGUACUUUAAAAUUAUAAUUUCACUCAAAAGAAACGGUUUCCGUUAACUAAUGGGGGUCUGAGUGUCUUUUUUGAAACAUGAGGGGUUUUAUGUCCCUUAUUCAAACGUUGGGGGUCUCUGUGUCCUUUUCCCAAUAAUUUAUCAUCAUGUGUUAAGUGACGAUUGACUUUAUUAAUUAUUGGUACAAAAUUAAUAUGCCAAGCACAAAUGAUCAACUGAGAUACAAAAUCUUGGUUCUCCACUGCGUGUGUAUAUUAUACCAUGUAAUGUUGUUAUCACCACCCAAAACUCUCUCCGAAUUAAGUAGGUAUAGGCGCUAAUUCAUCACAAGAUUAUUACUGCACUCGCAUGAAGUGAAAAUAGAUUUGUUGGAUAUCCCUUAUUCAUAUUUUUUCUCAUUAGUCAUAAUUGUCCCAUAGACAAUAACAAAUGUAGGAUUUUAAAAUGAAUAAAAAAGUUCUUUUCAAUAAUCUCAUAUUUACAAAUUAUAUUUUCUUUUAGUGUUUCCAAAAAAGAGGAACAUGUAAAAAAUAUAUAUUAGCUUGUUAUACGACUCUUUUUGGUCAAGUGAUAGUGCUUCAGGUAAUUUUUAUAAAUAAAAUUAAGUUUUGUUUCAAAUAAGCACUCCCCCCCUAAAAAAAAAGAAGGGGAGAAGGCAAAACCCAGAUUGAUUUCUUAGCGUUACUUUUCUCAAAAUCCAGACUCAAGUGGUCGGGCAAAGAAAUUUGCGUAAAAACCACUCGGUCAAGACCUUUGGCCUCAUUGAGUACUCAUUGAUGGCGAUAUAAUUAAUUAAUUCUAAUGUGACCAACUCAUUUGCACGUGAGAGAAAAUGAAUGUUAAUUAUACUUCACCAGCAACUAUAUCCAAUUUUGUUAUUUUAUAUUAUUAAGUCUCAAGAUGGUUAUGUUUCAUACACAUUUAACUAAUUAAGAACAUAAUAAAUACUUAUAUGGAAUAAAUAAUUUUCAUAAUAGUACAUGAAUGUUCAUUCCUGGUGCUUGCGUAUCAUAGUAAUAUAAAUAGCGUGAAGAGAUGGAGUAAUAACUUAUAAUUAGAUUUGUAGAGUGUGGCUCAUUAUAUUAGAAUAACACAAACAAGCAAUACAACAAAGACGCAACAAACAUUGACUCGUUCCUUAUUCAGAAGCUACGUACGGUAUAGUUAUGGCUAACCGUACACUGUACGUAGCUUGUUAUUGUUCUAAACACAAGACGACUGAAACGAGACACAUCACACGAACGACAGCAAAUAAUUAAGGUAGCCACAGCUAGCUUUCGCUGCUAACGAUGGAUAUAAUUUCUUUCAUUGAUAAGCAACUAGCACUCGAAGUAACAGAAGCACGCAUAACCAGUUCCUUGUCUGUAGCAAGCCCCGUACCUUGCAUCCUCCUGCUGCUUGCAGUGCCUGCUACAUUUCCCCGUGUUGAGACACGGCCCCGACCAUGUCUUGCUACGCCGCUGGCACACUUUUGCUUCCGCCAUUGGCACUUCUGUAACAAGCAUACAAAAUCAUUAACGUGCACUUAGAUAUAUAAGUUAUUAUCAAAGCUCAUGGGUGUCAACAAAUUCAGGUGGUAAAAUGAUCUCUUAGGUUGAAACAAGAAGUCUGAGGUUUAAACUCUGCUUACAUGAAUGGAAGAGUGCUUUAUAUUACAAUAUACCAGUAUACAAACACACACACACACACACUAAAAUCUGAAAUAAAAAAAAAAUUGUUAUGAAAGUUUAAUAUGCAUGCAUAUGAAACAUAUAUAUGAUUUUGCUUCCCCUCUGGCAUUUCUGUAACACAUACACAGCAUAUUUAAUGCACUCAGUUAGCUAAUAUUAGUUAGGCACGUGGGCUUAUGAAUGGUAUUUAGUGUCAGACUCAUGCGCAAGUAUGCCCUCAUCGCUUAAGAGCAGUUAUUCAAGAAAACUUCAACUAUAAACUAACUUUUUGAGUAUGAGUUAGGCUCAAGUCUUUUUGAAACUGCACAACUUAAUAUCAUAGGCAAAACUUAAAAUUAAAUUUUGAUUGCUGAAAAACUAUUAAGUACUGGUUAACAUCAAGUCACUCACCGAAGGAAGCAAAGAGUAUGAAGAACGCAAAAAUAAGAGCAAAAGCUGUGGUAAUGCUAGCAACUGACUUAGCCAUUUUUGCACUUGCUUUGGUUUUAAUUUGAUGAAAUUGCUGAAGGCCCCAACCCCUAUUUAUACUUGGAUAUAAGCUGUCUCUUCGUCUCUAGCCAAGAUCCGCGAGAGACAAAGAAACAAUAAAUUAAUUAACCGGGGAAAUUUGAAUUAGACACUAAAAAAUGAAUUCACGCUCGGAUUAUUGACAAAAAAUUUUACAGUUUAUGCAAAUAAUUGUGAAUUAGAAUGACGUCCUGCCAAUUGCUAUAUUAUAUGCACUCUGAAGUAGUCUUAGGUAGUUGAAAUCUUCAAAUUUAAAUAUAAUACGCAAUGCGAACUUCAAUGACCCAUUCUUCCCCAUAACCUUGUCAUUGACAAAAGAUUUUACAGUUUAUUCAGAUAAUUGUGAAUUGAAAUAGUGUCCUGCCAAGUGCUCUAUUUCAUUAUUUCAUAUGCACUCUGAAGUAGUCUUAGUUAAAAUCUUAAAAUUUAAAUAUCAUAUUCAAUGCCCGACUUCAAUGACCCAUUCUUCCCUAUAACCUUGUUAAACCACCCUAUCGGAUUCUGUAUAUUCUAUUUAUUGUGUGGUUAAUUGUUCUUAUCAAUCGGAUCUAUGACAUACAGCGCUUCAUCUACGUAGCAAAAUGAUGGUGCAAGUAUAAUUUUCUAUUGCUAUAAACAGAAAAUUAAACGUUUUAUUCAUACUAUUACUUUUAUAAGUUUUAUGUAAACUUUUAAAGACCACAUUGAAAAGAUAAAUUCACUCUUGUUAUCAUUCAAUUUAGCUUAAGGUCAAUUUAUACCAGAAUAUUGAGAAGAUAGAAAGAACUUAAACAAUCAUACUAAAUAGAGGAUUUCUUCCAUAUUUUUAAUACUAUAAUGUCGAUGAUACGUACUAUUUUUACAUUCAAUGAUGAAAAUGAUUUUGGCUCAUAUUAGUCUUAAUAAAGAAGAAUUAAUAUUUAGGAUCAUAAAGUGAUCCCUUUUUUAUGAAAUUCUUAUUUAUUUCUGACAAAAAAUCUUAAAGAUAACAAGACAACUGAAGAGAAAAUUCCUCCAAACAUACAUAAAAACCAUGACAACAAAAAUGAAAAUGAGCCAAAGCAUUUCUUGAUUACAAAUUCUUGGGACAUUAACAGAUUCGAAAAUCUUACUUUGAUACAGGUAAGUGUUAGAGAUUAGAAAUAAUAUGAAACAACUAUGUAUGAGUAUGAUGGAUAACCCUAAAUCAGCUAAACAACGCACAACAUAGUCAUCCUAAUCUUAUUAAAGGGAUGUAUCUUCGACAACUUAUUUGAUCUCUUAUGCUGUGGGGGCCAAAUUCAUUUAUGUGGGGGAAAUUUUGUGAACUAUGACUUCAAAUUCUUGUACGUGUAAGGUAAGAACUCUCGUCUAAAAGCCUUGUUUUAUUAGGUGAUUAUUGACAUAGACAAAUAAAAUAUAGGCAAUUGAUUAGUGAUUACGACAAUGUUGAUGCGUAAUCAAAUAGAAUAUUUAUGAUUUUUUUAUGCUCAUCGGAUGUUAAUAAGAUAAGAAUCGCGAUGAAAAGUUCAUCAAUGUAUAUGGUACGCAUGUUGAUAGAGGACAAAAACAUUGUUUGAAAUUAAUAUUUUUUUGGGUUUAAAGGUAUUGGACUUUUCUUCUUUGACUAUGGAUAGUAGUUUUUUUUGGAAUCAAAUACAGUAUGAUUAUUUGAACAUAUUAAAAUACUCAAUAAACAUGUUUACUAAAAUACUCUUAUUAAAGAUUUCUCUCAUUGUUUCUUUUUCAACCCUCCAUCCACUCUUAAUUCUCUCCCAUCUUUUAUCUGCCAGUAUUGUCUUAUCUAGAAUAGAAAUUUAGGCUAUGGACAUCUAGUAAUAAAAAUUUAAAAACUUAAAUAAAAAAUGAAAAAAUGAGUCUAAUGAGCAAUUUUAUGGGUUCAAAUAAUUAAUUCCGCCUACUCAAGUGCCAGUAUUGUCCUAUCUAUAAUAUAAAUUUAGGCUAUGGACAUUCUAGUAAUAAAAAUUUAAAAACUUAAAUAAAAAUGAGUCUAAUGAGUAAUUUUAUGGGUUCAAAUAAUUAAUUCCUUCUACUCAAGUAUUAUUCUUUUAUUUCUGGAUAAUAGUAACAAAGUACGAUUUCAAAGAUAACAAUUCAGAUGGGUAGGAAAGUCUUCCAAUAAAUAUUAGAUAUUUAAAUUAGUAGUUUGAAGAUAAAAUACUAGUAGGAUCAUGGAGCGGGGACAUGACUGGAUUAGCAACAAUGUUUUUUAAAAGGUAGAGAUGUGGGUAAAAAUUAAAAUGCUUUUUUAAUAUUUAACAUCAAUUAAAUAAGACUUCUUAAAAGUAGUUGGCUAGAUCCUGGAGGUGAUUACCUGCAAAAUUCAUUACAUUGAUGAAGGAGUAUCUAAUUAGCAGAUUUGAUAUUACUCCUAUAGUUAUAGGAUGGAUAAAAGUAUUAAUUGGAAAAAAGUGUUAAUGGAGAAUAAAUGGUGGAUAUCAUUAUGUGGCUCGAACUCAUAUGCAGAUACGCUAUUACUGCACUCGCAUGAAGUGAAAAUAGAUUUGUUGGACAUCCCUUAUUCAUAUUUUUUCUCAUUAGUCAUAAUUGUCCCAUAGACAAUAACAAAUGUAGGAUUUUAAAAUGAAUAAAAAAGGUUCUUUUCAAUAAUCUCAUAUUUACAAAUUUUAUUUUCUUUUAGUGUUUCCAAAAAAGAGAAACAUGUAAAAAAUAUAUAUUAGCUUGUUAUACGAUUCUUUUUGGUCAAAGUAGUGACAGUGCUUCAUAUGUGGCUCGAACUCAUACGCAGAUACGCUAUUAUAAAUUGCAAUCCUACCUAUAAUUAGGUUGAAUGACCAAAUGAAGAUACAAUAAUCUUGAACUCACAUAUAAAAUUGUAACAGUAGGAACAAAUAAUGUGAAACAUUAAACCAAACAAUAUUCAGUCAUAGUUCAAGGUAUACAUUUAUAAAAAAAAAAAAAAGCACAAUAAACAUCGAUUAUUUUCAUGAAAAUAGCCACAUAUAACCAACAGUAAGGUUACUUAUUAUUUUAAAUAUUAUUUCGUGAAACAGCUGCAGCUACAUAGCUGACCAACACAACAGUAGCUUGUUAUUUCCAAACACAAGAGGAAUAAACACCCAAAAGCAGCAAAAGGCAUGAAUGCAGCUUCUUCAAGUUGAGUAACUAUAGCUAGCAAUUGAAGAAGCAGAAGCAGGCAAAACCAAGGCCAUCUCUGUGGCAAGCACCGCUACUUGCACCCUCGCGUUCUCGGCACUGUUUAUCACAGUCUUCUGUUACGAAGCACGGGCCAGUCCAAGUCUUACUACGCCGCUCGCAUAGUGCAGCCUCUGCCGGCUUUGCCAUUUCUGUAAUACACAACACUUACACAAAAUGAUUAAUUUCUAGUUAAUUAAAUUUUAUAAUGCAUGCGUGCUUGCAGAAACUUAUCAUCAUGAAGUACACAUCAAUGUCACUCACCGAACGAAGCGAAGAUGAUGAAGAAUGCAAAAAGAAGAGCAAAAGUCAUUGUAAAGCCAGAAACAGAUUUAGCCAUUUUAAUUUUUAUUUGUUGCACUUGCUGAACUGGUUUAUUAUUUCAUGAAAAUGGUAAGUGACGCGUAGCCCCAAUUUAUACACUUGCAAUGUAAGCUAUCCCUUCCCUUUUUGAGAAAGUUUCGAUGAAAUUUUAGACCUUACUAGUUUUUUAAUAUAUCGAUAAAGUGCAAGGUUUAAUUGUUGUUUUGUAACCAUCUCCCACGUUGGGAAUAUGUAAACAACAAAUAUAUCAGUACCAACAAAGACAGAUAAAUAUUUUCAGCCGAUGUGGCAAACAAGGUUGUGAGGCCAAAAUAAAAUAUUUACAAAGUAAUGAGGUAAAAAUGUAAAAUUUAAAAAUAGUUAAAUUUUAUAAUUUUAUAAUUAUUUUCAAAUCUUUUUCUUUUACGUUGCUUUCUAAAAAAUUUCAAAAAGUAAGCCGGGGUUUACCCUGAUUUUUUUUUUUUUUUGGUUUUUUUAAACUUUAAAAUUUCAAAGAUAAGUUAGGGUUGCCUUGAAAGCCUUUGCUAUAGGUUGCAUUACUUUUGAAAAAUUUUCAAAAAGUCAGGGGUCACCUUGGCGCAAACGCUCUUCCGCUUCUAUAUUUAUAUUAAUCUCGAACUUACUUCAAUAUAUAUCUAGUUUCCCUAUCAAGUGAUAACAUAACAUCACUGCUACAAUAAUCCUAAACUUUCAUAUUGUUGGGUGUGGGUACAUAGAGAUACAUCAACAAAUGGUACAAUGAAACUUCAUCGGGCCAGACCAAUAACUUAAUUAUAUCUAGGAUGUAAUGGGAGGGAAAAAAAAUUCGAUCCUACACAAAUAAUUUUGGGAAAAGGACACAAGGACCCCCAACGUUUGAGUAAGGGACACAAAACUCCCUAAGGUUUUAAAAAAGAUACGCAGACCCCAAUUAAUUAACGGAAAUCGUUUCGUUAAAUCACUACAAGGUUAAUACCGUAAUUACAAAUUAAAAACAAGUGAAUUGACUAAAACCCACACACACAUCACACGGACAAACAAACCCCACACACACUGAUUCCAGACAAAUCUUUUAACACACACUCACGGUUUGCCUUGCCGAAAGCUGCUGGGGUUGCCGGAAGUUGCUGGAACUGGUCACGCUACUGGAAGCUGCUGGAAACUGCUCGUGCGUCGAUCGAGACUGUGUCUGGUUGCCGGAUCUGCUCGCGAUCAAACGUUUGGCUGCUGGUUGUGCUGUUGGAACUGCUGGAAUCUCGCGUUUGGCUGUUGGAACUGCUCGUGUUUGGGUUGCUGCUCUUGCUGUGGAAUCUCGCGUUUGGCUGCUGCUUGUGCUCGCGUUUGGUUGCUGAUCCUGCCUGUUGAAUCUCACGUUUGGCUGCUGCUCUUGCUUGUGGAAUCUCGCGUUUGGCUACUGCUUGUGCUCGCUUUUGGUUUGCUGCUCUUGCUUGUGGAAUCCAGGGUUCAAUUCUCUUAAGUCCUAUUUUUCUCUUUAAUUUUCAUUUUUUUUACUAAAUUAACUUCUCUAGCAUGUUUGAUGCAUAUGUGAUGUAUGUGCAAGAAUAUAAAUAAAAUGAUUACGAGAAUUUUUUUUUUUUUUGUUUAUGGUUGUUUGAUGAACAGAGUUCUUAAUUUGUCUGAUUUAUUGGAAGAUUUCUUGCUAAUUACUUUUGUUAUUUCUUUUCUUUAUCAAUUUUUAGAUGUGCAUGGAAUUUUCUUUAUCAAAUUUAUUUUGUUAUAUCUAACCCAGUUGGGCUAGAAUUCUACCUAGGUGAGAUAUUAUGCAUUUUUUUAAUGGUCCUGGAGCAUGUGAAUUUUGUGCUUAAUUUAUUAAUGAAAGAAUGUAUUGGUUUGCAGAUGGUUGAUCAGCCAUCCCAAAACCUGAAUACUCACUCACUUUAUUCUUUUGAACAAGAAGAUGAUGAAGCAUAUUGGUCAAAUGAUGACAAUGAAGACAUAACACCUGCUGAUGAUGAAAUAGGAUUAAAUUGGGAUGAUGAGGGAGUGGAUGUUGGGCAUAGUGAAGGUUGUGAAGAAGUGGAUUAUAAAGAUAGUGAAGAAGAAGAUAGAAUUCUUUCUAAUUGUGAGUCAGAUGAUAGAGAGCAUGGCCUGCUUUCUGAUUCUGAAGAUGAGCAAUCAUUUCAUUGUUCAAAAUCUAACCCCAAUGAAAUGAUUGAAAUCAGUGUUGGGCAGGAGUUCGACAAUGUCCAACAUUUCAGAAGAGUACUUGAAAACUACGUUAUUAAGAAUGGGUUUGAUCUUAAUAGAAUUAAGAAUGAGAAGAGAAGGUUCAGGGCAAAGUGUUCCAAUGAGGGCUGUCCGUGGUUUAUUUAUGCAGCACUAGUAGAAUCUGGGACAAAAUUCAGAAUUCAGAAGCUGAAUAAUGUACAUGAAUGUAAUGGAGUGUUAGAGAGCAAAGAGGCAUCAUAUAAAUGGAUUGCCUCUCAGUUUGAGGGAACUUUGAAGAACAACCCAAAAAUGCCAGUAAAGGGAAUGAAAGAUGAAUUGGUUUCUAAUUUAGGGAUUAAGGCAAGCAUGAAGAAAAUGUAUAGGGCCAAGAAAAGAGCAAUGGAUAAAUUAAAUGGGAACUAUGCAAAUUCUUAUCAGAGGCUAAGGGAUUAUGCCCAAAUACUCAAACAAAGCAAUCCCAAUACGUUAGUAAAGAUGAAAUUUGUGCCUAGUUUUGAUCAAGAUAGAAGACCAGCUUUGAAGUUUCAGAGAUUUAUGCUUAGCUUUGUUGCUUUGAAGAAUGGAUUCAUUAAUGGAUGUCGAUGGUUUAUUGGAUUGGAUGGUUGUCAUUUAAAGGGGCAUUUCAGAGGUGUACUAUUAUCAGCAGUGGCAUUAGAUGCAAACAAUGGAAUUUUUUCGAUUGCCGUUUGUAUUUGUGAAUCAGAAUGUGCUGAUAGUUGGAAAUGGUUUUUGGCAAUAUUGAGUGAGUGGUUGAACAUAGAGAAUCAAAGUCGAGUAACGUUUAGGACAGAUAGGCAAAAAGGAAUAUUACUAGGUUUGGAAGCAUAUUGGCAUGGUGCAACAGUGAGGCAUUGUGCCAGACAUAUAUUUGCUAACUUAAGAAGUAAUCAUCCUGAUAUCAUCUACAGAAACCUAUUUUGGACAGCAGCAAGAGCCACUAGUGAAAAAGAAUGGGAAGACAACAUGAACAAAAUAAAAACAGCUAAAAAGACACGCAAGCUGCUUAUGAUUAUUUGAUUAAGAUUGACAAGAAACAGUGGGCUAGACAUGCAUUUCCUGAUGAUGUAAAAGUUGAUCAUGUAACUAACAACUUAAAUGAGUCAUGGAACAGCUGGUUAAAUGAAUACAAAGACAACCCUGUGUUGACACUUAUGGAAUUCAUUCGGAAGAAAGUUAUGAAAAGACUGUAUAAAAGGCAUUCUGAUGCAAGAAAAUGGAUUGGGAAGCUACCUCCAACUGUGAGGAGAAAGUUGAAUGUUUCCAGACAAGAAGGAAGAUAUGUAAGGGUGCUUAUGGCUAGUGAGUAUGAAUUUGAGGUAAUAGAUGAGAAUAAUAAAACAUUUAUAGUUAAUAUGCAGAAUAAAACUUGUGAUUGUGGUGUUUAUCAAAUUUGUGGGAUACCAUGUAAACAUAUCAUCCCAUGUAUUGCUUUAAGACAUGAAGAUGCUGCUGAUUAUGUGGAUAAAAAACUGACAGUGGAAGCAUAUUUGGCCACAUAUGCAAAUAUCAUACAUCCACUUCCAUAUCAAAGUACAUGGGCUGUUGUUGAAGGUCUAAAAGUCUUAUCUCCAUAUGUCAAAACAAGAGUUGGUAGGCCUAAAAUAGUGAGGAAAAGAGAGCCAGGGGAAGAACAAGGGAAAAGAAAGACCAAGCAAAAAUGUAGCUGUUGUGCAAUUUUCGGCCAUAAUAAAAGAUUAUAUAAAAGACCAAUUGAUUCCACUCAACACCCCUCAGGUAAGCCUAAAUUUCUUUUUUUUUUUAUUUUACUUUUUAUAUAAAAAUAAAAUUUAUAUAUUAAUAUUUAUACAUUUAUCGUGCAGGAACAACCACACAAGAUGAGAUGAAGCUCACAAGCUAGUAAUCAGAGUUGUUAUACCAAUUUGUGAACAGAUUAUGUUUUUUUUUCAAAAAAUAUUAUGGUUAUUGUUGUAAUGUUUACCAGUACUAAUUUGAUACAAUAUUAUAAAUACAAUUAUUUUUUGUUAUGUUUACUGGAUUGAUGGUUUUAAUGUCUAUUGGAUAUGUUAUUUAGUACAAUUAAGAUUUUGUAAUUAUUGUUGUAAAUAAUUUUUUUUAUUUUGUUGAUUAUAUAAGUUUAAAUGAUUGACAUAUGGAGAAUUGUUAUUUUUAUUAUAUUAAUAAUCAAUUUAAUUUAUUUUUAUUCUUGAGCAAUGAAUUAAAUUUAUUUAGUUUGAGAGAAAAAUUAACAAAAAUUAAAUGGAAAAAUUGGGUAAUGAAGUUAUAUUCGUAAUUAUAUUAAUAAUAUAGGGAUAAAUUGGACAAUGAACAAUUAGUUUUUAAUAUGCUAUAAGGGUAUAAUGGUAAUUGUACUUUAAAAUUAUAAUUUCACUCAAAAGAAACGGUUUCCGUUAACUAAUGGGGGUCUGAGUGUCUUUUUUGAAACAUGAGGGGGUUUUAUGUCCCUUAUUCAAACGUUGGGGUCUCUGUGUCCUUUUCCCAAUAAUUUAUCAUCAUGUGUUAAGUGACGAUUGACUUUAUUAAUUAUUGGUACAAAAUUAAUAUGCCAAGCACAAAUGAUCAACUGAGAUACAAAAUCUUGGUUCUCCACUGCGUGUGUAUAUUAUACCAUGUAAUGUUGUUAUCACCACCCAAAACUCUCUCCGAAUUAAGUAGGUAUAGGCGCUAAUUCAUCACAAGAUUAUUACUGCACUCGCAUGAAGUGAAAAUAGAUUUGUUGGAUAUCCCUUAUUCAUAUUUUUUCUCAUUAGUCAUAAUUGUCCCAUAGACAAUAACAAAUGUAGGAUUUUAAAAUGAAUAAAAAAGUUCUUUUCAAUAAUCUCAUAUUUACAAAUUAUAUUUUCUUUUAGUGUUUCCAAAAAAAGGAACAUGUAAAAAUAUAUAUUAGCUUGUUUAUACGACUCUUUUUGGUCAAGUGAUAGUGCUUCAGGUAAUUUUUAUAAAUAAAUUAAGUUUUGUUUCAAAUAAGCACUCCCCCCUAAAAAAAAAAGAAGGGGAGAAGGCAAAACCCAGAUUGAUUUCUUAGCGUUACUUUUCUCAAAAUCCAGACUCAAGUGGUCGGGCAAAGAAAUUUGCGUAAAAACCACUCGGUCAAGACCUUUGGCCUCAUUGAGUACUCAUUGAUGGCGAUAUAAUUAAUUAAUUCUAAUGUGACCAACUCAUUUGCACGUGAGAGAAAAUGAAUGUUAAUUAUACUUCACCAGCAACUAUAUCCAAUUUUGUUAUUUUAUAUUAUUAAGUCUCAAGAUGGUUAUGUUUCAUACACAUUUAACUAAUUAAGAACAUAAUAAAUACUUAUAUGAAUAAAUAAUUUUCAUAAUAGUACAUGAAUGUUCAUUCCUGGUGCUUGCGUAUCAUAGUAAUAUAAAUAGCGUGAAGAGAUGGAGUAAUAACUUAUAAUUAGAUUUGUAGAGUGUGGCUCAUUAUAUUAGAAUAACACAAACAAGCAAUACAACAAAGACGCAACAAACAUUGACUCGUUCCUUAUUCAGAAGCUACGUACGGUAUAGUUAUGGCUAACCGUACACUGUACGUAGCUUGUUAUUGUUCUAAACACAAGACGACUGAAACGAGACACAUCACACGAACGACAGCAAAUAAUUAAGGUAGCCACAGCUAGCUUUCGCUGCUAACGAUGGAUAUAAUUUCUUUCAUUGAUAAGCAACUAGCACUCGAAGUAACAGAAGCACGCAUAACCAGUUCCUUGUCUGUAGCAAGCCCCGUACCUUGCAUCCUCCUGCUGCUUGCAGUGCCUGCUACAUUUCCCCGUGUUGAGACACGGCCCCGACCAUGUCUUGCUACGCCGCUGGCACACUUUUGCUUCCGCCAUUGGCACUUCUGUAACAAGCAUACAAAUCAUUAACGUGCACUUAGAUAUAUAAGUUAUUAUCAAAGCUCAUGGGUGUCAACAAAUUCAGGUGGUAAAAUGAUCUCUUAGGUUGAAACAAGAAGUCUGAGGUUUAAACUCUGCUUACAUGAAUGGAAGAGUGCUUUAUAUUACAAUAUACCAGUAUACAAACACACACACACACACACUAAAAUCUGAAAUAAAAAAAAAAAUUGUUAUGAAAGUUUAAUAUGCAUGCAUAUGAAACAUAUAUAUGAUUUUGCUUCCCCCUCUGGCAUUUCUGUAACACAUACACAGCAUAUUUAAUGCACUCAGUUAGCUAAUAUUAGUUAGGCACGUGGGCUUAUGAAUGGUAUUUUAGUGUCAGACUCAUGCGCAAGUAUGCCCUCAUCGCUUAAGAGCAGUUAUUCAAGAAAACUUCAACUAUAAACUAACUUUUUGAGUAUGAGUUAGGCUCAAGUCUUUUUGAAACUGCACAACUUAAUAUCAUAGGCAAAACUUAAAAUUAAAUUUUGAUUGCUGAAAAACUAUUAAGUACUGGUUAACAUCAAGUCACUCACCGAAGGAAGCAAAGAGUAUGAAGAACGCAAAAAUAAGAGCAAAAGCUGUGGUAAUGCUAGCAACUGACUUAGCCAUUUUUGCACUUGCUUUGGUUUUAAUUUGAUGAAAUUGCUGAAGGCCCCAACCCCUAUUUAUACUUGGAUAUAAGCUGUCUCUUCGUCUCUAGCCAAGAUCCGCGAGAGACAAAGAAACAAUAAAUUAAUUAACCGGGGAAAUUUGAAUUAGACACUAAAAAAUGAAUUCACGCUCGGAUUAUUGACAAAAAAUUUUACAGUUUAUGCAAAUAAUUGUGAAUUAGAAUGACGUCCUGCCAAUUGCUAUAUUAUAUGCACUCUGAAGUAGUCUUAGGUAGUUGAAAUCUUCAAAUUUAAAUAUAAUACGCAAUGCGAACUUCAAUGACCCAUUCUUCCCCAUAACCUUGUCAUUGACAAAAGAUUUUACAGUUUAUUCAGAUAAUUGUGAAUUGAAAUAGUNNNNNUUAAUUAAUUAANNNNNUUUUUUUUUUUUUAGAAACACUCGUGUUUAUUCAAUCAGAUUAAUGAUAGCAAUCAAAUAAAAGUAUAAGCAUUAUCUCCAGUCUAAAGCAACAUCACACCCACAUCAACCAUCCACAUGAAUAGCCCAGUAGACUUUGUUAUAGCUACUUUCAAGAAUGACAUGUCAAACCCCAAAAUCUCACUGGAAGUAGUGACACACUCUCACAAAGAAAUUAAACCCAAUAAACAUAGUCACUCCAAUGAAUGGUAAUUGAGAGAGAAAAUAAAAAGAAAUGAUAUCACAUGCUCUCACCAAGAUGAAAUAAAUAUGCCCUCAGCUUAGAAAUAAUACGAUCUCAAGUCAAAUAAAAUGUUAGUCAACCCACUUUAUUUAUCUUUUUUUUUUUUUAUUAUGCAUCACUACAUCUUUUUAGCCCAUAUAACUAGCUUCUACUUCAAACUAUAGUUCCCUAAAAUCAAGAAGGACUUUUAUUAGGACGUAACGUAGGCUAGGGAUAUGGCUAACAAAGAAGGGAAAUAAGGAAAACAAAGUGUAUGUUUGAGAAAAAUGCAGAGAAAUUUUUUUUUUUUUUGGAAGUUGCAAGGUGGAUUUCACCUAUUAUUGUUAUUUUUAUUCUUUUGAAACAACAAUUUUUUUCUUUUUUUUUUUUUUUUUUUCUUUUUUUUUUUUUUUGGGCAUAACUUCACUACAAAAUGUUUAUUUACAUUUUUCUCAAACAUAAAUAGGUGAUGGAAUUGUAAGAUAUUGGGUAAUACUCCAAAUCGGAGUGGGUCAAGAUGAUAAGUUAAACAAAGAAAAGUUUUUUUUUUUUAUUUAAAGGCUCAAAUGGUUAACUAUGGAUACUUGAUAAAGGGAUGGCUAGAAAGGCUCAAACGGAUCAAAGAUGGCCUUUCCAUCGUCUUUUAGGGCUCUAAAUAAUCAUCCAUAUCUACUAGUUAGAUGGGCCUCCCAAUGUAGCAAACACACACUUUUUUUUUUUUUUUUUUAAGGUUAACUCAAAAGAAAUCUAGAGAUCGUGUAUAAUAAUAAACUGUUAAGCUUAUAAAAGAAUGGGCAAAAGGGUUACUCUCCAAGAAAAAUGAUAGGCUCAAAAACUCACUUGGUACUUAUUAUGACAUGUUCAUUCCUUCAAGCAACUCAUAUUUGUCUCCGACAUCAACAUGUAGAGUAGCAAACAUAAUGUAACAUCACUUAAGACCAAAGAUAAUACAAAUACUAAAAUUUGAAAUUAAUCAUGUCAUCAAAGUUAAAACAAAUCACACAAUUUUUUUUUUAAACAACAUUCUACCCCCCAACCUAUUCUAAACAUGAAAGGAAAAUAUGCAUGCAGAAAUGUGAAAAUGAUGCAUAAAAACUAAUUAGAAAAGUUAUAAAAUGAUAGAAAAAAUGAAAUUUUUUUUUUUUAAUUUUUUUUUAAAGAGAAGAUGCGUUUCUAGAGGCACUACACUCCAUAUUCAGCAUCUUCGACUCAAAAGUUGAAAAUAUAUAUUUAAAGGAGAAAUUAAAAAGAAGAAGAAAAAUGAACAUCAAAACAUAAUAAAGAAAAAGAAAAUGUUUGAAUUUUUUUGUUUUUUUUUUUUUUUUUUUAAUUUUUUUUUUUUUUAAACGAUGAAGAUGCGUUUCUAGAGUCACUACACUCCAUAUUCAGCCAUCUUCAACACAAAAAGUUAGCAACAGUUAGUUUCUACAACAAAAAAUCAGUAAAACUUAACCAAGAUUCCACAAUUGUCGACUAUUCCCUCCCCCAACCAGAACGAAACAUUGUCCUCAAUGUUUUAAAGGAAAGAAGUAGAGUUUAGAAGACAUCACCUGGGUGGUGCAACACAGAAGAAAUAUUUACAGGCGGAGAGUUAAAUCUAAUUUGUACUUCUUACUGCGGCUACUGUUACCAUCAUUAUUUGGUCGCUCCAACACAAAGGUCCAGGGGUCUGGCUCCGGUUUAUAAGCUUGUAACAUAUCAAGUAGCUCAUUAGCAGUGUGCACAAAUAAAAAGUUUUUUUACAUUAGAAGGAAUGAAAUAGUUUUUUAUUGCAUGGUUAAGAAAUGCGAUAAAGCCAUCAUAAAAGUUAUUGACAUUUAACAAACCGAUGGGUUUCUGGUGGAUGUGCAGAUGGGCCCAAGAUGCUAGUGUCAUAAGUGCCUCUAGUGUUGCAAGAUCUCCUGGAAGGAAAAUAAAAGCAUCAGCAUGAUUAAGCAUUUCAGUUAUUCUUUCUUGCAUACCUGAGACGACUAACUCUUCUCCAGUUGAUGAGUCAGACGAACUGCCCAAUGGUUUUAGGACUCUUGGGAUGAUGCCUAACACUUGACUUCCUCUGAUAAAAGCUGCUUCUGAGACCAUUUUUUGAUAACCCUCGGUUACCUCCUCCAUACACCAAAUGUAAUUUUCUCGCUGCUAUGCUUCGACCAAGAUCUAUGGCUGCCUCCACGAACUCUUUAUGUUUGCCAUAGGUAAAUCCAGAAAGCACACAAAUGUUCUUGAAUUGUCUAUUGGGAGUAGCUGCCAUUGUGAUACUUCUCAAAAAUAAUUUGUGAGUGCUUGACAAAAGAUAAAUCACAUUUAAGAAUCUUGGUGACAAUGGAUCACAGCUGUGAAUGAGGUAACAUGUCAGUGUCAAAUAACGCGUAAAGCACGUGGCUCGCGAGUCAAAAAGGAAACAGUAAAAAGAAAAAGCAAACAGUAAUAAAAUUAUUAAAGACAAUAAUGCAAACAAUAAAACAACAGUGAAAUGAAAUAAAAUAACAGUAAAGUAAAAGGAUAUUUACACGUAGUUGCGACUGUGGCUCACAUCUUCCUCUGGUUUUACGUCCAGAAACGGCUUGAACGCCCUCUAUGGGUCGAGGAUAGGCUUCCCAUCCAGUUUUCUUAUAAACUGGCAAACAGGGUCGUUUAUAGUCAGAUUCCCGAGACUAUAUCGUGCAUGCUCUUUCUGGAAUAAUGGCCAUAACUGGAGAAUCGCUCCUUGCACAUAUCCACUGGGAUGCGUUUCAAGAGACAAAAGGAUAUCAUCCAAUGACUCCUUAUUCAAGCCAUCCCUAAUGAAUUGAAUCUUAUCUUCUCUGUUAUCAGACACCAUUCCUAAAUAACAUGGGUGUCUAUCGCAACUCAUUCUGGCACACUUGUGACAAGCAACAGAAAUUCUUCGAGCUCGUCGUUUUCUUGCGUAAUUUCCUUUACCACAACCAGGCAUGUAUGCAAUAAAUUUAGGAGGUAACUCACCUGCCAAUCGUACUUUAGCCUCAAUUAACCAACGAAUGUCAGCAGGUAAUGUUAUUCUUUAUGAGUAAUCGCAUGCGUUCGGUCCGAGCUUUAUAGAUCGUAAGGAGGGCAUUCUGAGGAAGUGAAUGGAAUCGCUUGUGAAGCUUCGCUAGAAUCUCGUUUUUGUCCAUACUUUCGCCUCAGAAUGUCAGUUAUUGUGGGAAACUGAAGUAACCGACUUGAUUAUCACGGAGUACCGUUAUUCGCCACUUCACCGGGGUAACAAACUAAAGCACACAAACAGAAAAACAAAUCAAAACACACAAAGAAAAUUAAAAUCGUCCUCUUAUUGAAUUUACCUCAAGCUCCAACUGGAUGUCGUAAAAACUUCUCUCAAUGUCUCUGAGUUGGCGUUCUAAACCCUCAACAUAGGCUACUAACUCUGGUGGUUGUAGAGCCCAAAUGCGUUGUGUUUUACAAAAUUGAAUCUGCUUUUGAGAUGAGUUUUGACACGUUGGAAGUGGUUUAAGAAUGUUCAGGAGGAACGGUCUAAGUAUGGUACUCAUGAUUAACAAUGAUAAGAAAAAAAAAAACUUAAUGGUAAAACAAACACACUUAUGCAAAAAUAAUUUCAAUUAGCAAAAGAAUAAUAAAAAGAAAGAAAGAAAAAUCAAAUCAACAAAAAGAAAAAAUCAAUUCAAAUCUGGUGGGUUACUCAAAUUUAUUUCGGUGUCUUCUCCAUGUGGUUGGUACUCAAGAUAUGGCUUUAAUCUUUGACCAUUAACUUUAAACGUGACACCGUUCUUUGGGUCCUUAAUUUCAAUUGCCCCAUGUGGAAAAACAGUAUGUACAAUAAAUGGGCCAGACCAACGAGAGCGUAACUUACCUGGGAAUAGGUGCAAGCGAGAAUUGAAUAAAAGCACUUUCUGACCUGGAGUGAAACGAUUUUCUCAUAAUUUGCUUAUCAUAGAAGACUUUCAUUCGUUGCUUGUAAAUCUUGGCAUUUUCGUAUGCAUCAUUGCGAAUUUCUUCAAGUUCUGCCAGCUGUAAUCUUCUUUCUGAGCUGGCUUGCUGCAUGUCAAAGUUGAAUUUCUUGAUGGCCCAAUAUGCACGAUGCUCGAGUUCCACAGGUAGGUGGCAAGCUUUUCCAUACACUAGCCUGUAGGGUGACAUCCCAAUCGGGGUCUUGAAAGCCGUUCUAUAUGCCCAUAAUGCAUCAUCAAGUCGUAAUGACCAAUCUUUCCUAUCUGGCCUCAACCGUCUUUUCUAAUAUGUGCUUUAUUUCUCGAUUGGAGAUCUCAACUUGACCACUGGUUUGCGGAUGAUACGGAGUUGCCACUUUGUGUGUGAUUGAAUACUUUGUCAAAAGAGCUUUGAAUGCUUUGUUACAAAAGUGGGCACCACCAUCACUGAUUAUUGCUCGAGGGAAUCCAAAGCGCGAAACAAUGUUACUUUUCAAAAAAUCCUAUCACCACCUUGUGAUCAUUGGUUCUACAUGGAAUUGCUUCUACCCAUUUCGAGACGUAGUCAACACCAACCAAUAUGUAUUGAUGGCCAAAAGAAUGGGGAAAGGGUCCCAUGAAGUCGAUACCCCAUACGUCAAAAAUCUCAACCACUAAAAUUGGAUUUAGUGGCAUCAUGUUCCUUCGCGUAAUGCUCCCCAUUCGUUGACACCUAUCACAUGAAGAACAGAAAGUGAAAUUCAAAAAUAUCCUUUCAUUCUGCCAAUGAACAAGCGUGUGGAGGCCAUUUUAGUGCUAAGAAAACAGCUACAAAAGUUUUACAAUGUGGUUUUUAUUGGCCAACUAUAUUUCGAGACGCUUACACUUUCUGUUCUUCAUGUGAUAGGUGUCAACGAAUGGGGAGCAUUACGCGAAGGAACAUGAUGCCACUAAAUCCAAUUUUAGUGGUUGAGAUUUUGACGUAUGGGGUAUCGACUUCAUGGGACCCUUUCCCCAUUCUUUUGGCCAUCAAUACAUAUUGGUUGGUGUUGACUACGUCUCGAAAUGGGUAGAAGCAAUUCCAUGUAGAACCAAUGAUCACAAGGUGGUGAUAGGAUUUUGAAAAGUAACAUUGUUUCGCGCUUUGGAUUCCCUCGAGCAAUAAUCAGUGAUGGUGGUGCCCACUUUUGUAACAAAGCAUUCAAAGCUCUUUUGACAAAGUAUUCAAUCACACACAAAGUGGCAACUCCGUAUCAUCCGCAAACCAGUGGUCAAGUUGAGAUCUCCAAUCGAGAAAUAAAGCACAUAUUAGAAAAGACGGUGAGGCCAGAUAGGAAAGAUUGGUCAUUACGACUUGAUGAUGCAUUAUGGGCAUAUAGAACGGCUUUCAAGACCCCGAUUGGGAUGUCACCCUACAGGCUAGUGUAUGGAAAAGCUUGCCACCUACCUGUGGAACUCGAGCAUCGUGCAUAUUGGGCCAUCAAGAAAUUCAACUUUGACAUGCAGCAAGCCAGCUCAGAAAGAAGAUUACAGCUGGCAGAACUUGAAGAAAUUCGCAAUGAUGCAUACGAAAAUGCCAAGAUUUACAAGCAACGAAUGAAAGUCUUCUAUGAUAAGCAAAUUAUGAGAAAAUCGUUCACUCCAGGUCAGAAAGUGCUUUUAUUCAAUUCUCGCUUGCACCUAUUCCCAGGUAAGUUACGCUCUCGUUGGUCUGGCCCAUUUAUUGUACAUACUGUUUUUCCACAUGGGGCAAUUGAAAUUAAGGACCCAAAGAACGGUGUCACGUUUAAAGUUAAUGGUCAAAGAUUAAAGCCAUAUCUUGAGUACCAACCACAUGGAGAAGACACCGAAAUAAAUUUGAGUAACCCACCAGAUUUGAAUUGAUUUUUUCUUUUUGUUGAUUUGAUUUUUCUUUCUUUCUUUUUAUUAUUCUUUUGCUAAUUGAAAUUAUUUUUGCAUAAGUGUGUUUGUUUUACCAUUAAGUUUUUUUUUUCUUAUCAUUGUUAAUCAUGAGUACCAUACUUAGACCGUUCCUCCUGAACAUUCUUAAACCACUUCAACGUGUCAAAACUCAUCUCAAAAAGCAGAUUCAAUUUUGUAAAACACAACGCAUUUGGGCUCUACAACCACCAGAGUUAGUAGCCUAUGUUGAGGGUUUAGAACGCCAACUCAGAGACAUUGAGAGAAGUUUUUACGACAUCCAGUUGGAGCUUGAGGUAAAUUCAAUAAGAGGACGAUUUUAAUUUUCUUUGUGUGUUUUGAUUUGUUUUUCUGUUUGUGUGCUUUAGUUUGUUACCCCGGUGAAGUGGCGAAUAACGGUACUCCGUGAUAAUCAAGUCGGUUACUUCAGUUUCCCACAAUAACUGACAUUCUGAGGCGAAAGUAUGGACAAAAACGAGAUUCUAGCGAAGCUUCACAAGCGAUUCCAUUCACUUCCUCAGAAUGCCCUCCUUACGAUCUAUAAAGCUCGGACCGAACGCAUGCGAUUACUCAUAAAGAAUAACAUACCUGCUGACAUUCGUUGGUUAAUUGAGGCUAAAGUACGAUUGGCAGGUGAGUUACCUCCUAAAUUUAUUGCAUACAUGCCUGGUUGUGGUAAAGGAAAUUACGCAAGAAAAACGACGAGCUCGAAGAAUUUCUGUUGCUUGUCACAAGUGUGCCAGAAUGAGUUGCGAUAGACACCCAUGUUAUUUAGGAAUGGUGUCUGAUAACAGAGAAGAUAAGAUUCAAUUCAUUAGGGAUGGCUUGAAUAAGGAGUCAUUGGAUGAUAUCCUUUUGUCUCUUGAAACGCAUCCCAGUGGAUAUGUGCAAGGAGCGAUUCUCCAGUUAGGCCAUUAUUCCAAAAAGAGCAUGCACGAUAUCGUCUCGGGAAUCUGACUAUAAACGACCCUGUUUGCCAGUUUAUAAGAAAACUGGAUGGGAAGCCCAUCCUCGACCCAUAGAGGGCGUUCAAGCCGUUUCUGGACGUAAAACCAGAGGAAGAUGUGAGCCACAGUCGCAACUACGUGUAAAUAUCCUUUUACUUUACUGUUAUUUUAUUUCAUUUCACUGUUGUUUUAUUGUUUGCAUUAUUGUCUUUAAUAAUUUUAUUACUGUUUGCUUUUUCCUUUUUACUGUUUCCUUUUUGACUCGCGAGCCACGUGCUUUACGCGUUAUUUGACACUGACAUGUUACCUCAUUCACAGCUGUGAUCCAUUGUCACCAAGAUUCUUAAAUGUGAUUUAUCUUUUGUCAAGCACUCACAAAUUAUUUUUGAGAAGUAUCACAAUGGCAGCUACUCCCAAUAGACAAUUCAAGAACAUUUGUGUGCUUUCUGGAUUUACCUAUGGCAAACAUAAAGAGUUCGUGGAGGCAGCCAUAGAUCUUGGUCGAAGCAUAGCAGCGAGAAAAUUACAUUUGGUGUAUGGAGGAGGUAACCGAGGGUUAUCAAAAAUGGUCUCAGAAGCAGCUUUUAUCAGAGGAAGUCAAGUGUUAGGCAUCAUCCCAAGAGUCCUAAAACCAUUGGGCAGUUCGUCUGACUCAUCAACUGGAGAAGAGUUAGUCGUCUCAGGUAUGCAAAAAGAAUAACUGAAAUGCUUAAUCAUGCUGAUGCUUUUAUUUUCCUUCCAGGAGAUCUUGCAACACUAGAGGCACUUAUGACACUAGCAUCUUGGGCCCAUCUGCACAUCCACCAGAAACCCAUCGGUUUGUUAAAUGUCAAUAACUUUUAUGAUGGCUUUAUCGCAUUUCUUAACCAUGCAAUAAAAAACUAUUUCAUUCCUUCUAAUGUAAAAAAACUUUUUAUUUGUGCUCACACUGCUAAUGAACUACUUGAUCUGUUACAAGCUUAUAAACCGGAGCCAGACCCCUGGACCUUUGUGUUGGAGCGCCCAAAUAAUGAUGGUAACAGUAGCCGCAGUAAGAAGUACAAAUUAGAUUUAACUCUCCGCCUGUAAAUAUAUUCUUUUGUGUUGCACCACCAGGUGAUGUCUUCUAAACUCUACUUCUUUCCUUUAAAACAUUGAGGACAAUGUUUCGUUCUGGUUGAGGGGAGGGAAUAGUCGACAAUUGUGGAAUCUUGGUUAAGUUUUUACUGAUUUUUUGUUUAGAAACUAACUGUUGCUAACUUUUUGUGUUGAAGAUGGCUGAAUAUGGAGUUAGUGACUCUAGAAACGCAUCUUCAUCGUUUAAAAAAAAAAAAAUUUAAAAAACUAAAAAACUAAAAAAAACAAAAAAAUUCAAACAUUUUCUUUUUCUUUAUUAUGUUUUGAUGUUCAUUUUUCUUCUUCUUUUUAAUUUCUCCUUAUAAAUAUAUAUUUUCCAACUUUUGAGUCGAAGAUAGCUGAAUAUGGAGUGUAGUGCCUCUAGAAACGCAUCUUCAUCGUUUAAAAAAAAAUUAAAAAAAAAAAAACAAAAUUUCAUUUUCGUUUUCUAUCAUUUUACGUGUAACUUUUCUAAUUAGUUUUUAUGCAUCAUUUUCACAUUUCUGCAUGCAUAUUUUCCUUUCAUGUUUAGAAUAGGUUGGGGGUAGAAUGUUGUUUAAAAAAAAAAAAGAAAAAAUUGUGUGAUUUGUUUUAACUUUAGAUGACAUGAUUAAUUUCAAAUUUUAGUAUUUGUAUUAUCUUUGGUCUUAAGUGAUGUUACAUUAUGUUUGCUACUCUACAUGUUGAUGUCGGAGACAAAUAUGAGUUGCUUGAAGGAAUGAACAUGUCAUAAUAAGUACCAAGUGAGUUUUUGAGCCUAUCAUUUUUCUUGGAGAGUAACCCUUUUGCCCAUUCUUUAUAAUGCUUAACAGUUUAUUAUUGUAUACACGAUCUCUAGAUUUCUUUUGAGUUAAGCCUUAAAAAAAAAAAAAAAAAAAAUGUGUGUGUUGCUACAUUGGGAGGCCCAUCUAACUAGUAGAUAUGGAUGAUUAUUUAGAGCCCUAAAAGACGAUGGAAAGGCCAUCUUUGAUCCGUUUGAGCCUUUCUAGCCAUCCCUCUUAUCAAGUAUCCAUAGUUAACCCAUUUGAGCCUUUUAAAUAAAAAAAAAAAAAAAAACUUUUCUUUGUUUAACUUAUCAUCUUGACCCACUCCGAUUUGGAGUAUUACCCAAUAUCUUACAAAUUCCAUCACCUAUUUAUGUUUGAGAAAAAUGUAAAUAAACAUUUUGCAUAGUGAAGUAGUUAAAAAAAAAAAAGAAAAAAUUGUUGUUGCUGAAAAAAAAAAAAAAAAAAAAAAUUGUUGUUUCAAAAGAAUAAAAAUAACAAUAAUAGGUGAAAUCCACCUUGCAACUUCCAAAAAAAAAAAAAAAAAAAUAUUCUCUGCAUUUUUCUCAAACAUACACUUUGUUUUCCUUAUUUCCCUUCUUUGUUAGCCAUAUCCCUAGCCUACGUUACGUCCUAAUAAAAGUCCUUCUUGAUUUUAGGGAACUAUAGUUUGAAGUAGAAGCUAGUUAUAUGGGCUAAAAAGAUGUAGUGAUGCAUAAUUAAAAAAAAAAAAGAUAAAUAAAGUGGGUUGACUAACAUUUUAUUUGACUUGAGAUCGUAUUAUUUCUAAGCUGAGGGCAUAUUUAUUUAAUCUUGGUGAGAGCAUGUGAUAUCAUUUCUUUAUUAUUUUCUCUCUCAAUUACCAUUCAUUGGAGUGACUAUGUUUAUUGGGUUUUAAUUUCUUUGUGAGAGUGUCACUACUUCCAGUGAGAUUUUGGGGUUUGACAUGUCAUUCUUGAAAGUAGCUAUAACAAAGUCUACUGGGCUAAUUCAUGUGGAUGGUUGAUGUGGGUGUGAUGUUGCUUUAGACUGGAGAUAAUGCUUAUACUUUUAUUUGAUUGCUAUCAUUAAUCUGAUUGAAUAAACACGAGUGUUUCUAAAAAAAAAAAAAAAAAAAAUCAUUUUGAAUUUGAAUUUUGUUUUCGCUUUAUUUGCUAGGGACUAGCAAUAAGCUGGUUGGGGGGUGUGUUGAGUGUUAGAAAAUACAUAUUUAUAAAGGAGAAAACCGUCAUUUUACAUUUCAAGUCUUACUAACAACCCUUACUUUUAUGUAUUUAACCUUCUUGUGAUGUAAUUACGUGUGUGUUAUUUUAAUUAAGUAUUUUAUGUAUUUUAGGGGCAGUAUAGUCAUUUCACAAUAAAGGAGAGAUCAGACGGCAAAACGGACAUCACUUUUGAACUCAGGACGGUCGAAAACCUUAGGAGGAGCAUAAAAGGAAAAAUGGCACUAUUCACAUGUACGGUACUAUUCACGUAUACGGUACUGUCUACGUUACUGUUCACGACACUGUUCACAUAGACGGAUCGAUGACGUGGCAUUGACCGAUGACGUGGCAUUGACCGAUGAUGUGGCAUUGACUGAUGAGUGUCACGAUCCUGUUGGGCUAAAAAUUCUUAUGUACUGUUAAUGGUGACGUGGCAGCAUAUCAGUGGACGAAAAAUCUCGUGUACGGUGCAUGCAUCACACAGGAUUAUUUUCAACCAAACCGCGUUACUGUUCAUCCGGGUCAAACCGUGUUACUGUUCAUCCGCGUGGUCAAACCGUGGACUGUUGACUGAUGACGUGGCGCAAUCCUGAGCGUCCAAACUGUUUUUAAUCCGAUGGCCAUGAUUUACUCCAUGUAUCUAUAAAAAGGGGGCCUCUCCCCCCUAAUUUGAUAUCUCUGAAUCCAUUUUUGGGAUCCAUUUUCUGUAAUUCCUUCUCCAUCUGUAUUUUCUUUGUAUUUUAAUAAAUUCCCUUUUUGCCCCUAGUUCAAUUAUGAGUAGCUAAUUUCUUUUCAAGCUUGGGUUGAAGGUGAAGUCUCAACAUGUGUCAUGGCUUUAUUUGGUAAAUUUAUUUUCUUUUCCCUCUAGUUUUUGUGGAUGAUUUGACUUAUCGUCGACAAAUAAUACUGAUCUUGUCUAGAUACCGCCUUGGUUACACCGGCUCUCUGGUAUAAGGUUAUUAUUAUUUGGCACGAUAAGCCCUUAGCACCAUAUUGAUUAGAGCGUGGUUCAUGAGGUGUGGAUUCCCCCCUCAUGAUUUAAUUGGUAUUAAUAAGGAAUAUUUAGCCCAUGAUGCAUGUUGAUACGGAUCCAGAUACCCAAGUACGUCAUUUCAAUAGAAUUCUCUUCAAUUUAUUCUCGCCAUUUUAAUUUAAGUUUUAGCAUAUUCCAAAUCAUUUCCACCACAAAUCCAAUCACCCAUUUACAAAAUUAAUUUUAUACACAAUUAAAAUCCACCUCCUCGUGGGAUCGACACUCGUCACCAUUAGUCUAUAUUACAAUAGAUUCGUGCGCUUGCGAGUACAUUAAAAUUUGCACAACAAGUUUUUGGCGCCGUUGCCGGGGAGGUAAGUAAUUUUAAUUCAUAAAAUUAAUUUUUGUGAAUAAUUUCUUUUAUUUGUUUUCUUGUAUUUUUUUUUUCUUAUUAAAAAAAAAAAGAAAAAAAAAAGAGUAAAUCUACAUUUAAAGGUUAGUAUUUCUUUUCUUUUUCUCUUCUUUAAAAUUCUGUAAUUUAAUUUUCAAUUUAUUUUUUUUUCUUUGUAAUUUUUGUUUAUUUUAUUAAUUUAAUUUUUAGUUAAUUUAUUUCACGUAUUUGUUUUUGUGUAUUUUUAUAGAAAGGUUGUAAUAGCGCAAUAAGGUUAGUAUCGUAAUUUCUCCCUCUUAUUUAUUUUAUUUGUUUUGUUCCCAUCUUUAUUUUUUGUUUUGUUUGCAUCUUUAUUUUUAUUUUCAUUUUAUUUUGCAUGCAUGGUCGUAGGUCAUUAUUACCUAAUCUUGAACCUAUAGACCUUGAAUUAGAAAAAACACUUCGCACACAAAAACACAUUAAAAAUAAAAUUGGAAUGGAUUUACAAGCACCACAGGAGAGGCCAUUUAAGGACUAUUUUAGUCCCUUAGCUAAUUUAAGCACAUCAUGUAUUAGAUACCCAAAUGUAGCUGCUAGGAACUUUGAACUAAAACCUAGUGUGCUAAAUUGUCUCCCCACAUUCUAUGGCUUAGAAAAUGAGGACCCAUAUAAUCAUCUGAAUGAUUUUCAUACCAUUUGUCAAACUUUUAAAUAUGAAAAUUUUUCAGACGAUGAUGUUAAACUCAGACUAUUCCCAUUUUCUUUAAAGGAUAGAGCUCGUUCAUGGUUAAAUACGUUGCCUGCUAAUAGCAUUUCAUCAUGGGAACAAAUGGUAACUAAAUUUUUGAAUAAAUAUUUCCCAGUGCAUAAAACCAAUUCUAUUCGCAGGGAAAUUUCAGAGUUUACACAAAGAGGACGAGCAGUUUUUUCGAAACUUGGGAGCGAUUCAAUGGCUACUCUUGAAGUGUCCACAUCAUGGGUACGAAAAAUGGCACCAAUGCCAAUACUUUUUGGAGGGAUUACUACCGAAUGUGCAAGAAUGGCUAAUGGCAACAAGUGGAGGAGAGCUAAUGUCAAAAAGUGCAUCAGAAAUUUGGGAAUUCUUCCAACGACAAGCGGAUAAUUCCCAACAACGGAGUCGAUCACUAAGGAAUACUAGAAGAAUUAAGGGAGUAAAUGAGGUUCAAAUUGGCGAGUCAACUUCGGGAAUCAAAGAAGUCAAGGAGAUGGUUGAAGGUCUCGCUCGACAAAUAGCAUCGUUAUCGACUGCUAAAUCAACAGAACCACAUGACCAUGACUCAUACUCCGAUCAAGCCAAUGCCAUAGGUGUAAUGAGAAAACCAUCGAAUUACAACCCAUACUCCAACACAUAUAACCCUGGAUGGAGAGACCACCCCAAUUUUUCAUGGUCUCAAGGAUUCCAACAGAAUGGACCAGCAGCUCCAGCUCCACCAAUGCAACAAAUUCCUCAAAAUCCUCAAGCCUCUCAGCCACCAUUCAGACCAUACAAUCAGAACCAGAACUACUCUCAACCCAGACCAUGGGAGGAUGCAUUCCAGAAUUUCAAGAAUGUUACUCACUCCACGAUUGAGCAACAGAACCGCACCAUUGAUGGACUACGAAAUGAGUUGAGAGCAGGCUUCAACUCACAAGCUCAAUCAGUUUCAAGCCUCGAGAAGAUGGUGGGACAACUUGCUUCUUCAGUUCAGACCUUGGCAAUGACUGUUGAGAAAGGAAAAUUUCCAAGUCAACCAGUGCCUAAUCCUAAAGGAGUACAUGAAGCAAGUACCAGUUCACCACAACAGCAUGGAGAGGUCAAAGCAGUCAUGACCUUGCGAAAAGGAAAGGAAGUCGACAACAAAGUGGAGAUGCCGGUGACAAAAGAAAAUCAAAUUGUACCUGUGAAUGUUGAAGACUCACCACCGGAGGAGAAGAAGAAACCAACCCACGAGAAUACGUUCCGAAAGCUCCAUUUCCUCAGAGGUUAGCUAAAGGGAAAAAGGGAAAAUCCACAGGUGAGAUUCUCGAAAUCUUCAAACAGGUAAGUGUUAACAUCCCUUUACUUGAUGCUAUUAAACAAGUUCCAUCUUAUGCCAAGUUUCUUAAAGACCUUUGUACUAAAAAGAGAAAUAUGCAUGUUCAAAAGAAGGCAUUUUUAACAGAAAAUGUUAGUUCUAUACUCCAACAUAAAAUUCCUCUAAAAUGCAAAGACCCAGGCUCCCCCACUAUCUCAUGUAGUAUAGGGAACCACACAAUUGAGAAUGCGUUGUUGGAUUUAGGAGCUAGUGUAAAUCUGUUGCCUUAUUCAGUAUUCGUGAAACUUGGACUGGGAGAAUUACACCCAACUCCAGUGGUGUUACAGCUUGCAGAUCGGUCCACGAAAAUACCUCGUGGUAUUAUGGAGGACGUGCUUAUCCAGGUAGACAAGUUUUAUUUUCCUGUUGAUUUCAUUGUAAUUGACACUCAACCAAUACAGGAUUCAAGGAAGCACAUCCCCAUUAUUCUAGGCCGACCUUUCUUGGCGACUGCGAUGCUCACAUUCAAUGCAGGACUGGAAAUAUGCAGUUGUCCUUCGGCAACAUGACUAUGGAGCUAAAUAUUUUCAACAUUGCCAAACAACCUCACAGUGCAGAUGAUGGAAUUGUUGAUGUGGAUUUAAUAGAAACAAUAGUUGAUAAUACUUUUCUUUCAAACCUUAGUGAUGAUCCUUUACAGACAUGCUUAACUCACUUUGGUUUGGAUUUUGAUAUUGAUAGAUCGGUCGAUGAGGUCAACGCCCUGCUUGACUCAGCACCAUCCAUGGACACUAAUAAAUGGAAGUCAAGAGUUGAACAACUAGCACCAUCAGAGAAGAAACUCAUUCCAUCAUCAGAAUCACCACCGAAACUCGAGCUCAAACCAUUACCCAACACUCUGGAAUAUGCAUUUUUGGGAGAAGAAAGUACUCUGCCGGUAAUCAUCUCAUCAUCCCUAAAUGACGAACAAAAAGGUAAGUUGUUGGAUGUUUUUAAAAGAGCACAAAGGAGCAUUAGGAUGGACCAUAGCAGACAUUAAAGGUAUAAACCCAGUAGACUGUAUGCAUUACAUUCACCUUGAUGAAAAUGCUAAAACUACUAGGAGAUGCAACGUCGGUUAAAUCCUAACAUGAAAGAAGUUGUUAGAACUGAAGUCCUUAAGCUAUUAGAUGCAGGUAUCAUUUACCCAAUUUCUGAUAGUUCAUGGGUCAGUCCUGUACAAGUUGUCCCCAAAAAGUCAGGAGUCACAGUAGUUACCAAUGCUGAUAAUGAAUUGAUACCAACUAGAGUAACUACAGGAUGGCGUGUAUGCAUUGAUUAUAGAAAGUUGAAUUCUGUCACACGUAAAGACCAUUUUCCUUUACCAUUUAUUGAUCAAAUGCUUGAUAGAUUAGCAGGCCAUGAAUUUUAUUGCUUUCUAGAUGGCUACUCAGGAUAUAAUCAGAUUCCCAUAGCACCAAAAGAUCAAGAGAAAACUACUUUCACUUGCCCUUUGGGCACAUAUAGGAGAAUGCCAUUUGGAAUGUAAUGCACCUGCUACAUUUCAACGAUGCAUGUUGAGCAUUUUUUCUGAUAUGGUUGAACGAUUCCUUGAAGUCUUUAUGGAUGAUUUUUCUGUCUUUGGUGACUCGUUUGAUCAAUGUUUUACAUCAUCUCGCGUUCUGCAGAGAUGUAAGAGAGCUUAGUUAAAUUGGGAGAAGUGUUAUGGUAAAAAGGUAUUGUUCUCGGUCACAUCAUUUCGGUAUGAGGUUGACAAAGCCAAGGUGGAUCUCAUUUCUAAUCUUCCUCACCUAAAACAGUCAGAGUCUUUUCCGCAUGCUGGUCUAUAGACGUUUCAUUAAAGAUUUUAGCAAAGUUUCUAGACCCUUAUGCAAUUUACUUGCUAAGGAUGUACCUUUUAUCUUUAAUGAUUCAUGUCUUAUGGCUUUUGAAAAAUUAAAGCAAUUGUUGACAUCAUCACCCAUCAUUCAGGCCCCAAACUGGAGCUUACCAUUUGAGCUCAUGUGUGAUGCAUCUGAUUAUGCAGUAGGAGCAGUAUUAGGACAAAGAGUUGAUCGAAUUCCCAACGUUAUUUACUAUGCUAGUAUGACCUUGAAUGAUGCACAGUUGAAUUAUUCAACUACUGAAAAAGAAAUGCUAGCAGUAGUUUGCAUUGGAAAAAUUUCGAUCUUAUCUCAUUGGUUGUAAAAUAAUUAUAUUCACAGAUCAUGCUGCUCUUAAAUAUCUUCUCACAAAGAAAGAUGCAAAAGCUAGACUAAUUCGUUGGGUGUUACUUUUGCAGGAAUUUGACUUGGAAUUCAAAGAUAAGAAAGGGACAGAAAAUGUUGUGGCGGACCACCUCUCUCGUCUCCAUUUUGACACAAUUACAGAGCCAUUAAUAUUAAAUGAGUCAUUUCCAGAUGAACAAUUAAUGAUGUGGAAGUAUUACCUUGGUAUGCUGAUAUAGUUAAUUAUCUUGUUACAGGUAAGCUUCCAGAGCAUUGGACCAAGCAAGACAAGGCUAAAUUCUUUGCGGAAAUAAAGAAUUUCUUUUGGGAUGACCCAUAUUUGUUCAAGUAUUGUGCAGACCAAAUUGUUAGACGAUGUGUCCCUGAAAGUGAAAUUCAGAAUAUCCUUUCAUUCUGCCAUGAACAAGCUUGUGGAGGCCAUUUCAGUGCUAAGAAAACAGCGACUAAAGUUUUACAAUGGUUUCUAUUGGCCAACUAUAUUUCGAGAUGCUUACACUUUCUGUUCUUCAUGUGAUAGGUGUCAACGAAUGGGGAGCAUUACACGAAGGAACAUGAUGCCACUAAAUCCAAUUUUAGUGGUUGAGAUUUUUGACGUAUGGGGUAUCGACUUCAUGGGACCCUUUCCCCUUCUUUUGGCCAUCAAUACAUAUUGGUUGGUGUUGACUACGUAUCGAAAUGGGUGGAAGCAAUUCCAUGCAGAACCAAUGAUCACAAGUGGUGAUAGGAUUUUUGAAAAAGCAAUAUUGUUUCGCGCUUUGGAUUCCCUCGAGCGAUAAUCAGUGAUGGUGGUGCCCACUUUUGUAACAAAGCAUUCAAGGCUCUUUUGACAAAGUAUUCAAUCACACAAAGUGGCGACCCCGUAUCAUCCGCAAACCAGUGGCCAAGUUGAGAUCUCCAAUCGAGAAAUAAAGCACAUAUUAGAAAAGACGGUGAGGCCAGACAGGAAAGAUUGGUCAUUACGACUUGAUGAUGCAUUAUGGGCAUAUAGAACGGCUUUCAAGACCCCGAUUGGGAUGUCACCCUACAGGCUAGUGUAUGGAAAAGCUUGCCACCUACCUGUGGAACUCGAGCAUCGUGCAUAUUGGGCCAUCAAGAAAUUCAACUUUGACAUGCAGCAAGCCAGCUCAGAAAGAAGAUUACAGCUGGCAGAACUUGAAGAAAUUCGCAAUGAUGCAUACGAAAAUGCCAAGAUUUACAAGCAACGAAUGAAAGUCUUCCAUGAUAAGCAAAUUAUGAGAAAAUCGUUCACUCCAGGUCAGAAAGUGCUUUUAUUCAAUUCUCGCUUGCACCUAUUCCCAGGUAAGUUACGCUCUCGUUGGUCUGGCCCAUUUAUUGUACAUACUGUUUUUCCACAUGGGGCAAUUGAAAUUAAGGACCCAAAGAACGGUGUCACGUAUAAAGUUAAUGGUCAAAGAUUAAAGCCAUAUCUAGAGUACCAACCACAUGGAGAAAACAUCGAAAUAAAUUUGAGUGACCCACUAAAUUUGAAUUGAUUUUUUUUUUCUUUUCGUUAAUUUGAUUUUUCUUUAUUUCUUUUUAUUAUUAUUCUUUUGCUAAUUGAAAUUGUUUUUGCAUAAGUGUGUUUAUUUUACCAUUAAGUUUUCUCUUAUCAUUUUUAAUCAUGAGUCUCAUACUUAGACCGUUCCUCCUGAACAUUCUUAAACCACUUCAACGUGUCAAAACUCAUCUCAAAAGGCAGAUCUAUUUUGUAAAACACAACGCAUUUGGGCUCUACAACCACCAGAGUUAGUAGCCUAUGUUGAGGGUUUAGAACGCCAACUCAGAGACAUUGAGAGAAGUGUUUACGACAUCCAGUUGGAGCUUGAGGUAAAUUCAAUAAGAGGACGAUUUUAAUUUUCUUUGUGUGUUUUUUGUUUUUCUGUUUGUGUGCUUUAGUUUGUUACCCCGGUGAAGUGGCGGAUAACGGUACUCCGUGACAAUCAAGUCGGUUAACUUCAGUUUCCCAUAAUAACUGAUAUUCUGAGGCGAAGGUAUGGACAGAAACGAGAUUCUAGCGAAGCUUCACAAGCGAUUCCCUUCACUUCCUCAGAAUGCCCUCCUUACAAUCUAUAAAGCCCGGUCUGAACGCAUGCGAUUGCUCAUGAGGAAUAACAUACCUGCAGACAUCCGUUGGUUAAUCGAGGCUAAAGUACGAUUGGCAGGUGAGUUACCUCCUAAAUUUAUUGCAUACAUGCCUGGUUGUGGUAAAGGAAAUUACGCAAGAAAACGACGAGCUCGAAGAAUUUCUGUUGCUUGUCACAAGUGUGCCAGAAUGAGUUGCGAUAGAAACCCAUGUUCUUUAGGAAUGUGUCUGAUAACAGGGAAGAUAAGAUUCAAUUCAUUAGGGAUGGCUUGAAUAAGGAGUCAUUGGAUGAUAUCCUUUUGUCUCUUGAAACGCAUCCCAGUGGAUAUGUGCAAGGAGCGAUUCUCCAGUUAAGGCCAUUAUUCCAAAAAGAGCAUGCACGAUAUCGUCUCGGGAAUCUGACUAUAAACGACCCUGUUUGCCAGUUUAUAAGAAAACUGGAUGGGAAGCCCAUCCUCGACCCAUAGAGGGUUCAAGCCGUUUCUGGACGUAAAACCAGAGGAAGAUGUGAGCCACAGUCGCAACUACGUGUAAAUAUCCUUUUACUUUACUGUUAUUUUAUUUCAUUUCACUGUUGUUUUAUUGUUUGCAUUAUUGUCUUUAAUAAUUUUAUUACUGUUUGCUUUUUCCUUUUUACUGUUUCCUUUUUGACUCGCGAGCCACGUGCUUUACGCGUUAUUUGACACUGACAUGUUACCUCAUUCACAGCUGUGAUCCAUUGUCACCAAGAUUCUUAAAUGUGAUUUAUCUUUUGUCAAGCACUCACAAAUUAUUUUUGAGAAGUAUCACAAUGGCAGCUACUCCCAAUAGACAAUUCAAGAACAUUUGUGUGCUUUCUGGAUUUACCUAUGGCAAACAUAAAGAGUUCGUGGAGGCAGCCAUAGAUCUUGGUCGAAGCAUAGCAGCGAGAAAAUUACAUUUGGUGUAUGGAGGAGGUAACCGAGGGUUAUCAAAAAUGGUCUCAGAAGCAGCUUUUAUCAGAGGAAGUCAAGUGUUAGGCAUCAUCCCAAGAGUCCUAAAACCAUUGGGCAGUUCGUCUGACUCAUCAACUGGAGAAGAGUUAGUCGUCUCAGGUAUGCAAGAAAGAAUAACUGAAAUGCUUAAUCAUGCUGAUGCUUUUAUUUUCCUUCCAGGAGAUCUUGCAACACUAGAGGCACUUAUGACACUAGCAUCUUGGGCCCAUCUGCACAUCCACCAGAAACCCAUCGGUUUGUUAAAUGUCAAUAACUUUUAUGAUGGCUUUAUCGCAUUUCUUAACCAUGCAAUAAAAAAACUAUUUCAUUCCUUCUAAUGUAAAAAAACUUUUUAUUUGUGCUCACACUGCUAAUGAACUACUUGAUCUGUUACAAGCUUAUAAACCGGAGCCAGACCCCUGGACCUUUGUGUUGGAGCGCCCAAAUAAUGAUGGUAACAGUAGCCGCAGUAAGAAGUACAAAUUAGAUUUAACUCUCCGCCUGUAAAUAUAUUCUUUUGUGUUGCACCACCCAGGUGAUGUCUUCUAAACUCUACUUCUUCCUUUAAAACAUUGAGGACAAUGUUUCGUUCUGAACUAAAGUUUUACAAUGUGGUUUCUAUUGGCCAACUAUAUUUCGAGAUGCUUACACUUUCUGUUCUUCAUGUGAUAGGUGUCAACGAAUGGGGAGCAUUACACGAAGGAACAUGAUGCCACUAAAUCCAAUUUUAGUGGUUGAGAUUUUUGACGUAUGGGGUAUCGACUUCAUGGGACCCUUUCCCCUUCUUUUGGCCAUCAAUACAUAUUGGUUGGUGUUGACUACGUAUCGAAAUGGGUGGAAGCAAUUCCAUGUAGAACCAAUGAUCACAAGUGGUGAUAGGAUUUUUGAAAAGCAACAUUGUUUCGCGCUUUGGAUUCCCUCGAGCGAUAAUCAGUGAUGGUGGUGCCCACUUUUGUAACAAAGCAUUCAAGGCUCUUUUGACAAAGUAUUCAAUCACACACAAAGUGGCGACCCGUAUCAUCCGCAAACCAGUGGCCAAGUUGAGAUCUCCAAUCGAGAAAUAAAGCACAUAUUAGAAAAGACGGUGAGGCCAGACAGGAAAAGAUUGGUCAUUAAGACUUGAUGAUGCAUUAUGGGCAUAUAGAACGGCUUUCAAGACCCCGAUUGGGAUGUCACCCUACAGGCUAGUGUAUGGAAAAGCUUGCCACCUACCUGUGGAACUCGAGCAUCGUGCAUAUUGGGCCAUCAAGAAAUUCAACUUUGACAUGCAGCAAGCCAGCUCAGAAAGAAGAUUACAGCUGGCAGAACUUGAAGAAAUUCGCAAUGAUGCAUACGAAAAUGCCAAGAUUUACAAGCAACGAAUGAAAGUCUUCCAUGACAAGCAAAUUAUGAGAAAUCGUUCACUCCAGGUCAGAAAGUGCUUUUAUUCAAUUCUCGCUUGCACCUAUUCCCAGGUAAGUUACGCUCUCGUUGGUCUGGCCCUUUAUUGUUCAUACUGUUUUUCCACAUGGGGCAAUUGAAAUUAAGGACCCAAAGAACGGUGUCACGUAUAAAGUUAAUGGUCAAAGAUUAAAGCCAUAUCUAGAGUACCAACCACAUGGAGAAACAUCGAAAUAAAUUUGAGUGACCCACUAAAUUUGAAUUGAUUUUUUUUUUUCUUUUCGUUAAUUUGAUUUUUCUUUAUUUCUUUUUAUUAUUAUUCUUUUGCUAAUUGAAAUUGUUUUUGCAUAAGUGUGUUUAUUUUACCAUUAAGUUUUCUCUUAUCAUUUUUAAUCAUGAGUCUCAUACUUAGACCGUUCCUCCUGAACAUUCUUAAACCACUUCAACGUGUCAAAACUCAUCUCAAAAGGCAGAUUCUAUUUUGUAAAACACAACGCAUUUGGGCUCUACAACCACCAGAGUUAGUAGCCUAUGUUGAGGGUUUAGAACGCCAACUCAGAGACAUUGAGAGAAGUGUUUACGACAUCCAGUUGGAGCUUGAGGUAAAUUCAAUAAGAGGACGAUUUUAAUUUUCUUUGUGUGUUUUUUGUUUUUCUGUUUGUGUGCUUUAGUUUGUUACCCCGGUGAAGUGGCGGAUAACGGUACUCCGUGACAAUCAAGUCGGUUAACUUCAGUUUCCCAUAAUAACUGAUAUUCUGAGGCGAAGGUAUGGACAGAAACGAGAUUCUAGCGAAGCUUCACAAGCGAUUCCCUUCACUUCCUCAGAAUGCCCUCCUUACAAUCUAUAAAGCCCGGUCUGAACGCAUGCGAUUGCUCAUGAGGAAUAACAUACCUGCAGACAUCCGUUGGUUAAUCGAGGCUAAAGUACGAUUGGCAGGUGAGUUACCUCCUAAAUUUAUUGCAUACAUGCCUGGUUGUGGUAAAGGAAAUUACGCAAGAAAACGACGAGCUCGAAGAAUUUCUGUUGCUUGUCACAAGUGUGCCAGAAUGAGUUGCGAUAGAAACCCAUGUUCUUUAGGAAUGGUGUCUGAUAACAGGGAAGAUAAGAUUCAAUUCAUUAGGGAUGGCUUGAAUAAGGAGUCAUUGGAUGAUAUCCUUUUGUCUCUUGAAACGCAUCCCAGUGGAUAUGUGCAAGGAGCGAUUCUCCAGUUAAGGCCAUUAUUCCAAAAGAGCAUGCACGAUAUCGUCUCGGGAAUCUGACUAUAAACGACCCUGUUUGCCAGUUUAUAAGAAAACUGGAUGGGAAGCCCAUCCUCGACCCAUAGAGGGCGUUCAAGCCGUUUCUGGACGUAAAACCAGAGGAAGAUGUGAGCCACAGUCGCAACUACGUGUAAAUAUCCUUUUACUUUACUGUUAUUUUAUUUCAUUUCACUGUUGUUUUAUUGUUUGCAUUAUUGUCUUUAAUAAUUUUAUUACUGUUUGCUUUUUCCUUUUUACUGUUUCCUUUUUGACUCGCGAGCCACGUGCUUUACGCGUUAUUUGACACUGACAUGUUACCUCAUUCACAGCUGUGAUCCAUUGUCACCAAGAUUCUUAAAUGUGAUUUAUCUUUUGUCAAGCACUCACAAAUUAUUUUUGAGAAGUAUCACAAUGGCAGCUACUCCCAAUAGACAAUUCAAGAACAUUUGUGUGCUUUCUGGAUUUACCUAUGGCAAACAUAAAGAGUUCGUGGAGGCAGCCAUAGAUCUUGGUCGAAGCAUAGCAGCGAGAAAAUUACAUUUGGUGUAUGGAGGAGGUAACCGAGGGUUAUCAAAAAUGGUCUCAGAAGCAGCUUUUAUCAGAGGAAGUCAAGUGUUAGGCAUCAUCCCAAGAGUCCUAAAACCAUUGGGCAGUUCGUCUGACUCAUCAACUGGAGAAGAGUUAGUCGUCUCAGGUAUGCAAGAAAGAAUAACUGAAAUGCUUAAUCAUGCUGAUGCUUUUAUUUUCCUUCCAGGAGAUCUUGCAACACUAGAGGCACUUAUGACACUAGCAUCUUGGGCCCAUCUGCACAUCCACCAGAAACCCAUCGGUUUGUUAAAUGUCAAUAACUUUUAUGAUGGCUUUAUCGCAUUUCUUAACCAUGCAAUAAAAAACUAUUUCAUUCCUUCUAAUGUAAAAAAACUUUUUAUUUGUGCUCACACUGCUAAUGAACUACUUGAUCUGUUACAAGCUUAUAAACCGGAGCCAGACCCCUGGACCUUUGUGUUGGAGCGCCCAAAUAAUGAUGGUAACAGUAGCCGCAGUAAGAAGUACAAAUUAGAUUUUAACUCUCGCUGUAAUAUAUUCUUUUGUGUUGCACCACCCAGGUGAUGUCUUCUAAACUCUACUUCUUUCCUUUAAAACAUUGAGGACAAUGUUUCGUUUCUGGUUGAGGGGGGAAUAGUCGACAAUUGUGGAAUCUUGGUUAAGUUUUUACUGAUUUUUUGUUGUAGAAACUAACUGUUGCUAACUUUUUGUGUUGAAGAUGGCUGAAUAUGGAGUGUAGUGACUCUAGAAACGCCAUCUUCAUCGUUUAAAAAAAAAAAAAAAUUUAAAAACUAAAAAAACUAAAAAAAACAAAAAAUUCAAACAUUUUCUUUUUCUUUAUUAUGUUUUGAUGUUCAUUUUUCUUCUUCUUUUUAAUUUCUCCUAUAAAUAUAUAUUUCCAACUUUUGAGUCGAAGAUAGCUGAAUAUGGAGAUUUGCCUCUAGAAACGCAUCUUCAUCGUUUUAAAAAAAAAAUUAAAAAAAAAAAAAACAAAAUUUCAUUUUUCGUUUUCUAUCAUUUUACGUGUAACUUUUCUAAUUAGUUUUUAUGCAUCAUUUUCACAUUUCUGCAUGCAUAUUUUCCUUUCAUGUUUAGAAUAGGUUGGGGGUAGAAUGUUGUUUAAAAAAAAAAAAAAGAAAAAAUUGUGUGAUUUGUUUUAACUUUAGAUGACAUGAUUAAUUCAAAUUUUAGUAUUUGUAUUAUCUUUGGUCUUAAGUGAUGUUACAUUAUGUUUGCUACUCUACAUGUUGAUGUCGGAGACAAAUAUGAGUUGCUUGAAGGAAUGACAUGUCAUAAUAAAGUACCAAGUGAGUUUUUGAGCCUAUCAUUUUUCUUUGGAGAGUAACCCUUUUGCCCAUUCUUUAUAAUGCUUAACAGUUUAUUAUUGUAUACACGAUCUCUAGAUUUCUUUUGAGUUAAGCCUUAAAAAAAAAAAAAAAAAAAAAAUGUGUGUGUUGCUUACAUUGGGAGGCCCAUCUAACUAGUAGAUAUGGAUGAUUAUUUAGAGCCCUAAAAGACGAUGGAAAGGCCAUCUUUGAUCCGUUUGAGCCUUUCUAGCCAUCCCUCUUAUCAAGUAUCCAUAGUUUAACCCAUUUGAGCCUUUUAAAUAAAAAAAAAAAAAAACUUUCUUUGUUUAACUUAUCAUCUUGACCCACUCCGAUUUGGAGUAUUACCCAAUAUCUUACAAAUUCCAUCACCUAUUUAUGUUUGAGAAAAAUGUAAAUAAACAUUUUGCAUAGUGAAGUUAUGCCUAGUUUCAAAAAAAAAAAGAAAAAAUUGUUGUUGCUGAAAAAAAAAAAAAAAAGAAAAAAAAUUGUUGUUUCAAAAGAAUAAAAAUAACAAUAAUAGGUGAAAUCCACCUUGCAACUUCCAAAAAAAAAAAAAAAAAAUAUUCUCUGCAUUUUUUCUCAAACAUACACUUUGUUUUCCUUAUUUCCCUUCUUUGUUAGCCAUAUCCCUAAGCCUACGUUACGUCCUAAUAAAAGUCCUUCUUGAUUUUAGGGGAACUAUAGUUUGAAGUAGAAGCUAGUUAUAUGGGCUAAAAAGAUGUAGUGAUGCAUAAUUAAAAAAAAAAAAAGAUAAAUAAAGUGGGUUGACUAACAUUUUAUUUGACUUGAGAUCGUAUUAUUUCUAAGCUGAGGGCAUAUUUAUUUAAUCUUGGUGAGAGCAUGUGAUAUCAUUUCUUUAUUAUUUUCUCUCUCAAUUACCAUUCAUUGGAGUGACUAUGUUUAUUGGGUUUUAAUUUCUUUGUGAGAGUGUCACUACUUCCAGUGAGAUUUUGGGGUUUUGACAUGUCAUUCUUGAAAGUAGCUAUAACAAAGUCUACUGGGCUAAUUCAUGUGGAUGGUUGAUGUGGGUGUGAUGUUGCUUUAGACUGGAGAUAAUGCUUAUACUUUUAUUUGAUUGCUAUCAUUAAUCUGAUUGAAUAAACACGAGUGUUUCUAAAAAAAAAAAAAAAAAAAAUCAUUUUGAAUUUGAAUUUUGUUUUCGCUUUAUUUGCUAGGGACUAGCAAUAAGCUGGUUGGGGGGUGUUGUUGAGUGUUAGAAAAUACAUAUUUUAUAAAGGAGAAAACCGUCAUUUUACAUUUCAAGUCUUUACUAACAACCCUUACUUUUAUGUAUUUAACCUUCUUGUGAUUGUAAUUACGUGUGUGUUUUUUUAAUUAAGUAUUUUAUGUAUUUUAGGGGCAGUAUAGUCAUUUCACAAUAAAGGAGAGAUCAGACGGCAAAACGGACAUCACUUUUGAACUCAGGACGGUCGAAAACCUUAGGAGGAGCAUAAAAGGAAAAAAUGGCACUAUUCACAUGUACGGUACUAUUCACGUAUACGGUACUGUCUACGUUACUGUUCACGACACUGUUCACAUAGACGGAUCGAUGACGUGGCAUUGACCGAUGACGUGGCAUUGACCGAUGAUGUGGCAUUGACUGAUGAGGUGUCACGAUCCUGUUGGGCUAAAAUUCUUAUGUACUGUUAAUGGUGACGUGGCAGCAUAUCAGUGACGAAAAAUCUCGUGUACGGUGCAUGCAUCACACAGGAUUAUUUUCAACCAAACCGCGUUACUGUUCAUCCGGGUCAAACCGUGUUACUGUUCAUCCGCUCGGUGGUCAAACCGUGGACUGUUGACUGAUGACGUGGCGCAAUCCUGAGCGUCCAAACUGUUUUUAAUCCGAUGGCCAUGAUUUACUCCAUGUAUCUAUAAAAAGGGGGCCUCUCCCCCCGAAUUUGAUAUCUCUGAAUCCAUUUUUGGGAUCCAUUUUUCUGUAAUUCCUUCUCCAUCUUGUAUUUUCUUUGUAUUUUAAUAAAUUCCCUUUUUGCCCCUAGUUCAAUUAUGAGUAGCUAAUUUCUUUUCAAGCUUGGGUUGAAGGUGAAGUCUCAACAUGUGUCAUGGGCUUUAUUUGGUAAAUUUAUUUUCUUUUCCCCUCUAGUUUUUGUGGAUGAUUUGACUUAUCGUCGACAAAUAAUACUGAUCUUGUCUAGAUACCGCCUUGGUUACACCGGCUCUCUGGUAUAAGGUUAUUAUUAUUUGGCACGAUAAGCCCUUAGCACCAUAUUGAUUAGAGCGUGGUUCAUGAGGUGUGGAUUCCCCCCUCAUGAUUUAAUUGGUAUUAAUAAGGAAUAUUUAGCCCAUGAUGCAUGUUGAUACGGAUCCAGAUACCCAAGUACGUCAUUUCAAUAGAAUUCUCUUCAAUUUAUUCUCGCCAUUUUAAUUUAAGUUUUAGCAUAUUCCAAAUCAUUUCCACCACAAAUCCAAUCACCCAUUUACAAAAUUAAUUUUAUACACAAUUAAAAUCCACCUCCUCGUGGGAUCGACACUCGUCACCAUUAGUCUAUAUUACAAUAGAUUCGUGCGCUUGCGAGUACAUUAAAAUUUGCACAACAAGUUUUUGGCGCCGUUGCCGGGGAGGUAAGUAAUUUUAAUUCAUAAAAUUAAUUUUGUGAAUAAUUUCUUUUAUUUGUUUUCUUGUAUUUUUUUUUUCUUAUAAAAAAAAAAAGAAAAAAAAAAGAGUAAAUCUACAUUUAAAGGUUAGUAUUUCUUUUCUUUUUCUCUUCUUUAAAAUUCUGUAAUUUAAUUUUCAAUUUAUUUUUUUUUCUUUGUAAUUUUUGUUUAUUUUAUUAAUUUAAUUUUUAGUUAAUUUAUUUCACGUAUUUGUUUUUGUGUAUUUUUAUAGAAAGGUUGUAAUAGCGCAAUAAGGUUAGUAUCGUAAUUUCUCCCUCUUAUUUAUUUUUAUUUGUUUUGUUCCCAUCUUUAUUUUUUGUUUUGUUUGCAUCUUUAUUUUUAUUUUCAUUUUAUUUUGCAUGCAUGGUCGUAGGUCAUUAUUACCUAAUCUUGAACCUAUAGACCUUGAAUUAGAAAAAACACUUCGCACACAAAAACACAUUAAAAAUAAAAUUGGAAUGGAUUUACAAGCACCACAGGAGAGGCCAUUUAAGGACUAUUUUAGUCCCUUAGCUAAUUUAAGCACAUCAUGUAUUAGAUACCCAAAUGUAGCUGCUAGGAAGCUUUGAACUAAAACCUAGUGUGCUAAAUUGUCUCCCCACAUUCUAUGGCUUAGAAAAUGAGGACCCAUAUAAUCAUCUGAAUGAUUUUCAUACCAUUUGUCAAACUUUUAAAUAUGAAAAUUUUUCAGACGAUGAUGUUAAACUCAGACUAUUCCCAUUUUCUUUAAAGGAUAGAGCUCGUUCAUGGUUAAAUACGUUGCCUGCUAAUAGCAUUUCAUCAUGGGAACAAAUGGUAACUAAAUUUUUGAAUAAAUAUUUCCCAGUGCAUAAAACCAAUUCUAUUCGCAGGGAAAUUUCAGAGUUUACACAAAGAGAGGACGAGCAGUUUUUCGAAACUUGGGAGCGAUUCAAUGGGCUACUCUUGAAGUGUCCACAUCAUGGGUACGAAAAAUGGCACCAAUGCCAAUACUUUUUGGAGGGAUUACUACCGAAUGUGCAAGAAUGGCUAAUGGCAACAAGUGGAGGAGAGCUAAUGUCAAAAAGUGCAUCAGAAAUUUGGGAAUUCUUCCAACGACAAGCGGAUAAUUCCCAACAACGGAGUCGAUCACUAAGGAAUACUAGAAGAAUUAAGGGAGUAAAUGAGGUUCAAAUUGGCGAGUCAACUUCGGGAAUCAAAGAAGUCAAGGAGAUGGUUGAAGGUCUCGCUCGACAAAUAGCAUCGUUAUCGACUGCUAAAUCAACAGAACCACAUGACCAUGACUCAUACUCCGAUCAAGCCAAUGCCAUAGGUGUAAUGAGAAAACCAUCGAAUUACAACCCAUACUCCAACACAUAUAACCCUGGAUGGAGAGACCACCCCAAUAUUUCAUGGUCUCAAGGAUUCCAACAGAAUGGACCAGCAGCUCCAGCUCCACCAAUGCAACAAAUUCCUCAAAAUCCUCAAGCCUCUCAGCCACCAUUCAGACCAUACAAUCAGAACCAGAACUACUCUCAACCCAGACCAUGGGAGGAUGCAUUCCAGAAUUUCAAGAAUGUUACUCACUCCACGAUUGAGCAACAGAACCGCACCAUUGAUGGACUACGAAAUGAGUUGAGAGCAGGCUUCAACUCACAAGCUCAAUCAGUUUCAAGCCUCGAGAAGAUGGUGGACAACUUGCUUCUUCAGUUCAGACCUUGGCAAUGACUGUUGAGAAAGGAAAAUUUCCAAGUCAACCAGUGCCUAAUCCUAAAGGAGUACAUGAAGCAAGUACCAGUUCACCACAACAGCAUGGAGAGGUCAAAGCAGUCAUGACCUUGCGAAAAGGAAAGGAAGUCGACAACAAAGUGGAGAUGCCGGUGACAAAAGAAAAUCAAAUUGUACCUGUGAAUGUUGAAGACUCACCACCGGAGGAGAAAGAAGAAACCAACCCACGAGAAUACGUUCCGAAAGCUCCAUUUCCUCAGAGGUUAGCUAAAGGGAAAAAGGGAAAAUCCACAGGUGAGAUUCUCGAAAUCUUCAAACAGGUAAGUGUUAACAUCCCUUUACUUGAUGCUAUUAAACAAGUUCCAUCUUAUUGCCAAGUUUCUUAAAGACCUUUGUACUAAAAAGAGAAAUAUGCAUGUUCAAAAGAAGGCAUUUUUAACAGAAAAUGUUAGUUCUAUACUCCAACAUAAAAUUCCUCUAAAAUGCAAAGACCCAGGCUCCCCCACUAUCUCAUGUAGUAUAGGGAACCACACAAUUGAGAAUGCGUUGUUGGAUUUAGGAGCUAGUGUAAAUCUGUUGCCUUAUUCAGUAUUCGUGAAACUUGGACUGGGAGAAUUACACCCAACUCCAGUGGUGUUACAGCUUGCAGAUCGGUCCACGAAAAUACCUCGUGGUAUUAUGGAGGACGUGCUUAUCCAGGUAGACAAGUUUUAUUUUCCUGUUGAUUUCAUUGUAAUUGACACUCAACCAAUACAGGAUUCAAGGAAGCACAUCCCCAUUAUUCUAGGCCGACCUUUCUUGGCGACUGCGGAUGCUCACAUUCAAUGCAGGACUGGAAAUAUGCAGUUGUCCUUCGGCAACAUGACUAUGGAGCUAAAUAUUUUCAACAUUGCCAAACAACCUCACAGUGCAGAUGAUGGAAUUGUUGAUGUGGAUUUAAUAGAAACAAUAGUUGAUAAUACUUUUCUUUCAAACCUUAGUGAUGAUCCUUUACAGACAUGCUUAACUCACUUUGGUUUGGAUUUUGAUAUUGAUAGAUCGGUCGAUGAGGUCAACGCCCUGCUUGACUCAGCACCAUCCAUGGACACUAAUAAAUGGAAGUCAAGAGUUGAACAACUAGCACCAUCAGAGAAGAAACUCAUUCCAUCAUCAGAAUCACCACCGAAACUCGAGCUCAAACCAUUACCCAACACUCUGGAAUAUGCAUUUUUGGGAGAAGAAAGUACUCUGCCGGUAAUCAUCUCAUCAUCCCUAAAUGACGAACAAAAAGGUAAGUUGUUGGAUGUUUUAAAAGAGCACAAAGGAGCAUUAGGAUGGACCAUAGCAGACAUUAAAGGUAUAAACCCAGUAGACUGUAUGCAUUACAUUCACCUUGAUGAAAAUGCUAAAACUACUAGGGAGAUGCAACGUCGGUUAAAUCCUAACAUGAAAGAAGUUGUUAGAACUGAAGUCCUUAAGCUAUUAGAUGCAGGUAUCAUUUACCCAAUUUCUGAUAGUUCAUGGGUCAGUCCUGUACAAGUUGUCCCCAAAAAGUCAGGAGUCACAGUAGUUACCAAUGCUGAUAAUGAAUUGAUACCAACUAGAGUAACUACAGGAUGGCGUGUAUGCAUUGAUUAUAGAAAGUUGAAUUCUGUCACACGUAAAGACCAUUUUCCUUUACCAUUUAUUGAUCAAAUGCUUGAUAGAUUAGCAGGCCAUGAAUUUUAUUGCUUUCUAGAUGGCUACUCAGGAUAUAAUCAGAUUCCCAUAGCACCAAAAGAUCAAGAGAAAACUACUUUCACUUGCCCUUUUGGCACAUUUGCAUAUAGGAGAAUGCCAUUUGGAUUAUGUAAUGCACCUGCUACAUUUCAACGAUGCAUGUUGAGCAUUUUUUCUGAUAUGGUUGAACGAUUCCUUGAAGUCUUUAUGGAUGAUUUUUCUGUCUUUGGUGACUCGUUUGAUCAAUGUUUACAUCAUCUAACGCUAGUUCUGCAGAGAUGUACCGAGAAGAGCUUAGUCUUAAAUUGGGAGAAGUGCCAUUUUAUGGUAAAACAAGGUAUUGUUCUCGGUCACAUCAUUUCGAGCAAAGGUAUUGAGGUUGACAAAGCCAAGGUGGAUCUCAUUUCUAAUCUUCCUCCACCUAAAACAGUCAGAGAAGUAAGAUCUUUCCUUGGGCAUGCUGGUUUCUAUAGACGUUUCAUUAAAGAUUUUAGCAAAGUUUCUAGACCCUUAUGCAAUUUACUUGCUAAGGAUGUACCUUUUAUCUUUAAUGAUUCAUGUCUUAUGGCUUUUGAAAAAUUAAAGCAAUUGUUGACAUCAUCACCCAUCAUUCAGGCCCCAAACUGGAGCUUACCAUUUGAGCUCAUGUGUGAUGCAUCUGAUUAUGCAGUAGGAGCAGUAUUAGGACAAAGAGUUGAUCGAAUUCCCAACGUUAUUUACUAUGCUAGUAUGACCUUGAAUGAUGCACAGUUGAAUUAUUCAACUACUGAAAAAGAAAUGCUAGCAGUAGUGUUUGCAUUGGAAAAAUUUCGAUCUUAUCUCAUUGGUUGUAAAAUAAUUAUAUUCACAGAUCAUGCUGCUCUUAAAUAUCUUCUCACAAAGAAAGAUGCAAAAGCUAGACUAAUUCGUUGGGUGUUACUUUUGCAGGAAUUUGACUUGGAAUUCAAAGAUAAGAAAGGGACAGAAAAUGUUGUGGCGGACCACCUCUCUCGUCUCCAUUUUGACACAAUUACAGAGCCAUUAAUAUUAAAUGAGUCAUUUCCAGAUGAACAAUUAAUGAGUGUGGAAGUAUUACCUUGGUAUGCUGAUAUAGUUAAUUAUCUUGUUACAGGUAAGCUUCCAGAGCAUUGGACCAAGCAAGACAAGGCUAAAUUCUUUGCGGAAAUAAAGAAUUUCUUUUGGGAUGACCCAUAUUUGUUCAAGUAUUGUGCAGACCAAAUUGUUAGACGAUGUGUCCCUGAAAGUGAAAUUCAGAAUAUCCUUUCAUUCUGCCAUGAACAAGCUUGUGGAGGCCAUUUCAGUGCUAAGAAAACAGCGACUAAAGUUUUACAAUGUGGUUUCUAUUGGCCAACUAUAUUUCGAGAUGCUUACACUUUCUGUUCUUCAUGUGAUAGGUGUCAACGAAUGGGGAGCAUUACACGAAGGAACAUGAUGCCACUAAAUCCAAUUUUAGUGGUUGAGAUUUUUGACGUAUGGGGUAUCGACUUCAUGGGACCCUUUCCCCUUCUUUUGGCCAUCAAUACAUAUUGGUUGGUGUUGACUACGUAUCGAAAUGGGUGGAAGCAAUUCCAUGCAGAACCAAUGAUCACAAAGUGGUGAUAGGAUUUUUGAAAAGCAAUAUUGUUUCGCGCUUUGGAUUCCCUCGAGCGAUAAUCAGUGAUGGUGGUGCCCACUUUUGUAACAAAGCAUUCAAGGCUCUUUUGACAAAGUAUUCAAUCACACACAAAGUGGCGACCCCGUAUCAUCCGCAAACCAGUGGCCAAGUUGAGAUCUCCAAUCGAGAAAUAAAGCACAUAUUAGAAAAGACGGUGAGGCCAGACAGGAAAGAUUUGGUCAUUACGACUUGAUGAUGCAUUAUGGGCAUAUAGAACGGCUUUCAAGACCCCGAUUGGGAUGUCACCCUACAGGCUAGUGUAUGGAAAAGCUUGCCACCUACCUGUGGAACUCGAGCAUCGUGCAUAUUGGGCCAUCAAGAAAUUCAACUUUGACAUGCAGCAAGCCAGCUCAGAAAGAAGAUUACAGCUGGCAGAACUUGAAGAAAUUCGCAAUGAUGCAUACGAAAAUGCCAAGAUUUACAAGCAACGAAUGAAAGUCUUCCAUGAUAAGCAAAUUAUGAGAAAAUCGUUCACUCCAGGUCAGAAAGUGCUUUUAUUCAAUUCUCGCUUGCACCUAUUCCCAGGUAAGUUACGCUCUCGUUGGUCUGGCCCAUUUAUUGUACAUACUGUUUUUCCACAUGGGGCAAUUGAAAUUAAGGACCCAAAGAACGGUGUCACGUAUAAAGUUAAUGGUCAAGAUUAAAGCCAUAUCUAGAGUACCAACCACAUGGAGAAAACAUCGAAAUAAAUUUGAGUGACCCACUAAAUUUGAAUUGAUUUUUUUUUUUUCUCUUUUCGUUAAUUUGAUUUUUCUUUAUUUCUUUUAUUAUUAUUCUUUUGCUAAUUGAAAUUGUUUUUGCAUAAGUGUGUUUAUUUUACCAUUAAGUUUUCUCUUAUCAUUUUUAAUCAUGAGUCUCAUACUUAGACCGUUCCUCCUGAACAUUCUUAAACCACUUCAACGUGUCAAAACUCAUCUCAAAAGGCAGAUUCUAUUUUGUAAAACACAACGCAUUUGGGCUCUACAACCACCAGAGUUAGUAGCCUAUGUUGAGGGUUUAGAACGCCAACUCAGAGACAUUGAGAGAAGUGUUUACGACAUCCAGUUGGAGCUUGAGGUAAAUUCAAUAAGAGGACGAUUUUAAUUUUCUUUGUGUGUUUUUUGUUUUUCUGUUUGUGUGCUUUAGUUUGUUACCCCGGUGAAGUGGCAGAUAACGGUUACUCCGUGACAAUCAAGUCGGUUAACUUCAGUUUCCCAUAAUAACUGAUAUUCUGAGGCGAAGGUAUGGACAGAAACGAGAUUCUAGCGAAGCUUCACAAGCGAUUCCCUUCACUUCCUCAGAAUGCCCUCCUUACAAUCUAUAAAGCCCGGUCUGAACGCAUGCGAUUGCUCAUGAGGAAUAACAUACCUGCAGACAUCCGUUGGUUAAUCGAGGCUAAAGUACGAUUGGCAGGUGAGUUACCUCCUAAAUUUAUUGCAUACAUGCCUGGUUGUGGUAAAGGAAAUUACGCAAGAAAACGACGAGCUCGAAGAAUUUCUGUUGCUUGUCACAAGUGUGCCAGAAUGAGUUGCGAUAGAAACCCAUGUUCUUUAGGAAUGGUGUCUGAUAACAGGGAAGAUAAGAUUCAAUUCAUUAGGGAUGGCUUGAAUAAGGAGUCAUUGGAUGAUAUCCUUUUGUCUCUUGAAACGCAUCCAGUGGAUAUGUGCAAGGAGCGAUUCUCCAGUUAAGGCCAUUAUUCCAAAAAGAGCAUGCACGAUAUCGUCUCGGGAAUCUGACUAUAAACGACCCUGUUUGCCAGUUUAUAAGAAAACUGGAUGGGAAGCCCAUCCUCGACCCAUAGAGGGCGUUCAAGCCGUUUCUGGACGUAAAACCAGAGGAAGAUGUGAGCCACAGUCGCAACUACGUGUAAAUAUCCUUUUACUUUACUGUUAUUUUAUUUCAUUUCACUGUUGUUUUAUUGUUUGCAUUAUUGUCUUUAAUAAUUUUAUUACUGUUUGCUUUUUCCUUUUUACUGUUUCCUUUUUGACUCGCGAGCCACGUGCUUUACGCGUUAUUUGACACUGACAUGUUACCUCAUUCACAGCUGUGAUCCAUUGUCACCAAGAUUCUUAAAUGUGAUUUAUCUUUUGUCAAGCACUCACAAAUUAUUUUUGAGAAGUAUCACAAUGGCAGCUACUCCCAAUAGACAAUUCAAGAACAUUUGUGUGCUUUCUGGAUUUACCUAUGGCAAACAUAAAGAGUUCGUGGAGGCAGCCAUAGAUCUUGGUCGAAGCAUAGCAGCGAGAAAAUUACAUUUGGUGUAUGGAGGAGGUAACGAGGGUUAUCAAAAAUGGUCUCAGAAGCAGCUUUUAUCAGAGGAAGUCAAGUGUUAGGCAUCAUCCCAAGAGUCCUAAAACCAUUGGGCAGUUCGUCUGACUCAUCAACUGGAGAAGAGUUAGUCGUCUCAGGUAUGCAAGAAAGAAUAACUGAAAUGCUUAAUCAUGCUGAUGCUUUUAUUUUCCUUCCAGGAGAUCUUGCAACACUAGAGGCACUUAUGACACUAGCAUCUUGGGCCCAUCUGCACAUCCACCAGAAACCCAUCGGUUGUUAAAUGUCAAUAACUUUUAUGAUGGCUUUAUCGCAUUUCUUAACCAUGCAAUAAAAAACUAUUUCAUUCCUUCUAAUGUAAAAAAACUUUUUAUUUGUGCUCACACUGCUAAUGAACUACUUGAUCUGUUACAAGCUUAUAAACCGGAGCCAGACCCCUGGACCUUUGUGUUGGAGCGCCCAAAUAAUGAUGGUAACAGUAGCCGCAGUAAGAAGUACAAAUUAGAUUUAACUCUCCGCCUGUAAAUAUAUUCUUUUGUGUUGCACCACCCAGGUGAUGUCUUCUAAACUCUACUUCUUUCCUUUAAAACAUUGAGGACAAUGUUUCGUUCUGGUUGAGGGGAGGGAAUAGUCGACAAUUGUGGAAUCUUGGUUAAGUUUUUACUGAUUUUUUGUUGUAGAAACUAACUGUUGCUAACUUUUUGUGUUGAAGAUGGCUGAAUAUGGAGUGUAGUGACUCUAGAAACGCAUCUUCAUCGUUUAAAAAAAAAAAAAAAUUUAAAAAACUAAAAAACUAAAAAAAACAAAAAAAUUCAACAUUUUCUUUUUCUUUAUUAUGUUUUGAUGUUCAUUUUUCUUCUUCUUUUAAUUUCUCCUUAUAAAUAUAUAUUUUCCAACUUUUGAGUCGAAGAUAGCUGAAUAUGGAGUGUAGUGCCUCUAGAAACGCAUCUUCAUCGUUUAAAAAAAAAUUAAAAAAAAAAAAAAACAAAAUUUCAUUUUCGUUUUCUAUCAUUUUACGUGUAACUUUUCUAAUUAGUUUUUAUGCAUCAUUUUCACAUUUCUGCAUGCAUAUUUUCCUUUCAUGUUUAGAAUAGGUUGGGGGGUUAGAAUGUUGUUUAAAAAAAAAAAAAGAAAAAAUUGUGUGAUUUGUUUUAACUUUAGAUGACAUGAUUAAUUUCAAAUUUUAGUAUUUGUAUUAUCUUUGGUCUUAAGUGAUGUUACAUUAUGUUUUGCUACUCUACAUGUUGAUGUCGGAGACAAAUAUGAGUUGCUUGAAGGAAUGAACAUGUCAUAAUAAGUACCAAGUGAGUUUUUGAGCCUAUCAUUUUUCUUGGAGAGUAACCCUUUUGCCCAUUCUUUAUAAUGCUUAACAGUUUAUUAUUGUAUACACGAUCUCUAGAUUUCUUUUGAGUUAAGCCUUAAAAAAAAAAAAAAAAAAAUGUGUGUGUUGCUACAUUGGGAGGCCCAUCUAACUAGUAGAUAUGGAUGAUUAUUUAGAGCCCUAAAAGACGAUGGAAAGGCCAUCUUUGAUCCGUUUGAGCCUUUCUAGCCAUCCCUCUUAUCAAGUAUCCAUAGUUAACCCAUUUGAGCCUUUUAAAUAAAAAAAAAAAAAAACUUUUCUUUGUUUAACUUAUCAUCUUGACCCACUCCGAUUUGGAGUAUUACCCAAUAUCUUACAAAUUCCAUCACCUAUUUAUGUUUGAGAAAAAUGUAAAUAAACAUUUUGCAUAGUGAAGUUAUGCCUAGUUCAAAAAAAAAAAGAAAAAAUUGUUGUUGCUGAAAAAAAAAAAAAAAAAGAAAAAAUUGUUGUUUCAAAAGAAUAAAAAUAACAAUAAUAGGUGAAAUCCACCUUGCAACUUCCAAAAAAAAAAAAAAAAAUAUUCUCUGCAUUUUUCUCAAACAUACACUUUGUUUUCCUUAUUUCCCUUCUUUGUUAGCCAUAUCCCUAGCCUACGUUACGUCCUAAUAAAAGUCCUUCUUGAUUUUAGGAACUAUAGUUUGAAGUAGAAGCUAGUUAUAUGGGCUAAAAAGAUGUAGUGAUGCAUAAUUAAAAAAAAAAAAGAUAAAUAAAGUGGGUUGACUAACAUUUUAUUUGACUUGAGAUCGUAUUAUUUCUAAGCUGAGGGCAUAUUUAUUUAAUCUUGGUGAGAGCAUGUGAUAUCAUUUCUUUAUUAUUUUCUCUCUCAAUUACCAUUCAUUGGAGUGACUAUGUUUAUUGGGUUUUAAUUUCUUUGUGAGAGUGUCACUACUUCCAGUGAGAUUUUGGGGUUUGACAUGUCAUUCUUGAAAGUAGCUAUAACAAAGUCUACUGGGCUAAUUCAUGUGGAUGGUUGAUGUGGGUGUGAUGUUGCUUUAGACUGGAGAUAAUGCUUAUACUUUUAUUUGAUUGCUAUCAUUAAUCUGAUUGAAUAAACACGAGUGUUUCUAAAAAAAAAAAAAAAAAAAUCAUUUUGAAUUUGAAUUUUGUUUUCGCUUUAUUUGCUAGGGACUAGCAAUAAGCUGGUUGGGGGGUGUGUUGAGUGUUAGAAAAUACAUAUUUAUAAAGGAGAAAACCGUCAUUUUACAUUUCAAGUCUUACUAACAACCCUUACUUUUAUGUAUUUAACCUUCUUGUGAUGUAAUUACGUGUGUGUUAUUUUAAUUAAGUAUUUUAUGUAUUUUAGGGGCAGUAUAGUCAUUUCACAAUAAAGGAGAGAUCAGACGGCAAAACGGACAUCACUUUUUGAACUCAGGACGGUCGAAAACCUUAGGAGGAGCAUAAAAGGAAAAAUGGCACUAUUCACAUGUACGGUACUAUUCACGUAUACGGUACUGUCUACGUUACUGUUCAUGACACUGUUCACAUAGACGGAUCGAUGACGUGGCAUUGACCGAUGACGUGGCAUUGACCGAUGAUGUGGCAUUGACUGAUGAGGUGUCACGAUCCUGUUGGGCUAAAAUUCUUAUGUACUGUUAAUGGUGACGUGGCAGCAUAUCAGUGGACGAAAAAUCUCGUGUACGGUGCAUGCAUCACACAGGAUUAUUUUCAACCAAACCGCGUUACUGUUCAUCCGGGUCAACCGUGUUACUGUUCAUCCGCGUGGUCAAACCGUGGACUGUUGACUGAUGACGUGGCGCAAUCCUGAGCGUCCAAACUGUUUUUAAUCGAUGGCCAUGAUUUACUCCAUGUAUCUAUAAAAAGGGGCCUCUCCCCCGAAUUUGAUAUCUCUGAAUCCAUUUUUGGGAUCCAUUUUCUGUAAUUCCUUCUCCAUCUUGUAUUUUCUUUGUAUUUUAAUAAAUUCCCUUUUUGCCCCUAGUUCAAUUAUGAGUAGCUAAUUUCUUUUCAAGCUUGGGUUGAAGGUGAAGUCUCAACAUGUGUCAUGGGCUUUAUUUGGUAAAUUUAUUUUCUUUUCCCCUCUAGUUUUUGUGGAUGAUUUGACUUAUCGUCGACAAAUAAUACUGAUCUUGUCUAGAUACCGCCUUGGUUACACCGGCUCUCUGGUAUAAGGUUAUUAUUAUUUGGCACGAUAAGCCCUUAGCACCAUAUGAUUAGAGCGUGGUUCAUGAGGUGUGGAUUCCCCCUCAUGAUUUAAUUGGUAUUAAUAAGGAAUAUUUAGCCCAUGAUGCAUGUUUGAUACGGAUCCAGAUACCCAAGUACGUCAUUUCAAUAGAAUUCUCUUCAAUUUAUUCUCGCCAUUUUAAUUUAAGUUUUAGCAUAUUCCAAAUCAUUUCCACCACAAAUCCAAUCACCCAUUUACAAAAUUAAUUUUAUACACAAUUAAAAUCCACCUCCUCGUGGGAUCGACACUCGUCACCAUUAGUCUAUAUUACAAUAGAUUCGUGCGCUUGCGAGUACAUUAAAAUUUGCACAACAAGUUUUUGGCGCCGUUGCCGGGGAGGUAAGUAAUUUUAAUUCAUAAAAUUAAUUUUUGUGAAUAAUUUCUUUUAUUUGUUUUCUUGUAUUUUUUUUUCUUAUUAAAAAAAAAAGAAAAAAAAAGAGUAAAUCUACAUUUAAAGGUUAGUAUUUCUUUUCUUUUUCUCUUCUUUAAAAUUCUGUAAUUUAAUUUUCAAUUUAUUUUUUUUUCUUUGUAAUUUUUGUUUAUUUUAUUAAUUUAAUUUUUAGUUAAUUUAUUUCACGUAUUUGUUUUUGUGUAUUUUUAUAGAAAGGUUGUAAUAGCGCAAUAAGGUUAGUAUCGUAAUUUCUCCCUCUUAUUUAUUUUUAUUUGUUUUGUUCCAUCUUUAUUUUUUGUUUUGUUUGCAUCUUUAUUUUUAUUUUCAUUUUAUUUUGCAUGCAUGGUCGUAGGUCAUUAUUACCUAAUCUUGAACCUAUAGACCUUGAAUUAGAAAAAACACUUCGCACACAAAAAACAAUUAAAAAUAAAAUUGGAAUGGAUUUACAAGCACCACAGGAGAGGCCAUUUAAGGACUAUUUUAGUCCCUUAGCUAAUUUAAGCACAUCAUGUAUUAGAUACCAAAUGUAGCUGCUAGGACUUUGAACUAAAACCUAGUGUGCUAAAUUGUCUCCCCACAUUCUAUGGCUUAGAAAAUGAGGACCCAUAUAAUCAUCUGAAUGAUUUUCAUACCAUUUGUCAAACUUUUAAAUAUGAAAAUUUUUCAGACGAUGAUGUUAAACUCAGACUAUUCCCAUUUUCUUUAAAGGAUAGAGCUCGUUUCAUGGUUAAAUACGUUGCCUGCUAAUAGCAUUUCAUCAUGGGAACAAAUGGUAACUAAAUUUUUGAAUAAAUAUUUCCCAGUGCAUAAACCAAUUCUAUUCGCAGGGAAAUUUCAGAGUUUACACAAAGAGAGGACGAGCAGUUUUUCGAAACUUGGGAGCGAUUUCAAUGGGCUACUCUUGAAGUGUCCACAUCAUGGGUACGAAAAAUGGCACCAAUGCCAAUACUUUUUGGAGGGAUUACUACCGAAUGUGCAAGAAUGGCUAAUGGCAACAAGUGGAGGAGAGCUAAUGUCAAAAAGUGCAUCAGGAAAUUUGGGAAUUCUUCCAACGACAAGCGGAUAAUUCCCAACAACGGAGUCGAUCACUAAGGAAUACUAGAAGAAUUAAGGGAGUAAAUGAGGUUCAAAUUGGCGAGUCAACUUCGGGAAUCAAAGAAGUCAAGGAGAUGGUUGAAGGUCUCGCUCGACAAAUAGCAUCGUUAUCGACUGCUAAAUCAACAGAACCACAUGACCAUGACUCAUACUCCGAUCAAGCCAAUGCCAUAGGUGUAAUGAGAAAACCAUCGAAUUACAACCCAUACUCCAACACAUAUAACCCUGGAUGGAGAGACCACCCCAAUUUUUCAUGGUCUCAAGGAUUCCAACAGAAUGGACCAGCAGCUCCAGCUCCACCAAUGCAACAAAUUCCUCAAAAUCCUCAAGCCUCUCAGCCACCAUUCAGACCAUACAAUCAGAACCAGAACUACUCUCAACCCAGACCAUGGAGGAUGCAUUCCAGAAUUUCAAGAAUGUUACUCACUCCACGAUUGAGCAACAGAAACCGCACCAUUGAUGGACUACGAAAUGAGUUGAGAGCAGGCUUCAACUCACAAGCUCAAUCAGUUUCAAGCCUCGAGAAGAUGGUGGGACAACUUGCUUUCUUCAGUUCAGACCUUGGCAAUGACUGUUGAGAAAGGAAAAUUUCCAAGUCAACCAGUGCCUAAUCCUAAAGGAGUACAUGAAGCAAGUACCAGUUCACCACAACAGCAUGGAGAGGUCAAAGCAGUCAUGACCUUGCGAAAAGGAAAGGAAGUCGACAACAAAGUGGAGAUGCCCGGUGACAAAAGAAAAUCAAAUUGUACCUGUGAAUGUUGAAGACUCACCACCGGAGGAGAAAGAAGAACCAACCCACGAGAAUACGUUCCGAAAGCUCCAUUUCCUCAGAGGUUAGCUAAAGGGAAAAAAGGGAAAAUCCACAGGUGAGAUUCUCGAAAUCUUCAAACAGGUAAGUGUUAACAUCCCUUUACUUGAUGCUAUUAAACAAGUUCCAUCUUAUGCCAAGUUUCUUAAAGACCUUUGUACUAAAAAGAGAAUAUGCAUGUUCAAAAGAAGGCAUUUUUAACAGAAAAUGUUAGUUCUAUACUCCAACAUAAAAUUCCUCUAAAAUGCAAAGACCCAGGCUCCCCAUAUCUCAUGUAGUAUAGGGAACCACACAAUUGAGAAUGCGUUGUUGGAUUUAGGAGCUAGUGUAAAUCUGUUGCCUUAUUCAGUAUUCGUGAAACUUGGACUGGGAGAUUACACCCAACUCCAGUGGUGUUACAGCUUGCAGAUCGGUCCACGAAAAUACCUCGUGGUAUUAUGGAGGACGUGCUUAUCCAGGUAGACAAGUUUUAUUUUCCUGUUGAUUUCAUUGUAAUUGACACUCAACAAUACAGGAUUCAAGGAAGCACAUCCCAUUAUUCUAGGCCGACCUUUCUUGGCGACUGCGGAUGCUCACAUUCAAUGCAGGACUGGAAAUAUGCAGUUGUCCUUCGGCAACAUGACUAUGGAGCUAAAUAUUUUCAACAUUGCCAAACAACCUCACAGUGCAGAUGAUGGAAUUGUUGAUGUGGAUUUAAUAGAAACAAUAGUUGAUAAUACUUUUCUUUCAAACCUUAGUGAUGAUCCUUUACAGACAUGCUUAACUCACUUUGGUUUGGAUUUUGAUAUUGACAGAUCGGUCGAUGAGGUCAACGCCCCUUGACUCAGCACCAUCCAUGGACACUAAUAAAUGGAAGUCAAGAGUUGAACAACUAGCACCAUCAGAGAAGAAACUCAUCCCAUCAUCAGAAUCACCACCGAAACUCGAGCUCAAACCAUUACCCAACACUCUGGAAUAUGCAUUUUUGGGAGAAGAAAGUACUCUGCCGGUAAUCAUCUCAUCAUCCCUAAAUGACGAACAAAAAGGUAAGUUGUUGGAUGUUUUAAAAGAGCACAAAGGAGCAUUAGGAUGGACCAUAGCAGACAUAAAAGGUAUAAACCCAGUAGACUGCAUGCAUUACAUUCACCUUGAUGAAAAUGCUAAAUACUAGGGAAAUGCAACGUCGGUUAAAUCCUAAUAUGAAAGAAGUUGUUAGAACUGAAGUCCUUAAGCUAUUAGAUGCAGGUAUCAUUUACCCAAUUUCUGAUAGUUCAUGGGUCAGUCCUGUACAAGUUGUCCCAAAAAGUCAGGAGUCACAGUAGUUACCAAUGCUGAUAAUGAAUUGAUACCAACUAGAGUAACUACAGGAUGGCGUGUAUGCAUUGAUUAUAGAAAGUUGAAUUCUGUCACACGUAAAGACCAUUUUCCUUUACCAUUUAUUGAUCAAAUGCUUGAUAGAUUAGCAGGCCAUGAAUUUUAUUGCUUUCUAGAUGGCUACUCAGGAUAUAAUCAGAUUCCCAUAGCACCAAAAGAUCAAGAGAAAACUACUUUCACUUGCCCUUUUGGCACAUUUGCAUAUAGGAGAAUGCCAUUUGGAUUAUGUAAUGCACCUGCUACAUUUCAACGAUGCAUGUUGAGCAUUUUUUCUGAUAUGGUUGAACGAUUCCUUGAAGUCUUUAUGGAUGAUUUUUCUGUCUUUGGUGACUCGUUUGAUCAAUGUUUACAUCAUCUAACGCUAGUUCUGCAGAGAUGUACCGAGAAGCUUAGUCUUAAAUUGGGAGAAGUGCCAUUUUAUGGUAAAACAAGGUAUUGUUCUCGGUCACAUCAUUUCGAGCAAAGGUAUUGAGGUUGACAAAGCCAAGGUGGAUCUCAUUUCUAAUCUUCCUCCACCUAAAACAGUCAGAGAAGUAAGAUCUUUCCUUGGGCAUGCUGGUUUCUAUAGACGUUUCAUUAAAGAUUUUAGCAAAGUUUCUAGACCCUUAUGCAAUUUACUUGCUAAGGAUGUACCUUUUAUCUUUAAUGAUUCAUGUCUUAUGGCUUUUGAAAAAUUAAAGCAAUUGUUGACAUCAUCACCCAUCAUUCAGGCCCCAAACUGGAGCUUANNNNNNNNNNNNNNNNNNNNNNNNNNNNNNNNNNNNNNNNNNNNNNNNNNNNNNNNNNNNNNNNNNNNNNNNNNNNNNNNNNNNNNNNNNNNNNNNNNNNNNNNNNNNNNNNNNNNNNNNNNNNNNNNNNNNNNNNNNNNNNNNNNNNNNNNNNNNNNNNNNNNNNNNNNNNNNNNNNNNNNNNNNNNNNNNNNNNNNNNNNNNNNNNNNNNNNNNNNNNNNNNNNNNNNNNNNNNNNNNNNNNNNNNNNNNNNNNNNNNNNNNNNNNNNNNNNNNNNNNNNNNNNNNNNNNNNNNNNNNNNNNNNNNNNNNNNNNNNNNNNNNNNNNNNNNNNNNNNNNNNNNNNNNNNNNNNNNNNNNNNNNNNNNNNNNNNNNNNNNNNNNNNNNNNNNNNNNNNNNNNNNNNNNNNNNNNNNNNNNNNNNNNNNNNNNNNNNNNNNNNNNNNNNNNNNNNNNNNNNNNNNNNNNNNNNNNNNNNNNNNNNNNNNNNNNNNNNNNNNNNNNNNNNNNNNNNNNNNNNNNNNNNNNNNNNNNNNNNNNNNNNNNNNNNNNNNNNNNNNNNNNNNNNNNNNNNNNNNNNNNNNNNNNNNNNNNNNNNNNNNNNNNNNNNNNNNNNNNNNNNNNNNNNNNNNNNNNNNNNNNNNNNNNNNNNNNNNNNNNNNNNNNNNNNNNNNNNNNNNNNNNNNNNNNNNNNNNNNNNNNNNNNNNNNNNNNNNNNNNNNNNNNNNNNNNNNNNNNUAGAAAAUGAGGACCCAUAUAAUCAUCUGAAUGAUUUUCAUACCAUUUGUCAAACUUUUAAAUAUGAAAAUUUUUCAGACGAUGAUGUUAAACUCAGACUAUUCCCAUUUUCUUUAAAGGAUAGAGCUCGUUCAUGGUUAAAUACGUUGCCUGCUAAUAGCAUUUCAUCAUGGGAACAAAUGGUAACUAAAUUUUUGAAUAAAUAUUUCCCAGUGCAUAAAACCAAUUCUAUUCGCAGGGAAAUUUCAGAGUUUACACAAAGAGAGGACGAGCAGUUUUUCGAAACUUGGGAGCGAUUCAAUGGGCUACUCUUGAAGUGUCCACAUCAUGGGUACGAAAAAUGGCACCAAUGCCAAUACUUUUUGGAGGAUUACUACCGAAUGUGCAAGAAUGGCUAAUGGCAACAAGUGGAGGAGAGCUAAUGUCAAAAAGUGCAUCAGAAAUUUGGGAAUUCUUCCAACGACAAGCGGAUAAUUCCCAACAACGGAGUCGAUCACUAAGGAAUACUAGAAGAAUUAAGGGAGUAAAUGAGGUUCAAAUUGGCGAGUCAACUUCGGGAAUCAAAGAAGUCAAGGAGAUGGUUGAAGGUCUCGCUCGACAAAUAGCAUCGUUAUCGACUGCUAAAUCAACAGAACCACAUGACCAUGACUCAUACUCCGAUCAAGCCAAUGCCAUAGGUGUAUGUAAUGAGAAAACCAUCGAAUUACAACCCAUACUCCAACACAUAUAACCCUGGAUGGAGAGACCACCCCAAUUUUUCAUGGUCUCAAGGAUUCCAACAGAAUGGACCAGCAGCUCCAGCUCCACCAAUGCAACAAAUUCCUCAAAAUCCUCAAGCCUCUCAGCCACCAUUCAGACCAUACAAUCAGAACCAGAACUACUCUCAACCCAGACCAUGGGAGGAUGCAUUCCAGAAUUUCAAGAAUGUUACUCACUCCACGAUUGAGCAACAGAACCGCACCAUUGAUGGACUACGAAAUGAGUUGAGAGCAGGCUUCAACUCACAAGCUCAAUCAGUUUCAAGCCUCGAGAAGAUGGUGGGACAACUUGCUUCUUCAGUUCAGACCUUGGCAAUGACUGUUGAGAAAGGAAAAUUUCCAAGUCAACCAGUGCCUAAUCCUAAAGGAGUACAUGAAGCAAGUACCAGUUCACCACAACAGCAUGGAGAGGUCAAAGCAGUCAUGACCUUGCGAAAAGGAAAGGAAGUCGACAAAAGUGGAGAUGCCGGUGACAAAAGAAAAUCAAAUUGUACCUGUGAAUGUUGAAGACUCACCACCGGAGGAGAAAGAAGAAACCAACCCACGAGAAUACGUUCCGAAAGCUCCAUUUCCUCAGAGGUUAGCUAAAGGGAAAAAGGGAAAAUCCACAGGUGAGAUUCUCGAAAUCUUCAAACAGGUAAGUGUUAACAUCCCUUUACUUGAUGCUAUUAAACAAGUUCCAUCUUAUGCCAAGUUUCUUAAAGACCUUUGUACUAAAAAGAGAAAUAUGCAUGUUCAAAAGAAGGCAUUUUUAACAGAAAAUGUUAGUUCUAUACUCCAACAUAAAAUUCCUCUAAAAUGCAAAGACCCAGGCUCCCCCACUAUCUCAUGUAGUAUAGGGAACCACACAAUUGAGAAUGCGUUGUUGGAUUUAGGAGCUAGUGUAAAUCUGUUGCCUUAUUCAGUAUUCGUGAAACUUGGACUGGGAGAAUUACACCCAACUCCAGUGGUGUUACAGCUUGCAGAUCGGUCCACGAAAAUACCUCGUGGUAUUAUGGAGGACGUGCUUAUCCAGGUAGACAAGUUUUAUUUUCCUGUUGAUUUCAUUGUAAUUGACACUCAACCAAUACAGGAUUCAAGGAAGCACAUCCCCAUUAUUCUAGGCCGACCUUUCUUGGCGACUGCGGAUGCUCACAUUCAAUGCAGGACUGGAAAUAUGCAGUUGUCCUUCGGCAACAUGACUAUGGAGCUAAAUAUUUUCAACAUUGCCAAACAACCUCACAGUGCAGAUGAUGGAAUUGUUGAUGUGGAUUUAAUAGAAACAAUAGUUGAUAAUACUUUUCUUUCAAACCUUAGUGAUGAUCCUUUACAGACAUGCUUAACUCACUUUGGUUUGGAUUUUGAUAUUGAUAGAUCGGUCGAUGAGGUCAACGCCCUGCUUGACUCAGCACCAUCCAUGGACACUAAUAAAUGGAAGUCAAGAGUUGAACAACUAGCACCAUCAGAGAAGAAACUCAUUCCAUCAUCAGAAUCACCACCAAAACUCGAGCUCAAACCAUUACCCAACACUCUGGAAUAUGCAUUUUUGGGAGAAGAAAGUACUCUGCCGGUAAUCAUCUCAUCAUCCCUAAAUGACGAACAAAAAGGUAAGUUGUUGGAUGUUUUAAAAGAGCACAAAGGAGCAUUAGGAUGGACCAUAGCAGACAUUAAAGGUAUAAACCCAGUAGACUGUAUGCAUUACAUUCACCUUGAUGAAAAUGCUAAAACUACUAGGGAGAUGCAACGUCGGUUAAAUCCUAACAUGAAAGAAGUUGUUAGAACUGAAGUCCUUAAGCUAUUAGAUGCAGGUAUCAUUUACCCAAUUUCUGAUAGUUCAUGGGUCAGUCCUGUACAAGUUGUCCCCAAAAAGUCAGGAGUCACAGUAGUUACCAAUGCUGAUAAUGAAUUGAUACCAACUAGAGUAACUACAGGAUGGCGUGUAUGCAUUGAUUAUAGAAAGUUGAAUUCUGUCACACGUAAAGACCAUUUUCCUUUACCAUUUAUUGAUCAAAUGCUUGAUAGAUUAGCAGGCCAUGAAUUUUAUUGCUUUCUAGAUGGCUACUCAGGAUAUAAUCAGAUUCCCAUAGCACCAAAAGAUCAAGAGAAAACUACUUUCACUUGCCCUUUUGGCACAUUUGCAUAUAGGAGAAUGCCAUUUGGAUUAUGUAAUGCACCUGCUACAUUUCAACGAUGCAUGUUGAGCAUUUUUUCUGAUAUGGUUGAACGAUUCCUUGAAGUCUUUAUGGAUGAUUUUUCUGUCUUUGGUGACUCGUUUGAUCAAUGUUUACAUCAUCUAACGCUAGUUCUGCAGAGAUGUACCGAGAAGAGCUUAGUCUUAAAUUGGGAGAAGUGCCAUUUUAUGGUAAAACAAGGUAUUGUUCUCGGUCACAUCAUUUCGAGCAAAGGUAUUGAGGUUGACAAAGCCAAGGUGGAUCUCAUUUCUAAUCUUCCUCCACCUAAAACAGUCAGAGAAGUAAGAUCUUUCCUUGGGCAUGCUGGUUUCUAUAGACGUUUCAUUAAAGAUUUUAGCAAAGUUUCUAGACCCUUAUGCAAUUUACUUGCUAAGGAUGUACCUUUUAUCUUUAAUGAUUCAUGUCUUAUGGCUUUUGAAAAAUUAAAGCAAUUGUUGACAUCAUCACCCAUCAUUCAGGCCCCAAACUGGAGCUUACCAUUUGAGCUCAUGUGUGAUGCAUCUGAUUAUGCAGUAGGAGCAGUAUUAGGACAAAGAGUUGAUCGAAUUCCCAACGUUAUUUACUAUGCUAGUAUGACCUUGAAUGAUGCACAGUUGAAUUAUUCAACUACUGAAAAAGAAAUGCUAGCAGUAGUGUUUGCAUUGGAAAAAUUUCGAUCUUAUCUCAUUGGUUGUAAAAUAAUUAUAUUCACAUCAUGCUGCUCUUAAAUAUCUUCUCACAAAGAAAGAUGCAAAAGCUAGACUAAUUCGUUGGGUGUUACUUUUGCAGGAAUUUGACUUGGAAUUCAAAGAUAAGAAAGGGACAGAAAAUGUUGUGGCGGACCACCUCUCUCGUCUCCAUUUUGACACAAUUACAGAGCCAUUAAUAUUAAAUGAGUCAUUUCCAGAUGAACAAUUAAUGAGUGUGGAAGUAUUACCUUGGUAUGCUGAUAUAGUUAAUUAUCUUGUUACAGGUAAGCUUCCAGAGCAUUGGACCAAGCAAGACAAGGCUAAAUUCUUUGCGGAAAUAAAGAAUUUCUUUUGGGAUGACCCAUAUUUGUUCAAGUAUUGUGCAGACCAAAUUGUUAGACGAUGUGUCCCUGAAAGUGAAAUUCAGAAUAUCCUUUCAUUCUGCCAUGAACAAGCUUGUGGAGGCCAUUUCAGUGCUAAGAAAACAGCGACUAAAGUUUUACAAUGUGGUUUCUAUUGGCCAACUAUAUUUCGAGAUGCUUACACUUUCUGUUCUUCAUGUGAUAGGUGUCAACGAAUGGGGAGCAUUACACGAAGGAACAUGAUGCCACUAAAUCCAAUUUUAGUGGUUGAGAUUUUUGACGUAUGGGGUAUCGACUUCAUGGGACCCUUUCCCCCUUCUUUUGGCCAUCAAUACAUAUUGGUUGGUGUUGACUACGUAUCGAAAAUGGGUGGAAGCAAUUCCAUGCAGGAACCAAUGAUCACAAAGUGGUGAUAGGAUUUUUGAAAGCAAUAUUGUUUUCGCGCUUUGGAUUCCCUCGAGCGAUAAUCAGUGAUGGUGGUGCCACUUUUGUAACAAAGCAUUCAAGGCUCUUUUGACAAAGUAUUCAAUCACACACAAAGUGGCGACCCCGUAUCAUCCGCAAACCAGUGGCCAAGUUGAGAUCUCCAAUCGAGAAAUAAAGCACAUAUUAGAAAAGACGGUGAGGCCAGACAGGAAAGAUUGGUCAUUACGACUUGAUGAUGCAUUAUGGGCAUAUAGAACGGCUUUCCAAGACCCCGAUUGGGAUGUCACCCUACAGGCUAGUGUAUGGAAAAGCUUGCCACCUACCUGUGGAACUCGAGCAUCGUGCAUAUUGGGCCAUCAAGAAAUUCAACUUUGACAUGGCAGCAAGCCAGCUCAGAAAGAAGAUUACAGCUGGCAGAACUUGAAGAAAUUCGGCAAUGAUGCAUACGAAAAUGCCAAGAUUUACAAGCAACGAAUGAAAGUCUUCCAUGAUAAGCAAUUAUGAGAAAAUCGUUCACUCCAGGUCAGAAAGUGCUUUUAUUCAAUUCUCGCUUGCACCUAUUCCCAGGUAAGUUACGCUCUCGUUGGUCUGGCCCAUUUAUUGUACAUACUGUUUUUCCACAUGGGGCAAUUGAAAUUAAGGACCCAAAGAACGGUGUCACGUAUAAAGUUAAUGGUCAAAGAUUAAAGCCAUAUCUAGAGUACCAACCACAUGGAGAAAACAUCGAAAUAAAAUUUGAGUGACCCACUAAAUUUGAAUUGAUUUUUUUUUUUUCUCUUUUCGUUAAUUUGAUUUUUCUUUAUUUCUUUUUAUUAUUAUUCUUUUGCUAAUUGAAAUUGUUUUUGCAUAAGUGUGUUUUAUUUUAACCAUUAAGUUUUCUCUUAUCAUUUUUAAUCAUGAGUCUCAUACUUAGACCGUUCCUCCUGAACAUUCUUAAACCACUUCAACGUGUCAAAACUCAUCUCAAAAGGCAGAUUCUAUUUUGUAAAAACACAACGCAUUUGGGCUCUACAACCACCAGAGUUAGUAGCCUAAUGUUGAGGGUUUAGAACGCCAACUCAGAGACAUUGAGAGAAGUGUUUUACGACAUCCAGUUGGAGCUUGAGGUAAAAUUCAAUAAGAGGACGAUUUUAAUUUUCUUUGUGUGUUUUUUGUUUUUUCUGUUUGUGUGCUUUAGUUUGUUACCUCCGGUGAAGUGGCGAGAUAACGUACUCCGUGACAAUCAAGUCGGUUAACUUCAGUUUCCCAUAAUAACUGAUAUUCUGAGGCGAAGGUAUGGACAGAAACGAGAUUCUAGCGAAGCUUCACAAGCGAUUCCCUUCACUUCCUCAGAAUGCCCCUCCUUACAAUCUAUAAAGCCGGUCUGAACGCAUGCGAUUGCUCAUGAGGAAUAACAUACCUGCAGACAUCCGUUGGUUAAUCGAGGCUAAAGUACGAUUGGCAGGUGAGUUACCUCCUAAAUUUAUUGGCAUACAUGCCUGGUUGUGGUAAAGGAAAUUACGCAAGAAAACGACGAGCUCGAAGAAUUUCUGUUGCUUGUCACAAGUGUGCCAGAAUGAGUUGCGAUAGAAACCCAUGUUCUUUAGGAAUGGUGUCUGAUAACAGGGAAGAUAAGAUUCAAUUCAUUAGGAUGGCUUGAAUAAGGAGUCAUUGGAUGAUAUCCUUUUGUCUCUGAAACGCAUCCCAGUGGAUAUGUGCAAGGAGCGAUUCUCCAGUUAAGGCCAUUAUUCCAAAAAGAGCAUGCACGAUAUCGUCUCGGGAAUCUGACUAUAAACGACCCUGUUUGCCAGUUUAUAAGAAAACUGGAUGGGAAGCCCAUCCUCGACCCAUAGAGGGCGUUCAAGCCGUUUCUGGACGUAAAACCAGAGGAAGAUGUGAGCCACAGUCGCAACUACGUGUAAAUAUCCUUUUACUUUACUGUUAUUUUAUUUCAUUUCACUGUUGUUUUAUUGUUUGCAUUAUUGUCUUUAAUAAUUUUAUUACUGUUUGCUUUUUCCUUUUUACUGUUUCCUUUUUUGACUCGCGAGCCACGUGCUUUACGCGUUAUUUGACACUGACAUGUUACCUCAUUCACAGCUGUGAUCCAUUGUCACCAAGAUUCUUAAAUGUGAUUUAUCUUUUGUCAAGCACUCACAAAUUAUUUUUGAGAAGUAUCACAAUGGCAGCUACUCCCAAUAGACAAUUCAAGAACAUUUGUGUGCUUUCUGGAUUUACCUAUGGCAAACAUAAAGAGUUCGUGGAGGCAGCCAUAGAUCUUGGUCGAAGCAUAGCAGCGAGAAAAUUACAUUUGGUGUAUGGAGGAGGUAACCGAGGGUUAUCAAAAAAUGGUCUCAGAAGCAGCUUUUAUCAAGGAAGUCAAGUGUUUAGGCAUCAUCCAAGAGUCCUAAAACCAUUGGGCAGUUCGUCUGACUCAUCAACUGGAGAAGAGUUAGUCGUCUCAGGUAUGCAAGAAAGAAUAACUGAAAUGCUUAAUCAUGCUGAUGCUUUAUUUUCCUUCCAGGAGAUCUUGCAACACUAGAGGCACUUAUGACACUAGCAUCUUGGGCCCCAUCUGCACAUCCACCAGAAACCCAUCGGUUGUUAAAUGUCAAUAACUUUUAUGAUGGCUUUAUCGCAUUUCUUAACCAUGCAAUAAAAAACUAUUUCAUUCCUUUCUAAUGUAAAAAAAACUUUUUAUUUGUGCUCACACUGCUAAUGAACUACUUGAUCUGUUACAAGCUUAUAAACCGGAGCCAGACCCCUGGACCUUUGUGUGGAGCGCCCAAAUAAUGAUGGUAACAGUAGCCGCAGUAAGAAGUACAAAUUAGAUUUAACUCUCCGCCUGUAAAUAUAUUCUUUUGUGUUGCACCACCCAGGUGAUGUCUUCUAAACUCUACUUCUUUCCUUUAAAACAUUGAGGACAAUGUUUCGUUCUGGUUGAGGGGAGGGAAUAGUCGACAAUUGUGGAAUCUUGGUUAAGUUUUUACUGAUUUUUUGUUGUAGAAACUAACUGUUGCUAACUUUUUGUGUUGAAGAUGGCUGAAUAUGGAGUGUAGUGACUCUAGAAAACGCAUCUUCAUCGUUUAAAAAAAAAAAAAAAAUUUAAAAAAACUAAAAAACAAAAAAACAAAAAAAUUCAAACAUUUUCUUUUUCUUUAUUAUGUUUGAUGUUCAUUUUUCUUCUUCUUUUUAAUUUCUCCUUAUAAAUAUAUAUUUUCCAACUUUUGAGUCGAAGAUAGCUGAAUAUGGAGUGUAGUGCCUCUAGAACGCAUCUUCAUACGUUUAAAAAAAAAUUAAAAAAAAAAAACAAAAUUUCAUUUCGUUUUCUAUCAUUUACGUGUACUUUUCUAUUAGUUUUAGCAUCAUUUUCACAUUUCUGGCAUGCAUAUUUUCCUUUCAUGUUUAGAAUAGGUUGGGGGUAGAAUUUGUUUAAAAAAAAAAAAAGAAAAAAUUGUUGUGAUUUGUUUUAACUUUAGAUGACAUGAUUAAUUUUCAAAUUUUAGUAAUUUGUAUUAUCUUUGGUCUUAAGUGAUGUUACAUUAUGUUUGCUACUCUACAUGUUGAUGUCGGAGACAAAUAUGAGUUGCUUGAAGGAAUGAACAUGUCAUAAAUAAGUACCAAGUGAGUUUUUGAGCCUAUUCAUUUUUUCUUGGAGAGUAACCCUUUUGCCCAUUCUUUAUAAUGCUUAACAGUUUAUUAUUGUAUACACGAUCUCUAGAUUUCUUUUGAGUUAAGCCUUAAAAAAAAAAAAAAAAAAAAAAAUGUGUGUGUUGCUACAAUUGGGAGGCCCAUCUAACUAGUAGAUAUGGAUGAUUAUUUAGAGCCUAAAAAGACGAUGGAAAGGCCAUCUUUGAUCCGUUUGAGCCUUUCUAGCCAUCCCUCUUAUCAAGUAUCCAUAGUUAACCCAUUUGAGCCUUUUAAAUAAAAAAAAAAAAAAACUUUCUUUGUUUAACUUAUCAUCUUGACCCACUCCGAUUUGGAGUAUUACCCAAUAUCUUACAAAUUUCCAUCACCUAUUUAUGUUUGAGAAAAAUGUAAAUAAACAUUUUGCAUAGUGAAGUUAUGCCUAGUUCAAAAAAAAAAAAGAAAAAAUUGUUGUUGCUGAAAAAAAAAAAAAAAAAAAAAAAAGAAAAAAAAUUGUUGUUUCAAAAGAAUAAAAAUAACAAUAAUAGGUGAAAUCACCUUGCAACUUCCAAAAAAAAAAAAAAAAAAAUAUUCUCUGCAUUUUUCUCAAACAUACACUUUGUUUUCCUUAUUCCUUCUUUGUUAGCCAUAUCCCUAGCCUAUACGUUACGUCCUAAUAAAAGUCCUUCUUGAUUUUAGGGAACUAUAGUUUGAAGUAGAAGCUAGUUAUAUGGGCUAAAAAGAUGUAGUGAUGCAUAAUUAAAAAAAAAAAAGAUAAAUAAAGUGGGUUGACUAACAUUUUAUUUGACUUGAGAUCGUAUUAUUUCUAAGCUGAGGGCAUAUUUAUUUAAUCUUGGUGAGAGCAUGUGAUAUCAUUUCUUUAUUAUUUUCUCUCUCAAUUACCAUUCAUUGGAGUGACUAUGUUUAUUGGGUUUUAAUUUCUUUGUGAGAGUGUCACUACUUCCAGUGAGAUUUUGGGGUUUGACAUGUCAUUCUUGAAAGUAGCUAUAACAAAGUCUACUGGGCUAAUUCAUGUGGAUGGUUGAUGUGGGUGUGAUGUUGCUUUAGACUGGAGAUAAUGCUUAUACUUUUAUUUGAUUGCUAUCAUUAAUCUGAUUGAAUAAACACGAGUGUUUCUAAAAAAAAAAAAAAAAAUCAUUUUGAAUUUGAAAUUUUGUUUUCGCUUUAUUUGCUAGGGACUAGCAAUAAGCUGGUUGGGGGUGUGUUGAGUGUUAGAAAAUACAUAUUUAUAAAGGAGAAAACCGUCAUUUUACAUUUCAAGUCUUACUAACAACCCUUACUUUUAUGUAUUUAACCUUCUUGUGAUGUAAUUACGUGUGUGUUAUUUUAAUUAAGUAUUUUAUGUAUUUUAGGGGCAUUAUAGUCAUUUCACAAUAAAGGAGAGAUCAGACGGCAAAAACGGACAUCACUUUUGAACUCAGGACGGUCGAAAACCUUAGGAGGAGCAUAAAAGGAAAAAUGGCACUAUUCACAUGUACGGUACUAUUCACGUAUACGGUACUGUCUACGUUACUGUUCACGACACUGUUCACAUAGACGGAUCGAUGACGUGGCAUUGACCGAUGAUGUGGCAUUGACUGAUGAGGUGUCACGAUCCUGUUGGACUAAAAUUCUUAUGUACUGUUGAUGGUGACGUGGCAGCAUAUCAGUGGACGAAAAAUCUCGCGUACGGUGCAUGCAUCACACAGGAUUAUUUUCAACCAAACCGCGUUACUGUUCAUCCGGGUCAAACCGUGUUACUGUUCAGCGGUCAAACCGUUACUGUUCAUCCGCGUGGUCAAACCGUGGACUGUUGACUGAUGACGUGGCGCAAUCCUGAGCGUCCAAACUGUUUUUAAUCCGAUGGCCAUGAUUUACUCCAUGUAUCUAUAAAAAGGGGGCCUCCCCCCCUAAUUUGAUAUCUCUGAAUCCAUUUUUGGGAUCCAUUUUCUGUAAUUCCUUCUCCAUCUUGUAUUUUCUUGUAUUUUAAUAAAUUCCUAUUUUGCCCCUAGUUCAAUUAUGAGUAGCUAAUUUCUUUUCAAGCUUGGGUUGAAGGUGAAGUCUCAACAUGUGUCAUGGGCUUUAUUUGGUAAAUUUAUUUUCUUUUCCCCUCUAGUUUUUGUGGAUGAUUUGACUUAUCGUCGACAAAUAAUACUGAUCUUGUCUAGAUACCGCCUUGGUUACACCGGCUCUCUAGUAUAAGGUUAUUAUUAUUUGGCACGAUAAGCCCUUAGCACCAUAUUGAUUAGAGCGUGGUUCAUGAGGUGUGGAUUCCCCCUCAUGAUUUAAUUGGCAUUAAUACGGAUUAUUUAGCCCAUGAUGCAUGUUGAUACGGAUCCAGAUACCCAAGUACGUCAUUUCAAUAGAUUCUCUUCAAUUUAUUCUCGCCAUUGCAAUUCCAAUUUAGAAUUUAUUUGCAUUUAUUAAGUUUUAGCAUAUUCAAAUCAUUUCCACCACAAUCCAACCACCCAUUUACAAAAUUAAUUCUAUAUACAAUUAAAAUCCACCUCCUCGUGGGAUCGACACUCGUCACCAUUAGUCUAUACUACAAUAGAUUCGUGCGCUUGCGAGUACAUUAAAAUUUGCACAACAAGUUUUUGGCGCCGUUGCCGGGAGGUAAGUAAUUUUAAUUCAUAGAAUUAAUUUUUGUGAAUAAUUUCUUUUAUUUGUUUUCUUGUAUUUUUUUUUAUUAAAAAAAAAAAGAAAAAAAAAGUAAAUCUACAUUUAAAGGUUAGUAUUUCUUUUCUUUUUCUCUUCUUUAAAAAUUCUGUAAUUUAAUUUUCAAUUUAUUUUUUUUCUUUGUAAUUUUUGUUUAUUUUAUUAAUUUAAUUUUUAGUUAAUUUAUUUCACGUAUUUGUUUUUGUGUAUUUUUAUAGAAAGGUUGUAAUAGCGCAAUAAGGUUAGUAUCGUAAUUUCUCCCUCUUCUUUAUUUUUAUUUGUUUUGUUCCCAUCUUUAUUUUUUUUAUUUUUAUUUUAUUUUGCAUGCAUGGUCGUAGGUCAUUAUUACCUAAUCUUGAACCUAUAGACCUUGAAUUAGAAAAAACACUUCGCACACACAAACACAUUAAAAAUAAAAUUGGAAUGGAUUUACAAGCACCACAGGAGAGGCCAUUUAAGGACUAUUUUAGUCCCUUAGCUAAUUUGAGCACAUCAUGCAUAAGAUACCCAAAUGUAGCUGCUAGGAGUUUUGAACUAAAACCUAGUGUGCUAAAUUGUCUCCCCACAUUCUAUGGCUUAGAAAAUGAGGACCCAUAUAAUCAUCUGAAUGAUUUUCAUGCCAUUUGUCAAACUUUUAAAUAUGAAAAUUUUUCAGACGAUGAUGUUAAACUCAGAUUAUUCCCAUUUUCUUUAAAGGAUAGAGCUCGUUCAUGGUUAAAUACUUUGCCUGCUAAUAGCAUUUCAUCAUGGGAACAAAUGGUAACGAAAUUUUUGAAUAAAUAUUUCCCAGUGCAUAAAACCAAUUCUAUUCGCAGGGAAAUUUCAGAGUUUACACAAAGAGAGGACGAGCAGUUUUUCGAAACUUGGGAGCGAUUCAAUGGGCUACUCUUGAAGUGUCCACAUCAUGGGUACGAGAAAUGGCACCAAUGCCAAUACUUUUUGGAGGGAUUAUUGCCGAAUGUGCAAGAAUGGCUAAUGGCAACAAGUGGAGGAGAGCUAAUGUCAAAAAGUGCAUCAGAGAUUUGGGAAUUCUUCCAGCGACAAGCGGAUAAUUCCCAACAACGGAGUCGAUCACUCAGGAAUACUAGAAGAAUUAAGGGAGUAAAUGAGGUUCAAAUUGGCGAGUCAACUUCGGAAAUCAAAGAAGUCAAGGAGAUGGUUGAAGGUCUCUGCUCGACAAAUAGCAUCGUUAUCGACUGCUAAAUCAACAGAACCACAUGACCAUGACUCAUACUCAGAUCAAGCCAAUGCCAUAGGUGUAAUGAGAAAACCAUCGAAUUACAACCCAUACUCCAACACAUAUAACCCUGGAUGGAGAGACCACCCCAAUUUUUCAUGGUCUCAAGGAUUCCAACAGAAUGGACCAGCAGCUCCAGCUCCACCAAUGCAACAAAUUCCUCAAAAUCCUCAAGCCUCUCAGCCACCAUUUAGACCAUACAAUCAGAACCAGAACUACUCUCAACCCAGACCAUGGGAGGAUUCAUUCCAGAAUUUCAAGAAUGUUACUCACUCACGAUUGAGCAACAGAACCGCACCAUUGAUGGACUACGAAAUGAGUUGAGAGCAGGCUUCAACUCACAAGCCCAAUCAGUUUCAAGCCUCGAGAAGAUGGUGGGACAACUUGCUUCUUCAGUUCAGACCUUGGCAAUGACUGUUGAGAAAGGUAAAUUUCCAAGUCAACCAGUGCCUAAUCCUAAAGGAGUACAUGAAGCAAGUACCAGUUCACCACAGCAGCAUGGAGAGGUCAAAGCAGUCAUGACCUUGCGAAAAGGAAAGGAAGUCGACAACAAAGUGGAGAUGCCGGUGACAAAAGAAAAUCAAAUUGUACCUGUGAAUGUUGAAGACUCACCACCGGAGGAAAAGAAGAAACCAACCCACGAGAAUACGUUCCAAAGCUCCAUUUCCUCAGAGGUUAGCUGAAAGGAAAGAAGGGAAAAUCCACAGGUGAGAUUCUCGAAAUCUUCAAACAGGUAAGUGUUAACAUCCCUUUACUUGAUGCUAUUAAACAAGUUCCAUCUUAUGCCAAGUUUCUUAAAGACCUUUGUACUAAAAAGAGAAAUAUGCAUGUUCAAAAGAAGGCAUUUUUAACAGAAAACGUUAGUUCUAUACUCCAACAUAAAAUUCCUUUAAAAUGCAAAGACCCAGGCUCCCCCACUAUCUCAUGUAGUAUAGGGAACCACACAAUUGAGAAUGCUUUGUUGGAUUUAGGAGCUAGUGUAAAUUUGUUGCCUUACUCUGUAUUCGUGAAACUUGGACUGGGAGAAUUACACCCAACUCCAGUGGUGUUACAGCUUGCAGAUCGGUCCACGAAAAUACCUCGUGGUAUUGUGGAGGACGUGCUUAUCCAGGUAGACAAGUUUUAUUUUCCUGUUGAUUUCAUUGUAAUUGACACUCAACCAAUACAGGAUUCAAGGAAGCACAUCCCCAUUAUUCUAGGCCGACCUUUCUUGGCAACUGCGGAUGCUCACAUUCAAUGCAGGACUGGAAAUAUGCAAUUGUCCUUCGGCAACAUGACUAUGGAGCUAAACAUUUUCAACAUUGCCAAACAACCUCACAGUGCAGAUGAUGGAAUUGUUGAUGUGGAUUUAAUAGAAACAAUAGUUGAUAAUACUUUUCUUUCAAACCUUAGUGAUGAUCCUUUACAAACAUGUUUAACUCACUUUGGUUUGGAUUUUGAUAUUGACAGAUCGGUCGAUGAGGUCAACGCCCUACUUGACUCAGCACCAUCCAUGGACACUAAUAAAUGGAAGUCAAGAGUUGAACAACUAGCACCAUCAGAGAAGAAACUCAUCCCAUCAUCAGAAUCACCACCGAAACUCGAGCUCAAACCAUUACCCAACACUUGGAAUAUGCAUUUUUGGGAGAAGAAAGUACUCUGCCGGUAAUCAUCUCAUCAUCCCUAAAUGACGAACAAAAAGGUAAGUUGUUGGAUGUUUUAAAAGAGCACAAAGGAGCAUUAGGAUGGACCAUAGCAGACAUAAAAGGUAUAAACCCAGUAGACUGCAUGCAUUACAUUCACCUUGAUGAAAAUGCUAAAUCUACUAGGGAAAUGCAACGUCGGUUAAAUCCUAAUAUGAAAGAAGUUGUUAGAACUGAAGUCCUUAAGCUAUUAGACGCAGGUAUCAUUUACCCAAUUUCUGAUAGUUCAUGGGUCAGUCCUGUACAAGUUGUCCCCAAAAAGUCAGGAGUCACAGUAGUUACCAAUGCUGAUAAUGAAUUGAUACCAACUAGAGUAACUACAGGAUGGCGUGUAUGCAUUGAUUAUAGAAAGUUGAAUUCUGUCACACGUAAAGACCAUUUUCCUUUACCAUUUAUUGAUCAAAUGCUUGAUAGAUUAGCAGGCCAUGAAUUUUAUUGCUUUCUAGAUGGCUACUCAGGAUAUAAUCAGAUUCCCAUAGCACCAAAAGAUCAAGAGAAAACUACUUUCACUUGCCCUUUUGGCACAUUUGCAUAUAGGAGAAUGCCAUUUGGAUUAUGUAAUGCACCUGCUACAUUUCAACGAUGCAUGUUGAGCAUUUUUUCUGAUAUGGUUGAACGAUUCCUUGAAGUCUUUAUGGAUGAUUUUUCUGUCUUUGGUGACUCGUUUGAUCAAUGUUUACAUCAUCUAACGCUAGUUCUGCAGAGAUGUAUCGAGAAGAACUUAGUCUUAAAUUGGGAGAAGUGCCAUUUUAUGGUAAAACAAGGUAUUGUUCUCGGUCACAUCAUUUCGAGCAAAGGUAUUGAGGUUGACAAAGCCAAGGUGGAUCUCAUUUCUAAUCUUCCUCCACCCAAAACAGUCAGAGAAGUAAGAUCUUUCCUUGGGCAUGCUGGUUUCUAUAGACGUUUCAUUAAAGAUUUUAGCAAAGUUUCUAGACCCUUAUGCAAUUUACUUGCUAAGGAUGUACCUUUUAUCUUUAAUGAUUCAUGUCUUAUGGCUUUUGAAAAAUUAAAGCAGUUGUUGACAUCAUCACCCAUCAUUCAGGCCCCAAACUGGAGCUUACCAUUUGAGCUCAUGUGUGAUGCAUCUGAUUAUGCAGUAGGAGCAGUAUUAGGACAAAGAGUUGAUCGAAUUCCCCAUGUUAUUUACUAUGCUAGUAUGACAUUGAAUGAUGCACAGUUGAACUAUUCAACUACUGAAAAAGAAAUGCUAGCAGUAGUGUUUGCAUUGGAAAAAUUUCGAUCUUAUCUCAUUGGUUGUAAAAUAAUUAUAUUCACAGAUCAUGCUGCUCUUAAAUAUCUUCUCACAAAGAAAGAUGCAAAAGCUAGACUAAUUCGUUGGGUGUUACUUUUGCAGGAAUUUGACUUGGAAUUCAAAGAUAAGAAAGGCACAGAAAAUGUUGUGGCGGACCACCUCUCUCGUCUCCAUUUUGACACAAUUACAGAGCCAUUAAUAUUAAAUGAGUCAUUUCCAGAUGAACAAUUAAUGAGUGUGGAAGUAUUACCUUGGUAUGCUGAUAUAGUUAAUUAUCUUGUUACAGGUAAACUUCCAGAGCAUUGGACCAAGCAAGACAAGGCUAAAUUCUUUGCGGAAAUAAAGAAUUUCUUUUGGGAUGACCCAUAUUUGUUCAAGUAUUGUGCAGACCAAAUUGUUAGACGAUGUGUCCCUGAAAGUGAAAUUCAGAAUAUCCUUUCAUUCUGCCAUGAACAAGCUUGUGGAGGCCAUUUCAGUGCUAAGAAAACAGCGACUAAAGUUUUACAAUGUGGUUUCUAUUGGCCAACUAUAUUUCGAGAUGCUUACACUUUCUGUUCUUCAUGUGAUAGGUGUCAACGAAUGGGGAGCAUUACACGAAGGAACAUGAUGCCACUAAAUCCAAUUUUAGUGGUUGAGAUUUUUGACGUAUGGGGUAUCGACUUCAUGGGACCCUUUCCCCCUUCUUUUGGCCAUCAAUACAUAUUGGUUGGUGUUGACUACGUAUCGAAAUGGGUAGAAGCAAUUCCAUGCAGAACCAAUGAUCACAAAGUGGUGAUAGGAUUUUUGAAAAGCAACAUUGUUUCACGCUUUGGAUUCCCUCGAGCGAUAAUCAGUGAUGGUGGUGCCCACUUUUGUAACAAAGCAUUCAAAGCUCUUUUGACAAAGUAUUCAAUCACACACAAAGUGGCGACCCCGUAUCAUCCGCAAACCAGUGGCCAAGUUGAGAUCUCCAAUCGAGAAAUAAAGCACAUAUUAGAAAAAACGGUGAGGCCAGACAGAAAAGAUUGGUCAUUAAGACUUGAUGAUGCAUUAUGGGCAUAUAGAACGGCUUUCAAGACCCCGAUUGGGAUGUCACCCUACAGGCUAGUGUAUGGAAAAGCUUGCCACCUACCUGUGGAACUCGAGCAUCGUGCAUAUUGGGCCAUCAAGAAAUUCAACUUUGACAUGCAGCAAGCCAGCUCAGAAAGAAGAUUACAACUGGCAGAACUUGAAGAAAUUCGCAAUGAUGCAUACGAAAAUGCCAAGAUUUACAAGCAACGAAUGAAAGUCUUUCAUGACAAGCACAUUAUGAGAAAAUCGUUCACUCCAGGUCAGAAAGUGCUUUUAUUCAAUUCUCGCUUGCACCUAUUCCCAGGUAAGUUACGCUCUCGAUGGUCUGGUCCCUUUAUUGUUCAUACUGUUUUUCCACAUGGGGCAAUUGAAAUUAAGGACCCAAAGAACGGUGUCACGUUUAAAGUUAAUGGUCAAAGAUUAAAGCCAUAUCUAGAGUACCAACCACAUGGAGAAGACACCGAAAUAAAUUUGAGUGACCCACCAGAUUUGAAUUGAUUUUUUUUUCUUUUCGUUGAUUUGAUUUUUCUUUCUUUCUUUUUAUUAUUCUUUUGCUAAUUGAAAUUAUUUUUGCAUAAGUGUGUUUGUUUAACUAUUAAGUUUUCUCUUAUCAUUUUUAAUCAUGAGUACCUUACUUAGACCGUUCCUCCUGAACAUUCUUAAACCACUUCAACGUGUCAAAACUCAUCUCAAAAAGCAGAUUCAAUUUUGUAAAACACAACGCAUUUGGGCUCUACAACCACCAGAGUUAGUAGCCUAUGUUGAGGGUUUAGAACGCCAACUCAGAGACAUUGAGAGAAGUGUUUACGACAUCCAGUUGGAGCUUGAGGUAAAUUCAAUAAGAGGACGAUUUUAAUUUUCUUUGUGUGUUUUAAUUUGUUUUUCUGUUUGUGUGCUUUAGUUUGUUACCCCGGUGAAGUGGCGGAUAACGGUACUCCGUGACAAUCAAGUCGGUUACUUCAGUUUCCCAUAAUAACUGAUAUUCUGAGGCGAAGGUAUGGACAGAAACGAGAUUCUAGCGAAGCUUCACAAGCGAUUCCCUUCACUUCCUCAGAAUGCCCUCCUUACAAUCUAUAAAGCCGGUCGAACGCAUGCGAUUCUCAUGAGAAUAACAUACCUGCGACAUCCGUUGGUUAAUCGAGGAAAGUACGAUGGCAGGUAGUUACUAAUUUGCAUAUCUGUUAUGCGAAACAGUCGAAUUCUGUCAAGAAAUAAGGAUAAUAAUAUCUUUGUUCAGAUCAAAAAAAUUUCCAUAAAAAAAAGCAUGUAUGCAAUCAUUCUGCACACUUUGACAAGCAACAGAAAUUCUUCGAGCUGUCGUUUUCUUGCAUAAUUUCUUUACCACAACCAGCAUGAUGCAAUAAAUUUGGAGGUAACUCACCUGCCAUCGUACUUUAGCCUCGAUUAACCAACGGAUGUCGCAGGUAUGUUAUUCCUCAUGAGCAAUCGCAUGCGUUCGACCGGCUUUAUAGAUGUAAGGAGGGCAUUCUGAGGAAGUGAAGGGAAUCGCUUGUGAAGCUUCGCUAGAAUCUCGUUUCUGUCCAUACCUUCGCCUCAGAAUAUCAGUUAUUAUGGGAAACUGAAGUAACCGACUUGAUUGUCACGGAGUACCGUUAUCCGCCACUUCACCGGGGUAACAAACUAAAGCACACAAACAGAAAAACAAAUUAAAACACACAAAGAAAAUUAAAAUCGUCCUCUUAUUGAAUUUACCUCAAGCUCCAACUGGAUGUCGUAAACACUUCUCUCAAUGUCUCUGAGUUGGCGUUCUAAACCCUCAACAUAGGCUACUAACUCUGGUGGUUGUAGAGCCCAAAUGCGAUGUGUUUUACAAAAUUGAAUCUGCCUUUUGAGAUGAGUUUUGACACGUUGAAGUGGUUUAAGAAUGUUCAGGAGGAACGGUCUAAGUAAGGUACUCAUGAUUAAAAAUGAUAAGAGAAAACUUAAUAGUUAAACAAACACACUUAUGCAAAAAUAAUUUCAAUUAGCAAAAGAAUAAUAAAAAGAAAGAAAGAAAAAUCAAAUCAACGAAAAGAAAAAAAAAUCAAUUCAAAUCUGGUGGGUCACUCAAAUUUAUUUCGGUGUCUUCUCCAUGUGGUUGGUACUCUAGAUAUGGCUUUAAUCUUUGACCAUUAACUUUAAACGUGACACCGUUCUUUGGGUCCUUAAUUUCAAUUGCCCCAUGUGGAAAAACAGUAUGAACAAUAAAGGGACCAGACCAUCGAGAGCGUAACUUACCUGGGAAUAGGUGCAAGCGAGAAUUGAAUAAAAGCACUUUCUGACCUGGAGUGAACGAUUUUCUCAUAAUGUGCUUGUCAUGAAAGACUUUCAUUCGUUGCUUGUAAAUCUUGGCAUUUUCGUAUGCAUCAUUGCGAAUUUCUUCAAGUUCUGCCAGUUGUAAUCUUCUUUCUGAGCUGGCUUGCUGCAUGUCAAAGUUGAAUUUCUUGAUGGCCCAAUAUGCACGAUGCUCGAGUUCCACAGGUAGGUGGCAAGCUUUUCCAUACACUAGCCUGUAGGGUGACAUCCCAAUCGGGGUCUUGAAAGCCGUUCUAUAUGCCCAUAAUGCAUCAUCAAGUCUUAAUGACCAAUCUUUUCUGUCUGGCCUCACCGUCUUUUCUAAUAUGUGCUUUAUUUCUCGAUUGGAGAUCUCAACUUGGCCACUGGUUUGCGGAUGAUACGGGGUCGCCACUUUGUGUGUGAUUGAAUACUUUGUCAAAAGAGCUUUGAAUGCUUUGUUACAAAAGUGGGCACCACCAUCACUGAUUAUCGCUCGAGGGAAUCCAAAGCGUGAAACAAUGUUGCUUUUCAAAAAUCCUAUCACCACUUUGUGAUCAUUGGUUCUGCAUGGAAUUGCUUCUACCCAUUUCGAUACGUAGUCAACACCAACCAAUAUGUAUUGAUGGCCAAAAGAAGGGGGAAAGGGUCCCAUGAAGUCGAUACCCCAUACGUCAAAAAUCUCAACCACUAAAAUUGGAUUUAGUGGCAUCAUGUUCCUUCGUGUAAUGCUCCCCAUUCGUUGACACCUAUCACAUGAAGAACAGAAAGUGUAAGCAUCUCGAAAUAUAGUUGGCCAAUAGAAACCACAUUGUAAAACUUUAGUCGCUGUUUUCUUAGCACUGAAAUGGCCUCCACAAGCUUGUUCAUGGCAGAAUGAAAGGAUAUUCUGAAUUUCACUUUCAGGGACACAUCGUCUAACAAUUUGGUCUGCACAAUACUUGAACAAAUAUGGGUCAUCCCAAAAGAAAUUCUUUAUUUCUGCAAAGAAUUUAGCCUUGUCUUGCUUGGUCCAAUGCUCUGGAAGUUUACCUGUAACAAGAUAAUUAACUAUAUCAGCAUACCAAGGUAAUACUUCCACAUUCAUUAAUUGUUCAUCUGGAAAUGACUCAUUUAAUGUUAAUGGCUCUGUAAUUGUGUCAAAAUGGAGACGAGAGAGGUGGUCCGCCACAACAUUUUCUGUGCCUUUCUUAUCUUUGAAUUCCAAGUCAAAUUCCUGCAAAAGUAACACCCAACGAAUUAGUCUAGCUUUUGCAUCUUUCUUUGUGAGAAGAUAUUUAAGAGCAGCAUGAUCUGUGAAUAUAAUUAUUUUACAACCAAUGAGAUAAGAUCGAAAUUUUUCAAUGCAAACACUACUGCUAGCAUUUCUUUUUCAGUAGUUGAAUAGUUCAACUGUGCAUCAUUCAAUGUCAUACUAGCAUAGUAAAUAACAUGGGGAAUUCGAUCAACUCUUUGUCCUAAUACUGCUCCUACUGCAUAAUCAGAUGCAUCACACAUGAGCUCAAAUGGUAAGCUCCAGUUUGGGGCCUGAAUGAUGGGUGAUGAUGUCAACAACUGCUUUAAUUUUUCAAAAGCCAUAAGACAUGAAUCAUUAAAGAUAAAAGGUACAUCCUUAGCAAGUAAAUUGCAUAAGGGUCUAGAAACUUUGCUAAAAUCUUUAAUGAAACGUCUAUAGAAACCAGCAUGCCCAAGGAAAGAUCUUACUUCUCUGACUGUUUUGGGUGGAGGAAGAUUAGAAAUGAGAUCCACCUUGGCUUUGUCAACCUCAAUACCUUUGCUCGAAAUGAUGUGACCGAGAACAAUACCUUGUUUUACCAUAAAAUGGCACUUCUCCCAAUUUAAGACUAAGUUCUUCUCGAUACAUCUCUGCAGAACUAGCGUUAGAUGAUGUAAACAUUGAUCAAACGAGUCACCAAAGACAGAAAAAUCAUCCAUAAAGACUUCAAGGAAUCGUUCAACCAUAUCAGAAAAAAUGCUCAACAUGCAUCGUUGAAAUGUAGCAGGUGCAUUACAUAAUCCAAAUGGCAUUCUCCUAUAUGCAAAAGUGCCAAAAGGGCAAGUGAAAGUAGUUUUCUCUUGAUCUUUUGGUGCUAUGGGAAUCUGAUUAUAUCCUGAGUAGCCAUCUAGAAAGCAAUAAAAUUCAUGGCCUGCUAAUCUAUCAAGCAUUUGAUCAAUAAAUGGUAAAGGAAAAUGGUCUUUACGUGUGACAGAAUUCAACUUUCUAUAAUCAAUGCAUACACGCCAUCCUGUAGUUACUCUAGUUGGUAUCAAUUCAUUAUCAGCAUUGGUAACUACUGUGACUCCUGACUUUUUGGGGACAACUUGUACAGGACUGACCCAUGAACUAUCAGAAAUUGGGUAAAUGAUACCUGCGUCUAAUAGCUUAAGGACUUCAGUUCUAACAACUUCUUUCAUAUUAGGAUUUAACCGACGUUGCAUUUCCCUAGUAGAUUUAGCAUUUUCAUCAAGGUGAAUGUAAUGCAUGCAGUCUACUGGGUUUAUACCUUUUAUGUCUGCUAUGGUCCAUCCUAAUGCUCCUUUGUGCUCUUUUAAAACAUCCAACAACUUACCUUUUUGUUCGUCAUUUAGGGAUGAUGAGAUGAUUACCGGCAGAGUACUUUCUUCUCCCAAAAAUGCAUAUUCCAAUGUGUUGGGCAAUGGUUUGAGCUCGAGUUUCGGUGGUGAUUCUGAUGAUGGGAUGAGUUUCUUCUCUGAUGGUGCUAGUUGUUCAACUCUUGACUUCCAUUUAUUAGUGUCCAUGGAUGGUGCUGAGUCAAGUAGGGCGUUGACCUCAUCGACCGAUCUGUCAAUAUCAAAAUCCAAACCAAAGUGAGUUAAACAUGUUUGUAAAGGAUCAUCACUAAGGUUUGAAAGAAAAGUAUUAUCAACUAUUGUUUCUAUUAAAUCCACAUCAACAAUUCCAUCAUCUGCACUGUGAGGUUGUUUGGCAAUGUUGAAAAUGUUUAGCUCCAUAGUCAUGUUGCCGAAGGACAACUGCAUAUUUCCAGUCCUGCAUUGAAUGUGAGCAUCCGCAGUUGCCAAGAAAGGUCGGCCUAGAAUAAUGGGGAUGUGCUUCCUUGAAUCCUGUAUUGGUUGAGUGUCAAUUACAAUGAAAUCAACAGGAAAAUAAAACUUGUCUACCUGGAUAAGCACGUCCUCCACAAUACCACGAGGUAUUUUCGUGGACCGAUCUGCAAGCUGUAACACCACUGGAGUUGGGUGUAAUUCUCCCAGUCCAAGUUUCACGAAAUACAGAGUAAGGCAACAAAUUUACACUAGCUCCUAAAUCCAACAAAGCAUUCUCAAUUGUGUGGUUCCCUAUACUACAUGAGAUAGUGGGGGAGCCUGGGUCUUUGCAUUUUAAAGGAAUUUUAUGUUGGAGUAUAGAACUAACGUUUUCUGUUAAAAAUGCCUUCUUUUGAACAUGCAUAUUUCUCUUUUUAGUACAAAGGUCUUUAAGAAACUUGGCAUAAGAUGGAACUUGUUUAAUAGCAUCAAGUAAAGGGAUGUUAACACUUACCUGUUUGAAGAUUUCGAGAAUCUCACCUGUGGAUUUUCCCUUCUUUCCUUUCAGCUAACCUCUGAGGAAAUGGAGCUUUGGAACGUAUUCUCGUGGGUUGGUUUCUUCUUUUUCCUCCGGUGGUGAGUCCUCAACAUUCACAGGUACAAUUUGAUUUUCUUUUGUCACCGGCAUCUCCACUUUGUUGUCGACUUCCUUUCCUUUUCGCAAGGUCAUGACUGCUUUGACCUCUCCAUGCUGCUGUGGUGAACUGGUACUUGCUUCAUGUACUCCUUUAGGAUUAGGCACUGGUUGACUUGGAAAUUUACCUUUCUCAACAGUCAUUGCCAAGGUCUGAACUGAAGAAGCAAGUUGUCCCACCAUCUUCUCGAGGCUUGAAACUGAUUGGGCUUGUGAGUUGAAGCCUGCUCUCAACUCAUUUCGUAGUCCAUCAAUGGUGCGGUUCUGUUGCUCAAUCGUGGAGUGAGUAACAUUCUUGAAAUUCUGGAAUGAAUCCUCCCAUGGUCUGGGUUGAGAGUAGUUCUGGUUCUGAUUGUAUGGUCUAAAUGGGGGCUGAGAGGCUUGAGGAUUUUGAGGAAUUGUUGCAUUGGUGGAGCUGGAGCUGCUGGUCCAUUCUGUUGGAAUCCUUGAGACCAUGAAAAAUUGGGGUGGUCUCUCCAUCCAGGGUUAUAUGUGUUGGAGUAUGGGUUGUAAUUCGAUGGUUUUCUCAUUACACCUAUGGCAUUGGCUUGAUCUGAGUAUGAGUCAUGGUCAUGUGGUUCUGUUGAUUUAGCAGUCGAUAACGAUGCUAUUUGUCGAGCAGAGACCUUCAACCAUCUCCUUGACUUCUUUGAUUCCGAAGUUGACUCGCCAAUGUGAACCUCAUUUACUCCUUAAUUCUUCUAGUAUUCCUGAGUGAUCGACUCCGUUGUUGGGAAUUAUCCGCUUGUCGCUGGAAGAAUUCCCAAAUCUCUGAUGCACUUUUUGACAUUAGCUCUCCUCCACUUGUUGCCAUUAGCCAUUCUUGCACAUUCGGCAAUAAUCCCUCCAAAAAGUAUUGGCAUUGGUGCCAUUUUCUCGUACCCAUGAUGUGGACACUUCAAGAGUAGCCCAUUGAAUCGCUCCCAGUUUCGAAAAACUGCUCGUCCUCUCUUUGUGUAAACUCUGAAAUUUCCCUGCGAAUAGCAUUGGUUUUAUGCACUGGGAAAUAUUUAUUCAAAAAUUUCGUUACCAUUUGUUCCCAUGAUGCAAUGCUAUUAGCAGGCAAAGUAUUUAACCAUGAACGAGCUCUAUCCUUUAAAGAAAAUGGGAAUAAUCUAAGUUUAACAUCAUCGUCUGAAAAAUUCUCAUAUUUAAAAGUUUGACAAAUGGCAUGAAAAUCAUUCAGAUGAUUAUAUGGGUCCUCAUUUUCUAAGCCAUAGAAUGUGGGGAGACAAUUUAGCACACUAGGUUUUAAUUCAAAACUCCUAGCAGCUACAUUUGGGUAUCUUAUGCAUGAUGUGCUCAAAUUAGCUAAGGGACUAAAAUAGUCCUUAAAUGGCCUCUCCUGUGGUGCUUGUAAAUCCAUUCCAAUUAUUUUUAAUGUGUUUGUGUGUGCGAAGUGUUUUUUCUAAUUCAAGGUCUAUAGGUUCAAGAUUAGGUAAUAAUGACCUACGACCAUGCAUGCAAAAUAAAUAAAAUAAAAAUAAAGAUGGGAACAAAACAAAUAAAAAUAAAGAAGAGGGAGAAAUUACGAUACUAACCUUAUUGCGCUAUUACAACCUUUCUAUAAAAAUACACAAAAACAAAUACGUGAAAUAAAUUAACUAAAAAUUAAAUUAAUAAAAUAAACAAAAAUUACAAAGAAAAAAAAUAAAUUGAAAAUUAAAUUACAGAAUUUUAAAGAAGAGAAAAAAGAAAAGAAAUACUAACCUUUAAAUGUAGAUUCACUUUUUUUUUUUUUUUUUUUUAAUAAAAAAAAUACAAGAAAACAAAUAAAAGAAAUUAUUCACAAAAAAUUAAUUCUAUGAAUUAAAAUUACUUACCUCCCCGGCAACGGCGCCAAAAACUUGUUGUGCAAAUUUUAAUGUACUCGCAAGCGCACGAAUCUAUUGUAGUAUAGACUAAUGGUGACGAGUGUCGAUCCCACGAGGAGGUGGAUUUUAAUUGUGUAUAGAAUUAAUUUUGUAAAUGGGUGGUUGGAUUUGUGGUGGAAGUGAUUUGAAUAUGCUAAAAUUAAAUUAAAAUGGCGAAAUAAAUCUAAAAUUGGAAUUGAAAUGGCGAGAAUAAAUUGAAGAGAAAUCUAUUGAAAUGACGUACUUGGGUAUCUGGAUCCGUAUCAACAUGCAUCAUGGGCUAAAUAAUCCGUAUUAAUGCCAAUUAAAUCAUGAGGGGGGAAUCCACACCUCAUGAACCACGCUCUAAUCAAUAUGGUGCUAAGGGCUUAUCGUGCCAAAUAAUAAUAACCUUAUACUAGAGAGCCGGUGUAACCAAGGCGGUAUCUAGACAAGAUCAGUAUUAUUUGUCGACGAUAAGUCAAAUCAUCCACAAAAACUAGAGGGGAAAAGAAAAUAAAUUUACCAAAUAAAGCCCAUGACACAUGUUGAGACUUCACCUUCAACCCAAGCUUGAAAGAAAAUUAGCCACUCAUAAUUGAACUAGGGGCAAAAUGGGAAUUUAUUAAAAUACGAAGAAAAUACAAGAUGGAGAAGGAAUUACAGAAAAUGGAUCCCAAAAAUGGAUUCAGAGAUAUCAAAUUAGGGGGGGAGGCCCCCUUUUUAUAGAUACAUGGAGUAAAUCAUGGCCAUCGGAUUAAAAACAGUUUGGACGCUCAGGAUUGCGCCACGUCAUCAGUCAACAGUCCACGGUUUGACCACGCGGAUGAACAGUAACACGGUUUGACCCGGAUGAACAGUAACGCGGUUUGGUUGAAAAUAAUCCUGUGUGAUGCAUGCACCGUACGCGAGAUUUUUCGUCCACUGAUAUGCUGCCACGUCACCAUCAACAGUACAUAAGAAUUUUAGUCCAACAGGAUCGUGACACCUCAUCAGUCAAUGCCACAUCAUCGGUCAAUGCCACGUCAUCGAUCCGUCUAUGUGAACAGUGUCGUGAACAGUAACGUAGACAGUACCGUACACGUGAAUAGUACCGUACAUGUGAAUAGUGCCAUUUUUCCUUUUAUGCUCCUCCUAAGGUUUUCGACCGUCCUGAGUUCAAAAGUGAUGUCCGUUUUGCCGUCUGAUCUCUCCUUUAUUGUGAAAUGACUAUAAUGCCCCUAAAAUACAUAAAAUACUUAAUUAAAAUAAACACACGUAAUUAAUCACAAGAAGGUUAAAUACAUAAAAGUAAGGGUUGUUAGUAAGACUUGAAAUGUAAAAUGACGGUUUUCUCCUUUAUAAAUAUAGCAUUUUCUAACACUCAACACACCCCCCAACCAGCUUAUUGCUAGUCCCUAGCAAAUAAAGCGAAAACAAAAUUCAAAUUCAAAAUGAUUUUUUUUUUUUUUUUUUAGAAACACUCGUGUUUAUUCAAUCAGAUUAAUGAUAGCAAUCAAUAAAAGUAUAAGCAUUAUCUCCAGUCUAAAGCAACAUCACACCCACAUCAACCAUCCACAUGAAUUAGCCCAGUAGACUUUGUUAUAGCUACUUUUCAAGAAUGACAUGUCAAACCCCAAAAUCUCACUGGAAGUAGUGACACUCUCACAAAGAAAUUAAAACCCAAUAAACAUAGUCACUCCAAUGAAUGGUAAUUGAGAGAGAAAAUAAUAAAGAAAUGAUAUCACAUGCUCUCACCAAGAUGAAAUAAAUAUGCCCUCAGCUUAGAAAUAAUACGAUCUCAAGUCAAAUAAAAUGUUAGUCAACCCACUUUAUUUAUCUUUUUUUUUUUUAUUAUGCAUCACUACAUCUUUUUAGCCCAUAUAACUAGCUUCUACUUCAAACUAUAGUUCCCUAAAAUCAAGAAGGACUUUUAUUAGGACGUAACGUAGGCUAGGGAUAUGGCUAACAAAGAAGGGAAAUAAGGAAAACAAAGUGUAUGUUUGAGAAAAAUGCAGAGAAAUUUUUUUUUUUUUUUUGGAAGUUGCAAGGUGGAUUUCACCUAUUAUUGUUAUUUUUAUUCUUUUGAAACACACUUUUUUUUUUUUUUUUUUUUUUUUUUUUUUUUUUUUUUGCUAGGCAUAACUUCACUGCAAAAUAAUUAUUUACAUUUUCUCAAACAUAAAUAGGUGAUGGAAUUUGUAAGAUAUUGGGUAAUACUCCAAAUCGGAGUGGGUCAAGAUGAUAAGUUAAACAAAAAAAAGUUUUUUUUUUUUUUUAAAAGGCUCAAAGGGGUAACUAUGGAUAUUUAUAAAGGGAUGGCUAGAAAGGCUCAAACGGAUCAAAGAUGGCCUUUCCAUCGUCUUUUAGGGCUCUAAAUAAUUCCAUAUCUACUAGUUAGAUGGGCCUCCCAAUGUAGCAACACACACUUUUUUUUUUUUUUUUUUUAAGGCUUAACUCAAAGAAAUCUAGAGAUCGUGUAUACAAUAAUAAACUGUAAGCAUUAUAAAGAAUGGGCAAAAGGGUUACUCUCCAAAAAAAUGAUAGGCUCAAAACUCACUUGGUACUUAUUAUAUGACAUGUUCAUUCCUUCAAGCAACUCAUAUUUGUCUCCGACAUCAACAUGUAGAGUAGCAAACAUAAUGUAACAUCACUUAAGACCAAAGAUAAUACAAAUACUAAAAUUUUGAAAUUAAUCAUGUCAUCUAAAGUUAAAACAAAUCACACAAUUUUUUUUUUUUUUUUUUAAACAACAUUCUACCCCCAACCUAUUCUAAACAUGAAAGGAAAAUAUGCAUGCAGAAAUGUGAAAAUGAUGCAUAAAAACUUAAUUAGAAAAGUUACAGUAAAUAAUAGAAAAAGAAAAUGAAAUUUUGUUUUUUUUUUUUUAUUUUUUUUUUAAACGAUGAAGAUGCGUUUCUAGAGGCACUACACUCCAUAUUCAGCCAUCUUCGACUCAAAAGUUGGAAAAUAUAUAUUUAUAAGGAGAAAUUAAAAAGAAGAAGAAAAAUGAACAUCAAAACAUAAUAAAGAAAAAGAAAAUGUUUGAAUUUUUUUGUUUUUUUUUAGUUUUUUUAGUUUUUUAAUUUUUUUUUUUUUUUAAACGAUGAAGAUGCGUUUCUAGAGUCACUACACUCCAUAUUCAGCCAUCUUCAACACAAAAAGUUAGCAACAGUUAGUUUCUACAACAAAAAAUCAGUAAAAAACUUAACCAAGAUUCCACAAUUGUCGACUAUUCCCUCCCCCAACCAGAACGAAACAUUGUCCUCAAUGUUUAAAAAUAAAAAAGACAAACACGAAUAUUUACAGCGGAGAGUUAAAUCUAAUUUGUACUUCUUACUGCGGCUACUGUUACCAUCAUUAUUUGGUCGCUCCAACACAAAGGUCCAGGGGUCUGGCUCCGGUUUAUAAGCUUGUAACAUAUCAAGUAGCUCAUUAGCAGUGUGAGCACAAAUAAAAAAGUUUUUUACAUUAGAAGGAAUGAAAUAGUUUUUUAUUGCAUGGUUAAGAAAUGCGAUAAAGCCAUCAUAAAAGUUAUUGACAUUUAACAAACCGAUGGGUUUCUGGUGGAUGUGCAGAUGGGCCAAGAUGCUAGUGUCAUAAGUGCCUCUAGUGUUGCAAGAUCUCCUGAAGGAAAAUAAAAGCAUCAGCAUGAUUAAGCAUUUCAGUUAUUCUUUCUUGCAUACCUGAGACGACUUAACUCUUCUCCAGUUGAUGAGUCAGACGAACUGCCCAAUGGUUUUAGGACUCUUGGGAUGAUGCCUAACACUUGACUUCCUCUGAUAAAAGCGCUUCUGAGACCAUUUUUGAUAACCUCGGUUACCUCUCCAUACACCAAAUGUAAUUUUCUCGCUGCUAUGCUUCGACCAAGAUCUAUGCUGCCUCCACGAACUCUUUAUGUUUGCCAUAGGUAAAUCCAGAAAGCACACAAAUGUUCUUGAAUUGUCUAUUGGGAGUAGCUGCCAUUGUGAUACUUCUCAAAAAUAAUUUGUGAGUGCUUGACAAAAGAUAAAUCACAUUUAAAAUCUUGGUGACAAUGGAUCACAGCUGUGAAUGAGGUAACAUGUCAGUGUCAAAUAACGCGUAAAGCACGUGGCUCGCGAGUCAAAAAGGAAACAGUAAAAAGGAAAAAGCAAACAGUAAUAAAAUUAUUAAAGACAAUAAUGCAAACAAUAAAACAACAGUGAAAUGAAAAAAUAACAGUAAAGUAAAGGAUAUUUACACGUAGUUGCGACUGUGGCUCACAUCUUCCUCUGGUUUUACGUCCAGAAACGGCUUGAACGCCCUCUUGGGUCGAGGAUGGGCUUCCCAUCCAGUUUUCUUAUAAACUGGCAAACAGGGUCGUUUAUAGUCAGAUUCCCGAGACUAUAUCGUGCAUGCUCUUUCUGGAAUAAUGGCCAUAACUGGAGAAUCGCUCCUUGCACAUAUCCACUGGGAUGCGUUUCAAGAGACAAAAGGAUAUCAUCCAAUGACUCCUUAUUCAAGCCAUCCCUAAUGAAUUGAAUCUUAUCUUCCCUGUUAUCAGACACCAUUCCUAAAGAACAUGGGUUUCUAUCGCAACUCAUUCUGGCACACAACAGAAAUUCUUCGAGCUCGUCGUUUUCUUGCAUAAUUUCCUUUACCACAACCAGGCAUGUAUGCAAUAAAUUUAGGAGGUAACUCACCUGCCAAUCGUACUUUAGCCUCGAUUAACCAACGGAUGUCUGCAGGUAUGUUAUUCUCAUGAGCAAUCGCAUGCGUUCAGACCGGGCUUUAUAGAUCGUAAGGAGGGCAUUCUGAGGAAGUGAAGGGAAUCGCUUGUGAAGCUUCGCUAGAAUCUCGUUUCUGUCCAUACUUCGCCUCAGAAUAUCAGUUAUUAUGGGAAACUGAAGUAACCGACUUGAUUGUCACGGAGUACCGUUAUCCGCCACUUCACCGGGGUAACAAACUAAAGCACACAAACAGAAAAACAAAAAACACAAAAGAAAAUUAAAAUCGUCCUCUUAUUGAAUUUACCUCAAGCUCCAACUGGAUGUCGUAAACACUUCUCUCAAUGUCUCUGAGUUGGCGUUCUAAACCCUCAACAUAGGCUACUAACUCUGGUGGUUGUAGAGCCCAAAUGCGAUGUGUUUUACAAAAUUGAAUCUGCCUUUUGAGAUGAGUUUUGACACGUUGAAGUGGUUUAAGAAUGUUCAGGAGGAACGGUCUAAGUAAGGUACUCAUGAUUAAAAAUGAUAAGAGAAAACUUAAUAGUAAAAAAACACACUUAUGCAAAAAUAAACACACUUAUGCAAAAACAAUUUCAAUUAGCAAAGAAUAAUAAUAAAAAGAAAUAAAGAAAAUCAAAUUAACGAAAAGAGAAAAAAAAAUCAAUUCAAAUUUAGUGGGUCACUCAAAUUUAUUUCGAUGUUUUCUCCAUGUGGUUGGUACUCUAGAUAUGGCUUUAAUCUUUGACCAUUAACUUUAUACGUGACACCGUUCUUUGGGUCCUUAAUUUCAAUUGCCCCAUGUGGAAAAACAGUAUGUACAAUAAAUGGGCCAGACCAACGAGAGCGUAACUUACCUGGGAAUAGGUGCAAGCGAGAAUUGAAUAAAAGCACUUUCUGACCUGGAGUGAACGAUUUUCUCAUAAUUUGCUUAUCAUGGAAGACUUUCAUUCGUUGCUUGUAAAUCUUGGCAUUUUCGUAUGCAUCAUUGCGAAUUUCUUCAAGUUCUGCCAGCUGUAAUCUUCUUUCUGAGCUGGCUUGCUGCAUGUCAAAGUUGAAUUUCUUGAUGGCCCAAUAUGCACGAUGCUCGAGUUCCACAGGUAGGUGGCAAGCUUUUCCAUACACUAGCCUGUAGGGUGACAUCCCAAUCGGGGUCUUGAAAGCCGUUCUAUAUGCCCAUAAUGCAUCAUCAAGUCGUAAUGACCAAUCUUUCCUGUCUGGCCUCACCGUCUUUUCUAAUAUGUGCUUUAUUUCUCGAUUGGAGAUCUCAACUUGGCCACUGGUUUGCGGAUGAUACGGGGUCGCCACUUUGUGUGUGAUUGAAUACUUUGUCAAAAGAGCCUUGAAUGCUUUGUUACAAAAGUGGGCACCACCAUCACUGAUUAUCGCUCGAGGGAAUCCAAAGCGCGAAACAAUAUUGCUUUUCAAAAAUCCUAUCACCACUUUGUGAUCAUUGGUUCUGCAUGGAAUUGCUUCCACCCAUUUCGAUACGUAGUCAACACCAACCAAUAUGUAUUGAUGGCCAAAAGAAGGGGGAAAGGGUCCCAUGAAGUCGAUACCCCAUACGUCAAAAAUCUCAACCACUAAAAUUGGAUUUAGUGGCAUCAUGUUCCUUCGUGUAAUGCUCCCCAUUCGUUGACACCUAUCACAUGAAGAACAGAAAGUGUAAGCAUCUCGAAAUAUAGUUGGCCAAUAGAAACCACAUUGUAAAACUUUAGUCGCUGUUUUCUUAGCACUGAAAUGGCCUCCACAAGCUUGUUCAUGGCAGAAUGAAAGGAUAUUCUGAAUUUCACUUUCAGGGACACAUCGUCUAACAAUUUGGUCUGCACAAUACUUGAACAAAUAUGGGUCAUCCCAAAAGAAAUUCUUUAUUUCCGCAAAGAAUUUAGCCUUGUCUUGCUUGGUCCAAUGCUCUGGAAGCUUACCUGUAACAAGAUAAUUAACUAUAUCAGCAUACCAAGGUAAUACUUCCACACUCAUUAAUUGUUCAUCUGGAAAUGACUCAUUUAAUAUUAAUGGCUCUGUAAUUGUGUCAAAAUGGAGACGAGAGAGGUGGUCCGCCACAACAUUUUCUGUCCCUUUCUUAUCUUUGAAUUCCAAGUCAAAUUCUGCAAAAGUAACACCCAACGAAUUAGUCUAGCUUUUGCAUCUUUCUUUGUGAGAAGAUAUUUAAGAGCAGCAUGAUCUGUGAAUAUAAUUAUUUUACAACCAAUGAGAUAAGAUCGAAAUUUUUUCCAAUGCAAACACUACUGCUAGCAUUUCUUUUUCAGUAGUUGAAUAAUUCAACUGUGCAUCAUUCAAGGUCAUACUAGCAUAGUAAAUAACGUUGGGAAUUCGAUCAACUCUUUGUCCUAAUACUGCUCCUACUGCAUAAUCAGAUGCAUCACACAUGAGCUCAAAUGGUAAGCUCCAGUUUGGGGCCUGAAUGAUGGGUGAUGAUGUCAACAAUUGCUUUAAUUUUUCAAAAGCCAUAAGACAUGAAUCAUUAAAGAUAAAAGGUACAUCCUUAGCAAGUAAAUUGCAUAAGGGUCUAGAAACUUUGCUAAAAUCUUUAAUGAAACGUCUAUAGAAACCAGCAUGCCCAAGGAAAGAUCUUACUUCUCUGACUGUUUUAGGUGGAGGAAGAUUAGAAAUGAGAUCCACCUUGGCUUUGUCAACCUCAAUACCUUUGCUCGAAAUGAUGUGACCGAGAACAAUACCUUGUUUUACCAUAAAAUGGCACUUCUCCCAAUUUAAGACUAAGCUCUUCUCGGUACAUCUCUGCAGAACUAGCGUUAGAUGAUGUAAACAUUGAUCAAACGAGUCACCAAAGACAGAAAAAUCAUCCAUAAAGACUUCAAGGAAUCGUUCAACCAUAUCAGAAAAAAUGCUCAACAUGCAUCGUUGAAAUGUAGCAGGUGCAUUACAUAAUCCAAAUGGCAUUCUCCUAUAUGCAAAUGUGCCAAAGGGCAAGUGAAAGUAGUUUUCUCUUGAUCUUUUGGUGCUAUGGGAAUCUGAUUAUAUCCUGAGUAGCCAUCUAGAAAGCAAUAAAAUUCAUGGCCUGCUAAUCUAUCAAGCAUUUGAUCAAUAAAUGGUAAAGGAAAAUGGUCUUUACGUGUGACAGAAUUCAACUUUCUAUAAUCAAUGCAUACACGCCAUCCUGUAGUUACUCUAGUUGGUAUCAAUUCAUUAUCAGCAUUGGUAACUACUGUGACUCCUGACUUUUUGGGGACAACUUGUACAGGACUGACCCAUGAACUAUCAGAAAUUGGGUAAAUGAUACCUGCAUCUAAUAGCUUAAGGACUUCAGUUCUAACAACUUCUUUCAUGUUAGGAUUUAACCGACGUUGCAUCUCCCUAGUAGUUUUAGCAUUUUCAUCAAGGUGAAUGUAAUGCAUACAGUCUACUGGGUUUAUACCUUUAAUGUCUGCUAUGGUCCAUCCUAAUGCUCCUUUGUGCUCUUUUAAAACAUCCAACAACUUACCUUUUUGUUCGUCAUUUAGGGAUGAUGAGAUGAUUACCGGCAGAGUACUUUCUUCUCCCAAAAAUGCAUAUUCCAGAGUGUUGGGUAAUGGUUUGAGCUCGAGUUUCGGGUGGUGAUUCUGAUGAUGGAAUGAGUUUCUUCUCUGAUGGUGCUAGUUGUUCAACUCUUGACUUCCAUUUAUUAGUGUCCAUGGAUGGUGCUGAGUCAAGCAGGGCGUUGACCUCAUCGACCGAUCUAUCAAUAUCAAAAUCCAAACCAAAGUGAGUUAAGCAUGUCUGUAAAGGAUCAUCACUAAGGUUUGAAAGAAAAGUAUUAUCAACUAUUGUUUCUAUUAAAUCCACAUCAACAAUUCCAUCAUCUGCACUGUGAGGUUGUUUGGCAAUGUUGAAAAUAUUUAGCUCCAUAGUCAUGUUGCCGAAGGACAACUGCAUAUUUCCAGUCCUGCAUUGAAUGUGAGCAUCCGCAGUCGCCAAGAAAGGUCGGCCUAGAAUAAUGGGGAUGUGCUUCCUUGAAUCCUGUAUUGGUUGAGUGUCAAUUACAAUGAAAUCAACAGGAAAAUAAAACUUGUCUACCUGGAUAAGCACGUCCUCCAUAAUACCACGAGGUAUUUUCGUGGACCGAUCUGCAAGCUGUAACACCACUGGAGUUGGGUGUAAUUCUCCAGUCCAAGUUUCACGAAUACUGAAUAAGGCAACAGAUUUACACUAGCUCCUAAAUCCAACAACGCAUUCUCAAUUGUGUGGUUUCCCUAUACUACAUGAGAUAGUGGGGGAGCCUGGGUCUUUGCAUUUUAGAGGAAUUUUAUGUUGGAGUAUAGAACUAACAUUUUCUGUUAAAAAUGCCUUCUUUUGAACAUGCAUAUUUCUCUUUUUAGUACAAAGGUCUUUAAGAAACUUGGCAUAAGAUGGAACUUGUUUAAUAGCAUCAAGUAAAGGGAUGUUAACACUUACCUGUUUGAAGAUUUCGAGAAUCUCACCUGUGGAUUUUCCCUUUUUCCCUUUAGCUAACCUCUGAGGAAAUGGAGCUUUCGGAACGUAUUCUCGUGGGUUGGUUUCUUCUUUCUCCUCCGGUGGUGAGUCUUCAACAUUCACAGGUACAAUUUGAUUUUCUUUUGUCACCGGCAUCUCCACUUUGUUGUCGACUUCCUUUCCUUUUCGCAAGGUCAUGACUGCUUUGACCUCUCCAUGCUGUUGUGGUGAACUGGUACUUGCUUCAUGUACUCCUUUAGGAUUAGGCACUGGUUGACUUGGAAAUUUUCCUUUCUCAACAGUCAUUGCCAAGGUCUGAACUGAAGAAGCAAGUUGUCCCACCAUCUUCUCGAGGCUUGAAACUGAUUGAGCUUGUGAGUUGAAGCCUGCUCUCAACUCAUUUCGUAGUCCAUCAAUGGUGCGGUUCUGUUGCUCAAUCGUGGAGUGAGUAACAUUCUUGAAAUUCUGGAAUGCAUCCUCCCAUGGUCUGGGUUGAGAGUAGUUCUGGUUCUGAUUGUAUGGUCUGAAUGGUGGCUGAGAGGCUUGAGGAUUUUGAGGAAUUUGUUGCAUUGGUGGAGCUGGAGCUGCUGGUCCAUUCUGUUGGAAUCCUUGAGACCAUGAAAUAUUGGGGUGGUCUCUCCAUCCAGGGUUAUAUGUGUUGGAGUAUGGGUUGUAAUUCGAUGGUUUUCUCAUUACACCUAUGGCAUUGGCUUGAUCGGAGUAUGAGUCAUGGUCAUGUGGUUCUGUUGAUUUAGCAGUCGAUAACGAUGCUAUUUGUCGAGCGAGACCUUCAACCAUCUCCUUGACUUCUUUGAUUCCCGAAGUUGACUCGCCAAUUUGAACCUCAUUUACUCCCUUAAUUCUUCUAGUAUUCCUUAGUGAUCGACUCCGUUGUUGGGAAUUAUCCGCUUGUCGUUGGAAGAAUUCCCAAAUUUCUGAUGCACUUUUUGACAUUAGCUCUCCUCCACUUGUUGCCAUUAGCCAUUCUUGCACAUUCGGUAGUAAUCCCUCCAAAAAGUAUUGGCAUUGGUGCCAUUUUUCGUACCAUGAUGUGGACACUUCAAGAGUAGCCCAUUGAAUCGCUCCCAAGUUUCGAAAAACUGCUCGUCCUCUCUUUGUGUAAACUCUGAAAUUUCCCUGCGAAUAGAAUUGGUUUUAUGCUGGGAAAUUUUAUUCAAAAAUUUAGUUACCAUUUGUUCCCAUGAUGAAAUGCUAUUAGCAGGCAACGUAUUUAACCAUGAACGAGCUCUAUCCUUUAAAGAAAAUGGGAAUAGUCUGAGUUUAACAUCAUCGUCUGAAAAAUUUUCAUAUUUAAAAGUUUGACAAAUGGUAUGAAAAUCAUUCAGAUGAUUAUAUGGGUCCUCAUUUUCUAAGCCAUAGAAUGUGGGGAGACAUUUAGCACACUAGGUUUUAGUUCAAAGUUCCUAGCAGCUACAUUUGGGUAUCUAAUACAUGAUGUGCUUAAAUUAGCUAAGGGACUAAAAUAGUCCUUAAAUGGCCUCUCCUGUGGUGCUUGUAAAUCCAUUCCAAUUUUUUUUUAAUGUGUUUUUGUGUGCGAAGUGUUUUUUCUAAUUCAAGGUCUAUAGGUUCAAGAUUAGGUAAUAAUGACCUACGACCAUGCAUGCAAAAUAAAAUGAAAUAAAAAAAAGAUGCAAACAAAACAAAAAUAAAGAUGGGAACAAAACAAAUUAAAAUAAAUAAGAGGGAGAAAUUACGAUACUAACCUUAUUGCGCUAUUACAACCUUUCUAUAAAAAUACACAAAAACAAAUACGUGAAAUAAAUUAACUAAAAAUUAAAUUAAUAAAAUAACAAAAAUUACAAAGAAAAAAAAUAAAUUGAAAAUUAAAUUACAGAAUUUUAAAGAAGAAAAAAGAAAGAAAUACUAACCUUUAAAUGUAGAUUUACUCUUUUUUUUUCUUUUUUUUUUUAAUAAGAAAAAAAAAUACAAGAAAACAAAUAAAAGAAAUUAUUCACAAAAAUUAAUUUUAUGAAUUAAAAUUACUUACCUCCCCGGCAACGGCGCCAAAAACUUGUUGUGCAAAUUUUAAUGUACUCGCAAGCGCACGAAUCUAUUGUAAUAUAGACUAAUGGUGACGAGUGUCGAUCCCACGAGGAGGUGGAUUUUAAUUGUGUAUAAAAUUAAUUUUGUAAAUGGGUGAUUGGAUUUGUGGUGGAAAUGAUUUGGAAUAUGCUAAAACUUAAAUUAAAAUGGCGAGAAUAAAUUGAAGAGAAUUCUAUUGAAAUGACGUACUUGGGUAUCUGGAUCCGUAUCAACAUGCAUCAUGGGCUAAAUAUUCCUUAUUAAUACCAAUUAAAUCAUGAGGGGGGAAUCCACACUCAUGAACCACGCUCUAAUCAAUAUGGUGCUAAGGGCUUUAUCGUGCCAAAUAAUAUAACCUUAUACCAGAGAGCCGGUGUAACCAAGGCGGUAUCUAGACAAGAUCAGUAUUAUUUGUCGACGAUAAGUCAAAUCAUCCACAAAAACUAGAGGGGAAAAGAAAAUAAAUUUACCAAAUAAAGCCCAUGACACAUGUUGAGACUUCACCUUCAACCCAAGCUUGAAAAGAAAUUAGCUACUCAUAAUUGAACUAGGGGCAAAAAGGGAAUUUAUUAAAAUACAAAGAAAAUACAAGAUGGAGAAGGAAUUACAGAAAAUGGAUCCCAAAAAUGGAUUCAGAGAUAUCAAAUUCGGGGGGAGAGGCCCCCUUUUUAUAGAUACAUGGAGUAAAUCAUGGCCAUCGGAUUAAAAACAGUUUGGACGCUCAGGAUUGCGCCACGUCAUCAGUCAACAGUCCACGGUUUGACCACGCGGAUGAACAGUAACACGGUUUGACCCGGAUGAACAGUAACGCGGUUUGGUUGAAAAUAAUCCUGUGUGAUGCAUGCACCGUACACGAGAUUUUUCGUCCACUGAUAUGCUGCCACGUCACCAUUAACAGUACAUAAGAAUUUUAGCCCAACAGGAUCGUGACACCUCAUCAGUCAAUGCCACAUCAUCGGUCAAUGCCACGUCAUCGGUCAAUGCCACGUCAUCGAUCCGUCUAUGUGAACAGUGUCGUGAACAGUAACGUAGACAGUACCGUACGUGAAUAGUACCGUACAUGUGAAUAGUGCCAUUUUUCCUUUUAUGCUCCUCCUAAGGUUUUCGACCGUCCUGAGUUCAAAAGUGAUGUCCGUUUUGCCGUCUGAUCUCUCCUUUAUUGUGAAAUGACUAUACUGCCCCUAAAAUACAUAAAAUACUUAAUUAAAAUAACACACACGUAAUUACAUCACAAGAAGGUUAAAUACAUAAAAGUAAGGGUUGUUAGUAAGACUUGAAAUGUAAAAUGACGGUUUUCUCCUUUAUAAAUAUGUAUUUUCUAACACUCAACACACCCCCCAACCAGCUUAUUGCUAGUCCCUAGCAAAUAAAGCGAAAACAAAAUUCAAAUUCAAAAUGAUUUUUUUUUUUUUUUUUUUUAGAAACACUCGUGUUUAUUCAAUCAGAUUAAUGAUAGCAAUCAAAUAAAAGUAUAAGCAUUAUCUCCAGUCUAAAGCAACAUCACACCCACAUCAACCAUCCACAUGAAUUAGCCCAGUAGACUUUGUUAUAGCUACUUUCAAGAAUGACAUGUCAAACCCCAAAAUCUCACUGGAAGUAGUGACACUCUCACAAAGAAAUUAAAACCCAAUAAACAUAGUCACUCCAAUGAAUGGUAAUUGAGAGAGAAAAUAAUAAAGAAAUGAUAUCACAUGCUCUCACCAAGAUUAAAUAAAUAUGCCCUCAGCUUAGAAAUAAUACGAUCUCAAGUCAAAUAAAAUGUUAGUCAACCCACUUUAUUUAUCUUUUUUUUUUUUAAUUAUGCAUCACUACAUCUUUUUAGCCCAUAUAACUAGCUUCUACUUCAAACUAUAGUUCCCUAAAAUCAAGAAGGACUUUUAUUAGGACGUAACGUAGGCUAGGGAUAUGGCUAACAAAGAAGGGAAAUAAGGAAAACAAAGUGUAUGUUUGAGAAAAAUGCAGAGAAUAUUUUUUUUUUUUUUUUUGGAAGUUGCAAGGUGGAUUUCACCUAUUAUUGUUAUUUUUAUUCUUUUGAAACAACAAUUUUUUUUUUUUUUUUUUUUUUUCAGCAACAACAAUUUUUUCUUUUUUUUUUUUUGAACUAGGCAUAACUUCACUAUGCAAAAUGUUUAUUUACAUUUUUCUCAAACAUAAAUAGGUGAUGGAAUUUGUAAGAUAUUGGGUAAUACUCCAAAUCGGAGUGGGUCAAGAUGAUAAGUUAAACAAAGAAAAGUUUUUUUUUUUUUUUAUUUAAAAGGCUCAAAUGGGUUAACUAUGGAUACUUGAUAAGAGGGAUGGCUAGAAAGGCUCAAACGGAUCAAAGAUGGCCUUUCCAUCGUCUUUUAGGGCUCUAAAUAAUCAUCCAUAUCUACUAGUUAGAUGGGCCUCCCAAUGUAGCAACACACACAUUUUUUUUUUUUUUUUUUUUUAAGGCUUAACUCAAAAGAAAUCUAGAGAUCGUGUAUACAAUAAUAAACUGUUAAGCAUUAUAAAGAAUGGGCAAAAGGGUUACUCUCCAAGAAAAAUGAUAGGCUCAAAAACUCACUUGGUACUUAUUAUGACAUGUUCAUUCCUUCAAGCAACUCAUAUUUGUCUCCGACAUCAACAUGUAGAGUAGCAAACAUAAUGUAACAUCACUUAAGACCAAAGAUAAUACAAAUACUAAAAUUUGAAAUUAAUCAUGUCAUCUAAAGUUAAAACAAAUCACACAAUUUUUUCUUUUUUUUUUUUAAACAACAUUCUACCCCCCAACCUAUUCUAAACAUGAAAGGAAAAUAUGCAUGCAGAAAUGUGAAAAUGAUGCAUAAAAACUAAUUAGAAAAGUUACACGUAAAAUGAUAGAAAACGAAAAUGAAAUUUUGUUUUUUUUUUUUUUAAUUUUUUUUUAAACGAUGAAGAUGUUUCUAGAGGCACUACACUCCAUAUUCAGCUAUCUUCGACUCAAAAGUUGGAAAAUAUAUAUUUAUAAGGAGAAAUUAAAAAGAAGAAGAAAAAUGAACAUCAAAACAUAAUAAAGAAAAAGAAAAUGUUUGAAUUUUUGUUUUUUUUAGUUUUUUAGUUUUUUAAAUUUUUUUUUUUUUUAAACGAUGAAGAUGCGUUUCUAGAGUCACUACACUCCAUAUUCAGCCAUCUUCAACACAAAAAGUUAGCAACAGUUAGUUUCUACAACAAAAAAUCAGUAAAAACUUAACCAAGAUUCCACAAUUGUCGACUAUUCCCCUCAACCAGAACGAAACAUUGUCCUCAAUGUUUUAAAGGAAAGAAGUAGAGUUUAGAAGACAUCACCUGGGUGGUGCAACACAAAAGAUAUAUUUACAGGCGGAGAGUUAAAUCUAAUUUGUACUUCUUACUGCGGCUACUGUUACCAUCAUUAUUUGGGCGCUCCAACACAAAGGUCCAGGGGUCUGGCUCCGGUUUAUAAGCUUGUAACAGAUCAAGUAGUUCAUUAGCAGUGUGAGCACAAAUAAAAAGUUUUUUUACAUUAGAAGGAAUGAAAUAGUUUUUUAUUGCAUGGUUAAGAAAUGCGAUAAAGCCAUCAUAAAAGUUAUUGACAUUUAACAAACCGAUGGGUUUCUGGUGGAUGUGCAGAUGGGCCCAAGAUGCUAGUGUCAUAAGUGCCUCUAGUGUUGCAAGAUCCUGGAAGGAAAAUAAAAGCAUCAGCAUGAUUAAGCAUUUCAGUUAUUCUUUCUUGCAUACCUGAGACGACUAACUCUUCUCCAGUUGAUGAGUCAGACGAACUGCCCAAUGGUUUUAGGACUCUUGGGAUGAUGCCUAACACUUGACUUCCUCUGAUAAAAGCUGCUUCUGAGACCAUUUUUGAUAACCCUCGGUUACCUCCUCCAUACACCAAAUGUAAUUUUCUCGCUGCUAUGCUUCGACCAAGAUCUAUGGCUGCCUCCACGAACUCUUUAUGUUUGCCAUAGGUAAAUCCAGAAAGCACACAAAUGUUCUUGAAUUGUCUAUUGGGAGUAGCUGCCAUUGUGAUACUUCUCAAAAAUAAUUUGUGAGUGCUUGACAAAAGAUAAAUCACAUUUAAGAAUCUUGGUGACAAUGGAUCACAGCUGUGAAUGAGGUAACAUGUCAGUGUCAAAUAACGCGUAAAGCACGUGGCUCGCGAGUCAAAAAGGAAACAGUAAAAAGGAAAAAGCAAACAGUAAUAAAAUUAUUAAAGACAAUAAUGCAAACAAUAAAACAACAGUGAAAUGAAAUAAAAUAACAGUAAAGUAAAAGGAUAUUUACACGUAGUUGCGACUGUGGCUCACAUCUUCCUCUGGUUUUACGUCCAGAACGGCUUGAACGCCCUCUAUGGGUCGAGGAUGGGCUUCCCAUCCAGUUUUCUUAUAAACUGGCAAACAGGGUCGUUUAUAGUCAGAUUCCCGAGACGAUAUCGUGCAUGCUCUUUUUGGAAUAAUGGCCUUAACUGGAGAAUCGCUCCUUGCACAUAUCCACUGGGAUGCGUUUCAAGAGACAAAAGGAUAUCAUCCAAUGACUCCUUAUUCAAGCCAUCCCUAAUGAAUUGAAUCUUAUCUUCCCUGUUAUCAGACACCAUUCCUAAAGAACAUGGGUUUCUAUCGCAACUCAUUCUGGCACACUUGUGACAAGCAACAGAAAUUCUUCGAGCUCGUCGUUUUCUUGCGUAAUUUCCUUUACCACAACCAGGCAUGUAUGCAAUAAAUUUAGGAGGUAACUCACCUGCCAAUCGUACUUUAGCCUCGAUUAACCAACGGAUGUCUGCAGGUAUGUUAUUCCUCAUGAGCAAUCGCAUGCGUUCAGACCGGGCUUUAUAGAUUGUAAGGAGGGCAUUCUGAGGAAGUGAAGGGAAUCGCUUGUGAAGCUUCGCUAGAAUCUCGUUUCUGUCCAUACCUUCGCCUCAGAAUAUCAGUUAUUAUGGGAACUGAAGUUAACCGACUUGAUUGUCACGGAGUACCGCCACUUCACCGGGGUAACAAACUAAAGCACACAAACAGAAAACAAAAAACACACAAAGAAAAUUAAAAUCGUCCUCUUAUUGAAUUUACCUCAAGCUCCAACUGGAUGUCGUAAACACUUCUCUCAAUGUCUCUGAGUUGGCGUUCUAAACCCCUCAACAUAGGCUACUAACUCUGGUGGUUGUAGAGCCCAAAUGCGUUGUGUUUUACAAAAUAGAAUCUGCCUUUUGAGAUGAGUUUUGACACGUUGAAGUGGUUUAAGAAUGUUCAGGAGGAACGGUCUAAGUAUGAGACUCAUGAUUAAAAAUGAUAAGAGAAAACUUAAUGGUAAAAUAAACACACUUAUGCAAAAACAAUUUCAAUUAGCAAAAGAAUAAUAAUAAAAAGAAAUAAAGAAAAAUCAAAUUAACGAAAAGAGAAAAAAAAAAUCAAUUCAAAUUUAGUGGGUCACUCAAAUUUAUUUCGAUGUUUUCUCCAUGUGGUUGGUACUCUAGAUAUGGCUUUAAUCUUUGACCAUUAACUUUAUACGUGACACCGUUCUUUGGUCCUUAAUUUCAAUUGCCCCAUGUGGAAAAACAGUAUGUACAAUAAAUGGGCCAGACCAACGAGAGCGUAACUUACCUGGGAAUAGGUGCAAGCGAGAAUUGAAUAAAAGCACUUUCUGACCUGGAGUGAACGAUUUUCUCAUAAUUUGCUUAUCAUGGAAGACUUUCAUUCGUUGCUUGUAAAUCUUGGCAUUUUCGUAUGCAUCAUUGCGAAUUUCUUCAAGUUCUGCCAGCUGUAAUCUUCUUUCUGAGCUGGCUUGCUGCAUGUCAAAGUUGAAUUUCUUGAUGGCCCAAUAUGCACGAUGCUCGAGUUCCACAGGUAGGUGGCAAGCUUUUCCAUACACUAGCCUGUAGGGUGACAUCCAAUCGGGGUCUUGAAAGCCGUUCUAUAUGCCCAUAAUGCAUCAUCAAGUCGUAAUGACCAAUCUUUCCUGUCUGGCCUCACCGUCUUUUCUAAUAUGUGCUUUAUUUCUCGAUUGGAGAUCUCAACUUGGCCACUGGUUUGCGGAUGAUACGGGGUCGCACUUUGUGUGUGAUUGAAUACUUUGUCAAAAGAGCCUUGAAUGCUUUGUUACAAAAGUGGGCACCACCAUCACUGAUUAUCGCUCGAGGGAAUCCAAAGCGCGAAACAAUAUUGCUUUUCAAAAAUCCUAUCACCACUUUGUGAUCAUUGGUUCUGCAUGGAAUUGCUUCCACCCAUUUCGAUACGUAGUCAACACCAACCAAUAUGUAUUGAUGGCCAAAAGAAGGGGGAAAGGGUCCCAUGAAGUCGAUACCCCAUACGUCAAAAAUCUCAACCACUAAAAUUGGAUUUAGUGGCAUCAUGUUCCUUCGUGUAAUGCUCCCCAUUCGUUGACACCUAUCACAUGAAGAACAGAAAGUGUAAGCAUCUCGAAAUAUAGUUGGCCAAUAGAAACCACAUUGUAAAACUUUAGUCGCUGUUUUCUUAGCACUGAAAUGGCCUCCACAAGCUUGUUCAUGGCAGAAUGAAAGGAUAUUCUGAAUUUCACUUUCAGGGACACAUCGUCUAACAAUUUGGUCUGCACAAUACUUGAACAAAUAUGGGUCAUCCCAAAAGAAAUUCUUUAUUUCCGCAAGAAUUUAGCCUUGUCUUGCUUGGUCCAAUGCUCUGGAAGCUUACCUGUAACAAGAUAAUUAACUAUAUCAGCAUACCAAGGUAAUACUUCCACACUCAUUAAUUGUUCAUCUGGAAAUGACUCAUUUAAUAUUAAUGGCUCUGUAAUUGUGUCAAAAUGGAGACGAGAGAGGUGGUCCGCCACAACAUUUUCUGUCCCUUUCUUAUCUUUGAAUUCCAAGUCAAAUUCCUGCAAAAGUAACACCCAACGAAUUAGUCUAGCUUUUGCAUCUUUCUUUGUGAGAAGAUAUUUAAGAGCAGCAUGAUCUGUGAAUAUAAUUAUUUUACAACCAAUGAGAUAAGAUCGAAAUUUUUCCAAUGCAAACACUACUGCUAGCAUUUCUUUUUCAGUAGUUGAAUAAUUAACUGUGCAUCAUUCAAGGUCAUACUAGCAUAGUAAAUAACGUUGGGAAUUCGAUCAACUCUUUGUCCUAAUACUGCUCCUACUGCAUAAUCAGAUGCAUCACACAUGAGCUCAAAUGGUAAGCUCCAGUUUUGGGGCCUGAAUGAUGGGUGAUGAUGUCAACAAUUGCUUUAAUUUUUCAAAAGCCAUAAGACAUGAAUCAUUAAAGAUAAAAGGUACAUCCUUAGCAAGUAAAUUGCAUAAGGGUCUAGAAACUUUGCUAAAAUCUUUAAUGAAACGUCUAUAGAAACCAGCAUGCCCAAGGAAAGAUCUUACUUCUCUGACUGUUUUAGGUGGAGGAAAGAUUAGAAAUGAGAUCCACCUUGGCUUUGUCAACCUCAAUACCUUUGCUCGAAAUGAUGUGACCGAGAACAAUACCUUGUUUUACCAUAAAAUGACACUUUCCCAUUUAAGACUAAGCUCUUCUCGGUACAUCUCUGCAGAACUAGCGUUAGAUGAUGUAAACAUUGAUCAAACGAGUCACCAAAGACAGAAAAAUCAUCCAUAAAGACUUCAAGGAAUUCAACCAUAUCAGAANGAUAAUUAACUAUAUCAGCAUACCAAGGUAAUACUUCCACACUCAUUAAUUGUUCAUCUGGAAAUGACUCAUUUAAUAUUAAUGGCUCUGUAAUUGUGUCAAAAUGGAGACGAGAGAGGUGGUCCGCCACAACAUUUUCUGUCCCUUUCUUAUCUUUGAAUUCCAAGUCAAAUUCCUGCAAAAGUAACACCCAACGAAUUAGUCUAGCUUUUGCAUCUUUCUUUGUGAGAAGAUUUUAAGAGCAGCAUGAUCUGUGAAUAUAAUUAUUUUACAACCAAUGAGAUAAGAUCGAAAUUUUUCCAAUGCAAACACUACUGCUAGCAUUUCUUUUCAGUAGUUGAAUAGUUCAACUGUGCAUCAUUCAAGGUCAUACUAGCAUAGUAAAUAACAUGGGAAUUCGAUCAACUCUUUGUCCUAAUACUGCUCCUACUGCAUAAUCAGAUGCAUCACACAUGAGCUCAAAUGGUAAGCUCCAGUUUGGGGCCUGAAUGAUGGGUGAUGAUCAACAAUUGCUUUAAUUUUUCAAAAGCCAUAAGACAUGAAUCAUUAAAGAUAAAAGGUACAUCCUUAGCAAGUAAAUUGCAUAAGGGUCUAGAAACUUUGCUAAAAUCUUUAAUGAAACGUCUAUAGAAACCAGCAUGCCAAGGAAAGAUCUUACUUCUCUGACUGUUUUAGGUGGAGGAAGAUUAGAAAUGAGAUCCACCUUGGCUUUGUCAACCUCAAUACCUUUGCUCGAAAUGAUGUGACCGAGAACAAUACCUUGUUUUACCAUAAAAUGACACUUCUCCCAAUUUAAGACUAAGUUCUUCUCGUACAUCUCUGCAGAACUAGCGUUAGAUGAUGUAAACAUUGAUCAAACGAGUCACCAAAGACAGAAAAUCAUCCAUAAAGACUUCAAGGAAUCGUUCAACCAUAUCAGAAAAAAUGCUCAACAUGCAUCGUUGAAAUGUAGCAGGUGCAUUACAUAAUCCAAAUGGCAUUCUCCUAUAUGCAAAUGUGCCAAAAGGGCAAGUGAAAGUAGUUUUCUCUUGAUCUUUUGGUGCUAUGGGAAUCUGAUUAUAUCCUGAGUAGCCAUCUAGAAAGCAAUAAAAUUCAUGGCCUGCUAAUCUAUCAAGCAUUUGAUCAAUAAAUGGUAAAGGAAAAUGGUCUUUACGUGUGACAGAAUUCAACUUUCUAUAAUCAAUGCAUACACGCCAUCCUGUAGUUACUCUAGUUGGUAUCAAUUCAUUAUCAGCAUUGGUAACUACUGUGACUCCUGACUUUUUGGGGACAACUUGUACAGGACUGACCCAUGAACUAUCAGAAAUUGGGUAAAUGAUACCUGCAUCUAAUAGCUUAAGGACUUCAGUUCUAACAACUUCUUUCAUAUUAGGAUUUAACCGACGUUGCAUUCCCUAGUAGUUUUAGCAUUUUCAUCAAGGUGAAUGUAAUGCAUGCAGUCUACUGGGUUUAUACCUUUAAUGUCUGCUAUGGUCCAUCCUAAUGCUCCUUUGUGCUCUUUUAAAACAUCCAACAACUUACCUUUUUGUUCGUCAUUUAGGGAUGAUGAGAUGAUUACCGGCAGAGUACUUUCUUCUCCCAAAAAUGCAUAUUCCAGAGUGUUGGGUAAUGGUUUGAGCUCGAGUUUCGGUGGUGAUUCUGAUGAUGGAAUGAGUUUCUUCUCUGAUGGUGCUAGUUGUUCAACUCUUGACUUCCAUUUAUUAGUGUCCAUGGAUGGUGCUGAGUCAAGCAGGGCGUUGACCUCAUCGACCGAUCUAUCAAUAUCAAAAUCCAAACCAAAGUGAGUUAAGCAUGUCUGUAAAGGAUCAUCACUAAGGUUUGAAAGAAAAGUAUUAUCAACUAUUGUUUCUAUUAAAUCCACAUCAACAAUUCCAUCAUCUGCACUGUGAGGUUGUUUGGCAAUGUUGAAAAUAUUUAGCUCCAUAGUCAUGUUGCCGAAGGACAACUGCAUAUUUCCAGUCCUGCAUUGAAUGUGAGCAUCCGCAGUCGCCAAGAAAGGUCGGCCUAGAAUAAUGGGGAUGUGCUUCCUUGAAUCCUGUAUUGGUUGAGUGUCAAUUACAAUGAAAUCAACAGGAAAAUAAAACUUGUCUACCUGGAUAAGCACGUCCUCCAUAAUACACGAGGUAUUUUCGUGGACCGAUCUGCAAGCUGUAACACCACUGGAGUUGGGUGUAAUUCUCCCAGUCCAAGUUUCACGAAUACUGAAUAAGGCAACAGAUUUACACUAGCUCCUAAAUCCAACAAACGCAUUCUCAAUUGUGUGGUUCCCUAUACUACAUGAGAUAGUGGGGGAGCCUGGGUCUUUGCAUUUUAGAGGAAUUUUAUGUUGGAGUAUAGAACUAACAUUUUCUGUUAAAAAUGCCUUCUUUUGAACAUGCAUAUUUCUCUUUUUAGUACAAAGGUCUUUAAGAAACUUGGCAUAAGAUGGAACUUGUUUAAUAGCAUCAAGUAAAGGGAUGUUAACACUUACCUGUUUGAAGAUUUCGAGAAUCUCACCUGUGGAUUUUCCCUUUUUCCCUUUAGCUAACCUCUGAGGAAAUGGAGCUUUCGGAACGUAUUCUCGUGGGUGGUUUCUUCUUUCUCCUCCGGUGGUGAGUCUUCAACAUUCACAGGUACAUUUGAUUUUCUUUUGUCACCGGCAUCUCCACUUUGUUGUCGACUUCCUUUCCUUUUCGCAAGGUCAUGACUGCUUUGACCUCUCCAUGCUGUUGUGGUGAACUGGUACUUGCUUCAUGUACUCCUUUAGGAUUAGGCACUGGUUGACUUGGAAAUUUUCCUUUCUCAACAGUCAUUGCCAAGGUCUGAACUGAAGAAGCAAGUUGUCCCACCAUCCUUCUCGAGGCUUGAAACUGAAUUGAGCUUGUGAGUUGAAGCCUGCUCUCAACUCAUUUCGUAGUCCAUCAAUGGUGCGGUUCUGUUGCUCAAUCGUGGAGUGAGUAACAUUCUUGAAAUUCUGGAAUGCAUCCUCCAUGGUCUGGGUUGAGAGUAGUUCUGGUUCUGAUUGUAUGGUCUGAAUGGUGGCUGAGAGGCUUGAGGAUUUUGAGGAAUUUGUUGCAUUGGUGGAGCUGGAGCUGCUGGUCCAUUCUGUUGGAAUCCUUGAGACCAUGAAAUAUUGGGGUGGUCUCUCCAUCCAGGGUUAUAUGUGUUGGAGUAUGGGUUGUAAUUCGAUGGUUUUCUCAUUACACCUAUGGCAUUGGCUUGAUCGGAGUAUGAGUCAUGGUCAUGUGGUUCUGUUGAUUUAGCAGUCGAUAACGAUGCUAUUUGUCGAGCGAGACCUUCAACCAUCUCCUUGACUUCUUUGAUUCCCGAAGUUGACUCGCCAAUUUGAACCUCAUUUACUCCCUUAAUUCUUCUAGUAUUCCUUAGUGAUCGACUCCGUUGUUGGGAAUUAUCCGCUUGUCGUUGGAAGAAUUCCCAAAUUUCUGAUGCACUUUUUGACAUUAGCUCUCCUCCACUUGUUGCCAUUAGCCAUUCUUGCACAUUCGGGUAGUAAUCCCUCCAAAAAGUAUUGGCAUUGGUGCCAUUUUUUCGUACCCAUGAUGUGGACACUUCAAGAGUAGCCCAUUGAAUCGCUCCCAAGUUUCGAAAAACUGCUCGUCCUCUCUUUGUGUAAACUCUGAAAUUUCCCUGCGAAUAGAAUUGGUUUUAUGCACUGGGAAAUAUUUAUUCAAAAAUUUAGUUACCAUUUGUUCCCAUGAUGAAAUGCUAUUAGCAGGCAACGUAUUUAACCAUGAACGAGCUCUAUCCUUUAAAGAAAAUGGGAAUAGUCUGAGUUUAACAUCAUCGUCUGAAAAAUUUUCAUAUUUAAAAGUUUGACAAAUGGUAUGAAAAUCAUUCAGAUGAUUAUAUGGGUCCUCAUUUUCUAAGCCAUAGAAUGUGGGGAGACAAUUUAGCACACUAGGUUUUAGUUCAAAGUUCCUAGCAGCUACAUUUGGGUAUCUAAUACAUGAUGUGCUUAAAUUAGCUAAGGGACUAAAAUAGUCCUUAAAUGGCCUCUCCUGUGGUGCUUGUAAAUCCAUUCCAAUUUUAUUUUUAAUGUGUUUUUGUGUGCGAAGUGUUUUUUCUAAUUCAAGGUCUAUAGGUUCAAGAUUAGGUAAUAAUGACCUACGACCAUGCAUGCAAAAUAAAAUGAAAAUAAAAAUAAAGAUGCAAACAAAACAAAAAAUAAAGAUGGGAACAAAACAAAUUAAAAUAAAUAAGAGGGAGAAAUUACGAUACUAACCUUAUUGCGCUAUUACAACCUUUCUAUAAAAAUACACAAAAAACAAAUACGUGAAAUAAAUUAACUAAAAAUUAAAUUAAUAAAAUAAACAAAAAUUACAAAGAAAAAAAAAUAAAUUGAAAAUUAAAUUACAGAAUUUUAAAGAAGAGAAAAAGAAAAGAAAUACUAACCUUUAAAUGUAGAUUUACUCUUUUUUUUUUCUUUUUUUUUUUAAUAAGAAAAAAAAAAUACAAGAAAACAAAUAAAAGAAAUUAUUCACAAAAAUUAAUUUUAUGAAUUAAAAUUACUUACCUCCCCGGCAACGGCGCCAAAAACUUGUUGUGCAAAUUUUAAUGUACUCGCAAGCGCACGAAUCUAUUGUAAUAUAGACUAAUGGUGACGAGUGUCGAUCCCACGAGGAGGUGGAUUUUAAUUGUGUAUAAAAUUAAUUUUGUAAAUGGGUGAUUGGAUUUGUGGUGGAAAUGAUUUGGAAUAUGCUAAAACUUAAAUUAAAAUGGCGAGAAUAAAUUGAAGAGAAUUCUAUUGAAAUGACGUACUUGGGUAUCUGGAUCCGUAUCAACAUGCAUCAUGGGCUAAAUAUUCCUUAUUAAUACCAAUUAAAUCAUGAGGGGGGAAUCCACACCUCAUGAACCACGCUCUAAUCAAUAUGGUGCUAAGGGCUUAUCGUGCCAAAUAAUAAUAACCUUAUACCAGAGAGCCGGUGUAACCAAGGCGGUAUCUAGACAAGAUCAGUAUUAUUUGUCGACGAUAAGUCAAAUCAUCCACAAAAAACUAGAGGGGAAAAGAAAAUAAAUUUACCAAAUAAAGCCCAUGACACAUGUUGAGACUUCACCUUCAACCCAAGCUUGAAAAGAAAUUAGCUACUCAUAAUUGAACUAGGGGCAAAAAGGGAAUUUAUUAAAAUACAAAGAAAAUACAAGAUGGAGAAGGAAUUACAGAAAAUGGAUCCCAAAAAUGGAUUCAGAGAUAUCAAAUUAGGGGGAGAGGCCCCCUUUUUAUAGAUACAUGGAGUAAAUCAUGGCCAUCGGAUUAAAAACAGUUUGGACGCUCAGGAUUGCGCCACGUCAUCAGUCAACAGUCCACGGUUUGACCACGCGGAUGAACAGUAACACGGUUUGACCCGGAUGAACAGUAACGUGGUUUGGUUGAAAAUAAUCCUGUGUGAUGCAUGCACUGUACACGAGAUUUUUCGUCCACUGAUAUGCUGCCACGUCACCAUUAACAGUACAUAAGAAUUUUAGCCCAACAGGAUCGUGACACCUCAUCAGUCAAUGCCACAUCAUCGGUCAAUGCCACGUCAUCGGUCAAUGCCACGUCAUCGAUCCGUCUAUGUGAACAGUGUCGUGAACAGUAACGUAGACAGUACCGUAUACGUGAAUAGUACCGUACAUGUGAAUAGUGCCAUUUUUCCUUUUAUGCUCCUCCUAAGGUUUUCGACCGUCCUGAGUUCAAAAGUGAUGUCCGUUUUGCCGUCUGAUCUCUCCUUUAUUGUGAAAUGACUAUACUGCCCCUAAAAUACAUAAAAUACUUAAUUAAAAUAACACACACGUAAUUACAUCACAAGAAGGUUAAAUACAUAAAAGUAAGGGUUGUUAGUAAGACUUGAAAUGUAAAAUGACGGUUUUCUCCUUUAUAAAUAUGUAUUUUCUAACACUCAACACACCCCCCAACCAGCUUAUUGCUAGUCCCUAGCAAAUAAAGCGAAAACAAAAUUCAAAUUCAAAAUGAUUUUUUUUUUUUUUUUUUUUUAGAAACACUCGUGUUUAUUCAAUCAGAUUAAUGAUAGCAAUCAAAUAAAAGUAUAAGCAUUAUCUCCAGUCUAAAGCAACAUCACACCCACAUCAACCAUCCACAUGAAUUAGCCCAGUAGACUUUGUUAUAGCUACUUUCAAGAAUGACAUGUCAAACCCCAAAAUCUCACUGGAAGUAGUGACACUCUCACAAAGAAAUUAAAACCCAAUAAACAUAGUCACUCCAAUGAAUGGUAAUUGAGAGAGAAAAUAAUAAAGAAAUGAUAUCACAUGCUCUCACCAAGAUUAAAUAAAUAUGCCCUCAGCUUAGAAAUAAUACGAUCUCAAGUCAAAUAAAAUGUUAGUCAACCCACUUUAUUUAUCUUUUUUUUUUUUUUAAUUAUGCAUCACUACAUCUUUUUAGCCCAUAUAACUAGCUUCUACUUCAAACUAUAGUUCCCUAAAAUCAAGAAGGACUUUUAUUAGGACGUAACGUAGGCUAGGGAUAUGGCUAACAAAGAAGGGAAAUAAGGAAAACAAAGUGUAUGUUUGAGAAAAAUGCAGAGAAUAUUUUUUUUUUUUUUUUUGGAAGUUGCAAGGUGGAUUUCACCUAUUAUUGUUAUUUUUAUUCUUUUGAAACAACAAUUUUUUUCUUUUUUUUUUUUUUUUUCAGCAACAACAAUUUUUUCUUUUUUUUUUUUGAACUAGGCAUAACUUCACUAUGCAAAAUGUUUAUUUACAUUUUUCUCAAACAUAAAUAGGUGAUGGAAUUUGUAAGAUAUUGGGUAAUACUCCAAAUCGGAGUGGGUCAAGAUGAUAAGUUAAACAAAGAAAAGUUUUUUUUUUUUUUUUAUUUAAAAGGCUCAAAUGGGUUAACUAUGGAUACUUGAUAAGAGGGAUGGCUAGAAAGGCUCAAACGGAUCAAAGAUGGCCUUUCCAUCGUCUUUUAGGGCUCUAAAUAAUCAUCCAUAUCUACUAGUUAGAUGGGCCUCCCAAUGUAGCAACACACACAUUUUUUUUUUUUUUUUUUUUUAAGGCUUAACUCAAAAGAAAUCUAGAGAUCGUGUAUACAAUAAUAAACUGUUAAGCAUUAUAAAGAAUGGGCAAAAGGGUUACUCUCCAAGAAAAAUGAUAGGCUCAAAAACUCACUUGGUACUUAUUAUGACAUGUUCAUUCCUUCAAGCAACUCAUAUUUGUCUCCGACAUCAACAUGUAGAGUAGCAAACAUAAUGUAACAUCACUUAAGACCAAAGAUAAUACAAAUACUAAAAUUUGAAAUUAAUCAUGUCAUCUAAAGUUAAAACAAAUCACACAAUUUUUUCUUUUUUUUUUUUUAAACAACAUUCUACCCCCCAACCUAUUCUAAACAUGAAAGGAAAAUAUGCAUGCAGAAAUGUGAAAAUGAUGCAUAAAAACUAAUUAGAAAAGUUACACGUAAAAUGAUAGAAAACGAAAAUGAAAUUUUGUUUUUUUUUUUUUUAAUUUUUUUUUUAAACGAUGAAGAUGCGUUUCUAGAGGCACUACACUCCAUAUUCAGCUAUCUUCGACUCAAAAGUUGGAAAAUAUAUAUUUAUAAGGAGAAAUUAAAAAGAAGAAGAAAAAUGAACAUCAAAACAUAAUAAAGAAAAAGAAAAUGUUUGAAUUUUUUAGUUUUUUUUAGUUUUUUAGUUUUUUUAAAUUUUUUUUUUUUUUUUAAACGAUGAAGAUGCGUUUCUAGAGUCACUACACUCCAUAUUCAGCCAUCUUCAACACAAAAAGUUAGCAACAGUUAGUUUCUACAACAAAAAAUCAGUAAAAACUUAACCAAGAUUCCACAAUUGUCGACUAUUCCCUCCCCUCAACCAGAACGAAACAUUGUCCUCAAUGUUUUAAAGGAAAGAAGUAGAGUUUAGAAGACAUCACCUGGGUGGUGCAACACAAAAGAAUAUAUUUACAGGCGGAGAGUUAAAUCUAAUUUGUACUUCUUACUGCGGCUACUGUUACCAUCAUUAUUUGGGCGCUCCAACACAAAGGUCCAGGGGUCUGGCUCCGGUUUAUAAGCUUGUAACAGAUCAAGUAGUUCAUUAGCAGUGUGAGCACAAAUAAAAAGUUUUUUUACAUUAGAAGGAAUGAAAUAGUUUUUUAUUGCAUGGUUAAGAAAUGCGAUAAAGCCAUCAUAAAAGUUAUUGACAUUUAACAAACCGAUGGGUUUCUGGUGGAUGUGCAGAUGGGCCCAAGAUGCUAGUGUCAUAAGUGCCUCUAGUGUUGCAAGAUCUCCUGGAAGGAAAAUAAAAGCAUCAGCAUGAUUAAGCAUUUCAGUUAUUCUUUCUUGCAUACCUGAGACGACUAACUCUUCUCCAGUUGAUGAGUCAGACGAACUGCCCAAUGGUUUUAGGACUCUUGGGAUGAUGCCUAACACUUGACUUCCUCUGAUAAAAGCUGCUUCUGAGACCAUUUUUGAUAACCCUCGGUUACCUCCUCCAUACACCAAAUGUAAUUUUCUCGCUGCUAUGCUUCGACCAAGAUCUAUGGCUGCCUCCACGAACUCUUUAUGUUUGCCAUAGGUAAAUCCAGAAAGCACACAAAUGUUCUUGAAUUGUCUAUUGGGAGUAGCUGCCAUUGUGAUACUUCUCAAAAAUAAUUUGUGAGUGCUUGACAAAAGAUAAAUCACAUUUAAGAAUCUUGGUGACAAUGGAUCACAGCUGUGAAUGAGGUAACAUGUCAGUGUCAAAUAACGCGUAAAGCACGUGGCUCGCGAGUCAAAAAGGAAACAGUAAAAAGGAAAAAGCAAACAGUAAUAAAAUUAUUAAAGACAAUAAUGCAAACAAUAAAACAACAGUGAAAUGAAAUAAAAUAACAGUAAAGUAAAAGGAUAUUUACACGUAGUUGCGACUGUGGCUCACAUCUUCCUCUGGUUUUACGUCCAGAAACGGCUUGAACGCCCUCUAUGGGUCGAGGAUGGGCUUCCCAUCCAGUUUUCUUAUAAACUGGCAAACAGGGUCGUUUAUAGUCAGAUUCCCGAGACGAUAUCGUGCAUGCUCUUUUUGGAAUAAUGGCCUUAACUGGAGAAUCGCUCCUUGCACAUAUCCACUGGGAUGCGUUUCAAGAGACAAAAGGAUAUCAUCCAAUGACUCCUUAUUCAAGCUAUCCCUAAUGAAUUGAAUCUUAUCUUCCCUGUUAUCAGACACCAUUCCUAAAGAACAUGGGUUUCUAUCGCAACUCAUUCUGGCACACUUGUGACAAGCAACAGAAAUUCUUCGAGCUCGUCGUUUUCUUGCGUAAUUUCCUUUACCACAACCAGGCAUGUAUGCAAUAAAUUUAGGAGGUAACUCACCUGCCAAUCGUACUUUAGCCUCGAUUAACCAACGGAUGUCUGCAGGUAUGUUAUUCCUCAUGAGCAAUCGCAUGCGUUCAGACCGGGCUUUAUAGAUUGUAAGGAGGGCAUUCUGAGGAAGUGAAGGGAAUCGCUUGUGAAGCUUCGCUAGAAUCUCGUUUCUGUCCAUACCUUCGCCUCAGAAUAUCAGUUAUUAUGGGAAACUGAAGUUAACCGACUUGAUUGUCACGGAGUACCGUUAUCUGCCACUUCACCGGGGUAACAAACUAAAGCACACAAACAGAAAAACAAAAAACACACAAAGAAAAUUAAAAUCGUCCUCUUAUUGAAUUUACCUCAAGCUCCAACUGGAUGUCGUAAACACUUCUCUCAAUGUCUCUGAGUUGGCGUUCUAAACCCUCAACAUAGGCUACUAACUCUGGUGGUUGUAGAGCCCAAAUGCGUUGUGUUUUACAAAAUAGAAUCUGCCUUUUGAGAUGAGUUUUGACACGUUGAAGUGGUUUAAGAAUGUUCAGGAGGAACGGUCUAAGUAUGAGACUCAUGAUUAAAAAUGAUAAGAGAAAACUUAAUGGUAAAAUAAACACACUUAUGCAAAAACAAUUUCAAUUAGCAAAAGAAUAAUAAUAAAAAGAAAUAAAGAAAAAUCAAAUUAACGAAAAGAGAAAAAAAAAAUCAAUUCAAAUUUAGUGGGUCACUCAAAUUUAUUUCGAUGUUUUCUCCAUGUGGUUGGUACUCUAGAUAUGGCUUUAAUCUUUGACCAUUAACUUUAUACGUGACACCGUUCUUUGGGUCCUUAAUUUCAAUUGCCCCAUGUGGAAAAACAGUAUGUACAAUAAAUGGGCCAGACCAACGAGAGCGUAACUUACCUGGGAAUAGGUGCAAGCGAGAAUUGAAUAAAAGCACUUUCUGACCUGGAGUGAACGAUUUUCUCAUAAUUUGCUUAUCAUGGAAGACUUUCAUUCGUUGCUUGUAAAUCUUGGCAUUUUCGUAUGCAUCAUUGCGAAUUUCUUCAAGUUCUGCCAGCUGUAAUCUUCUUUCUGAGCUGGCUUGCUGCAUGUCAAAGUUGAAUUUCUUGAUGGCCCAAUAUGCACGAUGCUCGAGUUCCACAGGUAGGUGGCAAGCUUUUCCAUACACUAGCCUGUAGGGUGACAUCCCAAUCGGGGUCUUGAAAGCCGUUCUAUAUGCCCAUAAUGCAUCAUCAAGUCGUAAUGACCAAUCUUUCCUGUCUGGCCUCACCGUCUUUUCUAAUAUGUGCUUUAUUUCUCGAUUGGAGAUCUCAACUUGGCCACUGGUUUGCGGAUGAUACGGGGUCGCCACUUUGUGUGUGAUUGAAUACUUUGUCAAAAGAGCCUUGAAUGCUUUGUUACAAAAGUGGGCACCACCAUCACUGAUUAUCGCUCGAGGGAAUCCAAAGCGCGAAACAAUAUUGCUUUUCAAAAAUCCUAUCACCACUUUGUGAUCAUUGGUUCUGCAUGGAAUUGCUUCCACCCAUUUCGAUACGUAGUCAACACCAACCAAUAUGUAUUGAUGGCCAAAAGAAGGGGGAAAGGGUCCCAUGAAGUCGAUACCCCAUACGUCAAAAAUCUCAACCACUAAAAUUGGAUUUAGUGGCAUCAUGUUCCUUCGUGUAAUGCUCCCCAUUCGUUGACACCUAUCACAUGAAGAACAGAAAGUGUAAGCAUCUCGAAAUAUAGUUGGCCAAUAGAAACCACAUUGUAAAACUUUAGUCGCUGUUUUCUUAGCACUGAAAUGGCCUCCACAAGCUUGUUCAUGGCAGAAUGAAAGGAUAUUCUGAAUUUCACUUUCAGGGACACAUCGUCUAACAAUUUGGUCUGCACAAUACUUGAACAAAUAUGGGUCAUCCCAAAAGAAAUUCUUUAUUUCCGCAAAGAAUUUAGCCUUGUCUUGCUUGGUCCAAUGCUCUGGAAGCUUACCUGUAACAAGAUAAUUAACUAUAUCAGCAUACCAAGGUAAUACUUCCACACUCAUUAAUUGUUCAUCUGGAAAUGACUCAUUUAAUAUUAAUGGCUCUGUAAUUGUGUCAAAAUGGAGACGAGAGAGGUGGUCCGCCACAACAUUUUCUGUCCCUUUCUUAUCUUUGAAUUCCAAGUCAAAUUCCUGCAAAAGUAACACCCAACGAAUUAGUCUAGCUUUUGCAUCUUUCUUUGUGAGAAGAUAUUUAAGAGCAGCAUGAUCUGUGAAUAUAAUUAUUUUACAACCAAUGAGAUAAGAUCGAAAUUUUUCCAAUGCAAACACUACUGCUAGCAUUUCUUUUUCAGUAGUUGAAUAAUUCAACUGUGCAUCAUUCAAGGUCAUACUAGCAUAGUAAAUAACGUUGGGAAUUCGAUCAACUCUUUGUCCUAAUACUGCUCCUACUGCAUAAUCAGAUGCAUCACACAUGAGCUCAAAUGGUAAGCUCCAGUUUGGGGCCUGAAUGAUGGGUGAUGAUGUCAACAAUUGCUUUAAUUUUUCAAAAGCCAUAAGACAUGAAUCAUUAAAGAUAAAAGGUACAUCCUUAGCAAGUAAAUUGCAUAAGGGUCUAGAAACUUUGCUAAAAUCUUUAAUGAAACGUCUAUAGAAACCAGCAUGCCCAAGGAAAGAUCUUACUUCUCUGACUGUUUUAGGUGGAGGAAGAUUAGAAAUGAGAUCCACCUUGGCUUUGUCAACCUCAAUACCUUUGCUCGAAAUGAUGUGACCGAGAACAAUACCUUGUUUUACCAUAAAAUGACACUUCUCCCAAUUUAAGACUAAGCUCUUCUCGGUACAUCUCUGCAGAACUAGCGUUAGAUGAUGUAAACAUUGAUCAAACGAGUCACCAAAGACAGAAAAAUCAUCCAUAAAGACUUCAAGGAAUCGUUCAACCAUAUCAGAAAAAAUGCUCAACAUGCAUCGUUGAAAUGUAGCAGGUGCAUUACAUAAUCCAAAUGGCAUUCUCCUAUAUGCAAAUGUGCCAAAAGGGCAAGUGAAAGUAGUUUUCUCUUGAUCUUUUGGUGCUAUGGGAAUCUGAUUAUAUCCUGAGUAGCCAUCUAGAAAGCAAUAAAAUUCAUGGCCUGCUAAUCUAUCAAGCAUUUGAUCAAUAAAUGGUAAAGGAAAAUGGUCUUUACGUGUGACAGAAUUCAACUUUCUAUAAUCAAUGCAUACACGCCAUCCUGUAGUUACUCUAGUUGGUAUCAAUUCAUUAUCAGCAUUGGUAACUACUGUGACUCCUGACUUUUUGGGGACAACUUGUACAGGACUGACCCAUGAACUAUCAGAAAUUGGGUAAAUGAUACCUGCAUCUAAUAGCUUAAGGACUUCAGUUCUAACAACUUCUUUCAUGUUAGGAUUUAACCGACGUUGCAUCUCCCUAGUAGUUUUAGCAUUUUCAUCAAGGUGAAUGUAAUGCAUACAGUCUACUGGGUUUAUACCUUUAAUGUCUGCUAUGGUCCAUCCUAAUGCUCCUUUGUGCUCUUUUAAAACAUCCAACAACUUACCUUUUUGUUCGUCAUUUAGGGAUGAUGAGAUGAUUACCGGCAGAGUACUUUCUUCUCCCAAAAAUGCAUAUUCCAGAGUGUUGGGUAAUGGUUUGAGCUCGAGUUUUGGUGGUGAUUCUGAUGAUGGAAUGAGUUUCUUCUCUGAUGGUGCUAGUUGUUCAACUCUUGACUUCCAUUUAUUAGUGUCCAUGGAUGGUGCUGAGUCAAGCAGGGCGUUGACCUCAUCGACCGAUCUAUCAAUAUCAAAAUCCAAACCAAAGUGAGUUAAGCAUGUCUGUAAAGGAUCAUCACUAAGGUUUGAAAGAAAAGUAUUAUCAACUAUUGUUUCUAUUAAAUCCACAUCAACAAUUCCAUCAUCUGCACUGUGAGGUUGUUUGGCAAUGUUGAAAAUAUUUAGCUCCAUAGUCAUGUUGCCGAAGGACAACUGCAUAUUUCCAGUCCUGCAUUGAAUGUGAGCAUCCGCAGUCGCCAAGAAAGGUCGGCCUAGAAUAAUGGGGAUGUGCUUCCUUGAAUCCUGUAUUGGUUGAGUGUCAAUUACAAUGAAAUCAACAGGAAAAUAAAACUUGUCUACCUGGAUAAGCACGUCCUCCAUAAUACCACGAGGUAUUUUCGUGGACCGAUCUGCAAGCUGUAACACCACUGGAGUUGGGUGUAAUUCUCCCAGUCCAAGUUUCACGAAUACUGAAUAAGGCAACAGAUUUACACUAGCUCCUAAAUCCAACAACGCAUUCUCAAUUGUGUGGUUCCCUAUACUACAUGAGAUAGUGGGGGAGCCUGGGUCUUUGCAUUUUAGAGGAAUUUUAUGUUGGAGUAUAGAACUAACAUUUUCUGUUAAAAAUGCCUUCUUUUGAACAUGCAUAUUUCUCUUUUUAGUACAAAGGUCUUUAAGAAACUUGGCAUAAGAUGGAACUUGUUUAAUAGCAUCAAGUAAAGGGAUGUUAACACUUACCUGUUUGAAGAUUUCGAGAAUCUCACCUGUGGAUUUUCCCUUUUUCCCUUUAGCUAACCUCUGAGGAAAUGGAGCUUUCGGAACGUAUUCUCGUGGGUUGGUUUCUUCUUUCUCCUCCGGUGGUGAGUCUUCAACAUUCACAGGUACAAUUUGAUUUUCUUUUGUCACCGGCAUCUCCACUUUGUUGUCGACUUCCUUUCCUUUUCGCAAGGUCAUGACUGCUUUGACCUCUCCAUGCUGUUGUGGUGAACUGGUACUUGCUUCAUGUACUCCUUUAGGAUUAGGCACUGGUUGACUUGGAAAUUUUCCUUUCUCAACAGUCAUUGCCAAGGUCUGAACUGAAGAAGCAAGUUGUCCCACCAUCUUCUCGAGGCUUGAAACUGAUUGAGCUUGUGAGUUGAAGCCUGCUCUCAACUCAUUUCGUAGUCCAUCAAUGGUGCGGUUCUGUUGCUCAAUCGUGGAGUGAGUAACAUUCUUGAAAUUCUGGAAUGCAUCCUCCCAUGGUCUGGGUUGAGAGUAGUUCUGGUUCUGAUUGUAUGGUCUGAAUGGUGGCUGAGAGGCUUGAGGAUUUUGAGGAAUUUGUUGCAUUGGUGGAGCUGGAGCUGCUGGUCCAUUCUGUUGGAAUCCUUGAGACCAUGAAAUAUUGGGGUGGUCUCUCCAUCCAGGGUUAUAUGUGUUGGAGUAUGGGUUGUAAUUCGAUGGUUUUCUCAUUACACCUAUGGCAUUGGCUUGAUCGGAGUAUGAGUCAUGGUCAUGUGGUUCUGUUGAUUUAGCAGUCGAUAACGAUGCUAUUUGUCGAGCGAGACCUUCAACCAUCUCCUUGACUUCUUUGAUUCCCGAAGUUGACUCGCCAAUUUGAACCUCAUUUACUCCCUUAAUUCUUCUAGUAUUCCUUAGUGAUCGACUCCGUUGUUGGGAAUUAUCCGCUUGUCGUUGGAAGAAUUCCCAAAUUUCUGAUGCACUUUUUGACAUUAGCUCUCCUCCACUUGUUGCCAUUAGCCAUUCUUGCACAUUCGGUAGUAAUCCCUCCAAAAAGUAUUGGCAUUGGUGCCAUUUUUCGUACCCAUGAUGUGGACACUUCAAGAGUAGCCCAUUGAAUCGCUCCCAAGUUUCGAAAAACUGCUCGUCCUCUCUUUGUGUAAACUCUGAAAUUUCCUUGCGAAUAGAAUUGGUUUUAUGCACUGGGAAAUAUUUAUUCAAAAAUUUAGUUACCAUUUGUUCCCAUGAUGAAAUGCUAUUAGCAGGCAAUGUAUUUAACCAUGAACGAGCUCUAUCCUUUAAAGAAAAUGGGAAUAGUCUGAGUUUAACAUCAUCGUCUGAAAAAUUUUCAUAUUUAAAAGUUUGACAAAUGGUAUGAAAAUCAUUCAGAUGAUUAUAUGGGUCCUCAUUUUCUAAGCCAUAGAAUGUGGGGAGACAAUUUAGCACACUAGGUUUUAGUUCAAAGUUCCUAGCAGCUACAAUUGGGUAUCUAAUACAUGAUGUGCUUAAAUUAGCUAAGGGACUAAAAUAGUCCUUAAAUGGCCUCUCCUGUGGUGCUUGUAAAUCCAUUCCAAUUUUAUUUUUAAUGUGUUUUUGUGUGCGAAGUGUUUUUUCUAAUUAAAGGUCUAUAGGUUCAAGAUUAGGUAAUAAUGACCUACGACCAUGCAUGCAAAAUAAAAUGAAAAUAAAAAUAAAGAUGCAAACAAAACAAAAAAUAAAGAUGGGAACAAAACAAAUUAAAAUAAAUAAGAGGGAGAAAUUACGAUACUAACCUUAUUGCGCUAUUACAACCUUUCUAUAAAAAUACACAAAAACAAAUACGUGAAAUAAAUUAACUAAAAAUUAAAUUAAUAAAAUAAACAAAAAUUACAAAGAAAAAAAAAUAAAUUGAAAAUUAAAUUACAGAAUUUUAAAGAAGAGAAAAAGAAAAGAAAUACUAACCUUUAAAUGUAGAUUUACUCUUUUUUUUUUCUUUUUUUUUUUAAUAAGAAAAAAAAAAUACAAGAAAACAAAUAAAAGAAAUUAUUCACAAAAAUUAAUUUUAUGAAUUAAAAUUACUUACCUCCCCGGCAACGGCGCCAAAAACUUGUUGUGCAAAUUUUAAUGUACUCGCAAGCGCACGAAUCUAUUGUAAUAUAGACUAAUGGUGACGAGUGUCGAUCCCACGAGGAGGUGGAUUUUAAUUGUGUAUAAAAUUAAUUUUGUAAAUGGGUGAUUGGAUUUGUGGUGGAAAUGAUUUGGAAUAUGCUAAAACUUAAAUUAAAAUGGCGAGAAUAAAUUGAAGAGAAUUCUAUUGAAAUGACGUACUUGGGUAUCUGGAUCCGUAUCAACAUGCAUCAUGGGCUAAAUAUUCCUUAUUAAUACCAAUUAAAUCAUGAGGGGGGAAUCCACACCUCAUGAACCACGCUCUAAUCAAUAUGGUGCUAAGGGCUUAUCGUGCCAAAUAAUAAUAACCUUAUACCAGAGAGCCGGUGUAACCAAGGCGGUAUCUAGACAAGAUCAGUAUUAUUUGUCGACGAUAAGUCAAAUCAUCCACAAAAACUAGAGGGGAAAAGAAAAUAAAUUUACCAAAUAAAGCCCAUGACACAUGUUGAGACUUCACCUUCAACCCAAGCUUGAAAAGAAAUUAGCUACUCAUAAUUGAACUAGGGGCAAAAAGGGAAUUUAUUAAAAUACAAAGAAAAUACAAGAUGGAGAAGGAAUUACAGAAAAUGGAUCCCAAAAAUGGAUUCAGAGAUAUCAAAUUAGGGGGGAGAGGCCCCCUUUUUAUAGAUACAUGGAGUAAAUCAUGGCCAUCGGAUUAAAAACAGUUUGGACGCUCAGGAUUGCGCCACGUCAUCAGUCAACAGUCCACGGUUUGACCACGCGGAUGAACAGUAACACGGUUUGACCCGGAUGAACAGUAACGCGGUUUGGUUGAAAAUAAUCCUGUGUGAUGCAUGCACCGUACACGAGAUUUUUCGUCCACUGAUAUGCUGCCACGUCACCAUUAACAGUACAUAAGAAUUUUAGCCCAACAGGAUCGUGACACCUCAUCAGUCAAUGCCACAUCAUCGGUCAAUGCCACGUCAUCGGUCAAUGCCACGUCAUCGAUCCGUCUAUGUGAACAGUGUCGUGAACAGUAACGUAGACAGUACCGUAUACGUGAAUAGUACCGUACAUGUGAAUAGUGCCAUUUUUCCUUUUAUGCUCCUCCUAAGGUUUUCGACCGUCCUGAGUUCAAAAGUGAUGUCCGUUUUGCCGUCUGAUCUCUCCUUUAUUGUGAAAUGACUAUACUGCCCCUAAAAUACAUAAAAUACUUAAUUAAAAUAACACACACGUAAUUACAUCACAAGAAGGUUAAAUACAUAAAAGUAAGGGUUGUUAGUAAGACUUGAAAUGUAAAAUGACGGUUUUCUCCUUUAUAAAUAUGUAUUUUCUAACACUCAACAAUUAUCACAUGAUAAGUGAUGAACACCGCAAAAAACAAAAACAGAAAACAAAAUCCAUACAAAAAUAUCAUAAUACAUAUGUAAACUAAUAAAAUAAUUAAAAAGUAAUGGAUUUAAAAAAAAUGAAAUUAGUUAAAAGCGAUCAUGUGAAGUGAUAUAAAUGUGACACUAGAUUGUUUUAGAAAAAUUAUUAUUCUAUUAAUUUAUAUGGCUUGAUCAACUAUUUAAUUGAAUUUGAAUAAUAUUAUAUACACUUCAGAAGUAUUUGCAUCAAUUCUUUCUAAACCAAAAUGAGAUAUGACUUUCAUUUGAAGAAUGGUUUUAGGCCCUAUAAUAAAGAAAAUUCCCUAAGAUAUCUGAGCAUUAUUAUUAUCAUUACCACAUCCACCACCACCACCAUCAUCUCCAUAGGAUCAAAUAAUUAAUGGCUGAUCAUAAAAUUUAUUGUUAAACUAUCAUUUUGAGUAAAAUUGAAUGAAAAGAAAAAACAUGAACCCAAACAAACAUACCUCUUCAAGAUACUGCAAAUUGGUUUCAAGUUCAGUACUGUUGACAGUCAAGUUGGGACAGUGCUUAAGGCGUAACUUUUCCAAUGCUGACCAAAUUGAACAAUAAUUUUUUGAACAGAAGCUGAUGAGUUCUGGGAGAUUAUGAAGUGUUAAUUUUCUCAACAAAGGGAGGGCGAGCAUCGUACUUCCAUCUCGGACACUUAUUUCCCCUUCAUUGUGAUCAAACUUUGCUUUGACAAUACAUUCCAGUCUCUUGCAUUCCCUUACAUAGAGACUUUUAAGCUGCUCCAAACUUCGAGCUUGUGACAACGUGAACAUAUAUGUCAACUUGUUGCACCUAUGCACAUUCAAUUUUGUAAGAGUUUGGAGACUGAUCACAUGUUGGGCGGGCGCCUUCCAUAUCCACUUCAGUUCUGGUAAUUGCCACAUAUUUAACUCUGCUAAUCCUGAGAGACUCUUUCCAUGCAGUGACUUAGAGGCAUCCAUUAUGCAUUCUAAAUCUUCGCAAUCGCCGACAUCAAGACAAGUCAACUCAUUUAAGCCCCUUUCAUCUAUGCUUGGCGCAAUAUUGUAACAACCUAUAAUCCCACUUAAAUAAAGAAUUUCCAGUUCUUGAUACAAAGCCGAAAAAAUACCGAGCGAGGUCACUUCAGGAGGGUCAUUCUUAAUUAUUAAGCUCUUUCUCUGACUACCAUAUUUCAUUUUAUCAACAACUUGUUUACCUUUACCCAUGAUGUACAUUUGCAAUUUCGGGAAUGUAAAGUCUUUUGGAAGACAUACAACAGAUCCGUCGGCUUGGGAGUUCAACUCAGCAAGCCUAGCAUUACUUUGUUCUGAACUCAUCCCCUCAACCUCCCAAUUUUUUAUCCGACCAUAAAAUUCUUCUAAUUUUUUUAUCGUAAUGGGAGAAACAGAACCAGUAUCAAUAUAUAGAAGUUUCAAUCUACCAAGUUCAUCCGACAAUUCUUCAGCAAUUUCAAUGGGAGACGACUGGAGAUAAAGAAGUUCAAGUCUCUUCAACUUUCCAAGAAAAAACGCGUCACUCACAUCACACCGAAUCAACUGCAGAACUCGGAGGUUAUUGGCUAGGAAUCGAAGUGAUUUUAGUGAAAGGACUCCAUUUAUUAUAGUAACAACUUUCAAUGCUGGCAUCCCUUCAAAAAAAUUUUCUGGAACUUGCAAUUUGUAGUCACAUAGAGUGUUGUCCAGUCGCAAAAUAUGAAGGUUAGGGCAUACCAAACUACUAGGAAGCUCUUCUUCUUUAUUUCCCAUUACAGAGAUUCCUCUGUAUUGUUCCAGGCCUUCUUCCAUUGCCCGUUCUGCCAAUCCAAUGCCAACUUUACUAAAAAAUUUCUUCUCCACUAGUACUUCUGAGCCUAUCCAUAUGACUACAUCACGAACUAUGUCAUGCAUUUUCACAGAUCUGUCAUUACCAGUGUCUAACAGCAGUGAAGCAGCUUUGAGUCCUUCAAUUGUUCCACGCAGUAGGCUUCUGGCGUGCUCUAUUGAUUCAGCUUGAUACCAAGUCAACCCCACUACAUAUCGAACCAAAUCCUCCAAAUUAAUCUCAUAAUCUUCUGGAAACAGCGAACACAACAAGAAGCAUAACCUGGAAUUGUCAUCAUUCAAAUUGUCGUAACUAAAUUUGAGACAACCGUAAACGUCUCGGUUCUCCAUAUCAAUACCUUCUAUUGCAUAGAGUUUUGCAGCCUUUAGGUUAUGUAGAGUUAGAUCCCAUUCAUGAAAUCCUUUUCCUCUUAGUGCACUUCCAACAGCUUCAAUAGCUAAAGGCAGCCCGUUACAUUGCCCAGCAACUUCUUUGGAAACAUCAUUCAAGGUGGAGUCAUUUGCAUCAAUGCCGGCAUUUUUUUGCAGUAAAGCCAACCCUUCUUCUGCCGUUAGUGUACCCAGUUGAAUCUGCGGGUCACAACACAUGCUUUUACAAACUGACUGCAGGCGAGUGGUUAGAAGGAUUUUACAAAGAUUUUCUCUAUCACCAACAGGAAUACCUAAAUUUUCCUUCAAGUUCAGAUCAUUCCAGACAUCAUCGAUGAUUAUGAGGAUCUUGGUGCUUUUACUGUCAGAAAACAUCGAGCGCAAUCGGUCUGCUCCAUGUUUUUCAUCUUUCUGUUUUAAUUCCCAACCUAAUGAAUUUGCCAGCUCGUUUUGAACAUUUAUUAUGUUUGGAUGCCGAGAUAUAGUGGCUAUCCCCACCUUAUCGAAAUCCUUUUGUUGCCAAAGUUGUUGGCCCACAGAUUUUGCCAAGGUCGUCUUUCCUACACCACCGAGACCAUGCAAUCCCA
rnacentral:lncRNA from 1 species